rnacentral:lncRNA from 1 species
UUUUUUUUUUUUUUUUUUUUUUUUUUUGUUCAAGGAAGAUGGAAUUUAAGCAAUUAUCCUAGUUUAGGUUCAAUAUGAUUUUGAUAUAUAGAUCAUAGAAAAGGUACCCAAGAAUGUAGCAAAAGCAUAAUAAUGUGAAAUUACAAGCUGUCAUCAAUCUUUGAAAUUAAACAGCCAGAAUCCUUUUUCCCCCUUGUUUUUUCCUGAUACAACAGAUAUAGGAAAAAGAAAAUUAAAGCUAAAACUUUCGGCAGAUUUUGUUUAAUUAGCCUUUACUUAAAACCAGAAAACCCAUUUUUUCUCAUAAUUAAUGUAAUUAUGUGGCAAUUAAUGAAUAAAAAUAAAAAAAUAAAAAGAAGUUUCCAAAUAGAAUAGAAUGUCUUUUAUUUCUAAAGGUAGAUGAUAGCGACAUGAAAGCUUUUAUCAUGCGUGUCCUCACAAGGAAAACAUAGUAUCAGACAAUCUGACAGUGGAGGAAAUUGAAAAAAAAAAAAAAAAAACGGAAAAUAGAAAAAAAAAAAGACAAAAGAGGCAACUUCACUGGUUUGUUGUUUUUAAGUGAAAAUUAUCUGUUCAAAACCCUAACCCUAUUUUUCACAUGCUUGUACUUUCUUUUUUUUUUUUUUUUUUUCUUGGUUGCAGGAGUCAUCCAUUGCAAACCCACAAGAGCCUGAAUGGUUGAAGUACUCUCCCUUCUGGCCAGAACCUGACAACCAGGAUCAUCAUGGAUAGGAGCAAAAAUAAUAGAGAAUAAACAAAAAAGAAAAAGGAAAAAAAAAACCCUCAUAAACAACAUCAUUAUUAUCAUCAUCGUUAGUACUUAAUUAAAGCCCUCACACAAGUUCUUUUCAAGAAGAGGCCAAGAAACCAUCUCUGCGGUUUGCUCUUUUUCCUUCUUUUUUUCUUUCCCUCUUGAGGGGGCCUGCCUCAGGUUCCAAUGGCUCCCAACUGAACUAACUGUACAACAGUCCAUGUUGGAAAGAAGGAAAGAAAGAACAAAAGGAAAAAGGAAGAAAAAGAUAAGAAAGCAAGAAAGGCUGCUCUCUACUGACAAUAGAAGGAGAACCAAAGACCCAAAGCAAAAAUCUCUGUGCAUGAAAAUCAUCACCAAUAUGAUUACACUAUCAUCUUUAUGGCUCUAUAUUUUUAUUAUUUUAUUUAUUUUAAGAUAUUGUAUAAGUUCUUUUAUUGUUCUUUGAAAAGGAAAAUACCCCAAUAGUUUGUGCAAAUUGCAGGGAGAUAAACUUUGUUAAUUUGUUGUGUUUAGUCACUUUUUAGUAAAAUACGAAUAGGAAUUUAUAUGAUGUCUCUUUUUAGAAAUGAAAAAUGUGCUAUACAGAAUUGUUUAAUCUCAUUCUUGCCUUGCUUUUUCUCUGCUGCUUCUUUUCAUAUGCAAGCAAAAUUCAAAGGGGCAGUCUCAUUCUCCUUUGCUUUGUUUAUUAUAUAUGAAUCUUUGCACGGUUUUAUAGAAAUUUGCAACAGUGCAAUACAACGUGCCUUGCUUUAGCUAGUUCUAUUAAUUAUUUUUUUUUCCUUUUCAUAAACCAUAACAUCAAUCUUCUAUUUCUAUAUACACACUCAUAGUGUUAAAAGUUACUGAAAUGAUAGAUUUAGUGUGUCUCUUAAAGAAAAGAAGAAGAAGAAGAAGAAGAAGAGUUGAUCCUUAAUUAGACAAGAUUUUGUGCAAUGAUGAUAACUUUUUUUUCUCCUAUAUGCGUGCCUAUAGUUCUAUGGACGCUCAUUAAUUGAUCAUAUAAAUAGAACAUGGCAUGCAUGCAUAUCACUUACAAUUUAAGCACACUUGAAAAGAGAGUUCGCUUUUUCUAUGCUAUAAUUCAUUCUUUGAAAUUAAAUCUUUUUCUUUCCUAUUCUCUCUUUUCUUUGGAAUUAAAUGGAAUUUUUUAUAAUAAUAAUAAAAAAAAUCAUAUCUUCAUCUAGCUUGUAACACAUUGUGUGCUCUACAAUUAGUGAAAGUUUAUCAUCAUUAAUUAUCUUUUUUUUUCAAAAAAAAAAAAAUCUUUUUUUUUUAAUACUUUCUUAUUUUCAGAGUCCUGUCAAUUUAGGCAUAAUUAUCCACAAUGAACGUUUAUCAAAGUAAAUGUUAAAGCAUGAUUCCUUUUGCUGAUGAUAAGAUACAUGAUAUUGACUGAUUAAUUAGUCCAAACAAUAAUUAAUUAUCUUGAUUAAACAAGAAAUGAAAAUUAUUUCCCUGCUUGCAUAAUCUAAUUGAUAUUGAAAUAUGACUAAUAGAAAGUAAAUAUACUUUAACAUGGAUUUUUUUUUUUUUAAGUAUUUUACUUUGAUGUGUAGUCCCCACUCCCCAACAUGUCAUUUCCACUUCACUAGACUCUUGUAAUUACACUAUUGGAUUGAAUUAAAGGUUUAAUUUGACAAUUAGUUAAAUAACAAUAACAUAUAUCGUUUUAACAAAUUAAGUUACAAAUAGGGGAAUGCCAUGUGGAUACACUUGCACCUAUCCUCUUUGCUCCAAAAAUAAAUUUCACAUCAUGUGAUUGGUGAUGUUUAUUUAUUCAUUCAAAAAAGAAAAGGAAAGUUUCUAUAAUUUAAAAUAUGAAAUUCCAGUUACAUGAUAUAAAAGCGAAGAAGAGAUUACAUGAGGAGGAUCAUGUAAGACAUAGGUACUUAAAUCAAAAUUCGCUAAAACAUCAGAUUAGUAUGAGAAAGGUUGCAAUUUCAAUUCGUAGGCAAGAAUUAUUUAUUCAUUCUGGUAAAAGCAAGCUUAAUUAUGUGUGUGUAUAUAUAGAGAAAAUACAGAAUUUAAGUGAGAGUCUCAUUUAAUUAUUUUGUUUUUAUUAGUUAGUUGCGAAACUUCUUUUGCUGCUUUAUUCUAUUCCAUAUUCGAGCUUUUAUGCUGUAUUAUAGAAGUAAAAGAUAUGGUUAUCUAACAGGGAAAUAGAGAAAGAGAGUAACGUGCAUGCUAUAUAUAUAUAUAUAUAUAUAUAUAUANNNNNNNNNNAAAAAAAAAAAAAAAAAAAAACAACAUGGGGACGUGCAUGAAAUAAAGUUAAAAAUGAACACGAAGCAUAGGCAACUUCAUCGUAGUUUCUGAAAGGAAUAAAGAAGGAAUAAAAGAAUGAGCAGACAAGAAUAACCUUUAACUUUGAAAUGACCCUUCCUUAAGUAAUGCAAUUUUUCCACUCAUUUUUGCUUAUAUGAAUAUAUCUAUUCUCUAUUAUACGAAGAUUUCAUGUUUUGUUAUUAUUAUAAUUAAAAUAAAAAUUUUAAUUAUGUAUAUACAGUAUAUUAUUCAUUACGGAAUGAUUCGAUAUCUAUAUCAGUUAAUUUAUAUUAAAAAAUAAAAUAAAAUGCAUGAAAUAGAAAAAGACAAGGGGGUUCAAGAUUCAUUAAUUAAUUUCUUAUAAAGUUUUGGAGAAUCCAAGCUCUACCUCUAAUUAAGUACUUUGCUAAAGAUUAAUCAACAAAUUAAAAGAGGAAGAUCCUACCAGUAAGAUAUGUGUAUAUACAUACACAUAAAAUAUUUAAUUAAUGGAAUGGAGAUGGGAGAAGUGUCUCUUUCCACAUGCAAAUUAUAAAAUUAAAAAAAAAAAAAAAAAAAAAAAAAAAAAAAAAAAAAAAAAAAAGACAGAAAAAGAAAAUAAGGAAUGAAAUGUCUUGUUCAACCUACAAAGGUGAUGGUGCAAUUCUUUCGCUUUAUGGAAGAUUUUGGGUGCUUUUAAAGUAUAUAUUAACAUAAUAGAGAGAGGGUUUCCCUCUCAGUAUUUGCAGAGAUUUGGUCCCAUAAAGAAGUUGCAGCAAGAAUUGUGUAGUGCAAGCAGGAAUAUCACAACAUGGGCAUACCGACUUUUGGGAUUCUUCACCUCAUCACAACAAUUUUUUUUUUUCUUUUUUUUUUUUUUUUUUUUUUUUUUGUAGAUGUACUUCCUCAGAUUUAGCCUGUGACACCUUCAAUUUGUACUUCCUCAGAUUUAGGUCUUCUAACUUUAUCCAGUUCCAAGUCAGUUGCAGUUUGUUUUCUGAUAGUGAAUGAAACUCAAUACUUUCUAAUCCUGAAAGUGACCCAUCACAGUUGCUUCUUUAACAAAGUUUUUACACAACCUUACCUGCCUCAUCGUUUUGUUUCUUACUAAGAAACUUACCAAUUCUCAAGUUUUACACAAUUAACUAGGACUUCUUUGUCUUGGUUUUGCCUUUUUCUGUAAUUAUUUUUAUAAUUUUCAAGAAAAAGUAAUCUUUAAUUUUUAAUACAUGUCUCUACGGGAAUUUGCUAGCUUAUUUCAUAGGUAACAUUUACUUUGCUAAACCAUAGGCAGUCUUAUUAUAUUCGAUUAAUAAAUAUAUAUAUAAAAAAAAAAUACGGUCUCAGAAUGUGGAGCUAAAAGUGAAUAUCUUAGAUAAUUGGGACAGCAUCUCCCUUCGAUCAUAAUUUUGGAUAGAACAAUAUUAGAAGCUUUGGAGGGUUGCUGCCUCUCCCAAGGCCAAUGCUUCCAAAUUGUACAAUUCGAGAUACGUUGGCCUUGAAUCUCUAAUUAUAACGCCACUAAUACGUACAGAUACGUUUUAGAUAAGAUUGCGACAGAUGCAUUACAGAAUGCCGUAAUUUUAUGUUUUUUUAAAAAAAAAAAUAAGAAGAUUGAUGCUUUAAAAGCAAGGGUACAUGGAUGCAGCCAUCCAUACGGCAAUUCAUGCUUACGAUCACGAAAUUGGGAAAGUUCCGUUAGUUCAACUUUUUAUUUUUAAAACUAUUUUAUAAAUUAAACAAUAUAUUUAACACAUAAAUUACUUUUUUUUUUAUAUCUUUUUCAUAUAGAAUAAUCCUAAUGUAUAAAUGUUUAUAAGAAAAAAAAUUACCCAUGCAGAGUAGAUACACCCUACUUUAAAAAGAAAAAAUCAUGUCACGUGCUUAUUUCAACUUUAGAUUUUGUUAUUACUAUUUGAUGAGUGCAAUAAUUUCACCGUAAAGCAGAUACUAACAUAAAGUUUCGAUUGCAAAUUCUCCAUACUCGAAAAGAAAAGCUAGUUGCAACUUGCAACUUGCAACUUGCAAUUGCUAGGGCGGUGAAUAACUGAGUUGAGCUCAGUGAACUCAAAUUUGACUAUGCUCUAUUGAAGUUUAAAAAUUCAAUUUAUUCAACAAAUAGCUAUGUUUGAACACGACUAAAUAACAGUAAACGAGCCGAGCUAAAUAAUUAAAUAAAAAUUAAGAUACUAUAUAAGUGGUGAACGUCACCAAAAACACAAACUCAGAAGGCAAAUAGAUCGAGAUUUUAAAAAAAAAUCCUUCAGUCAGAAACUGACACUUCAACAUCUUAACUAAGCACUGGGAAACAGUUGGGGUGUUAAAGAAUGUUCCUUACUUCACUGCUAAGAUAAUGGUUAGAUUUGUGAUGAAAAUUCUCAUUCGUGUACCCAUUUGAUUUUACAUCUGCAGCAAAUGAUUAAAUUUAACACCGUUUCUUCUGGUAAAUGAUCCAUCAAUAGAGACUACAAAGUUCAAAACUAAAUCACAACGCAAUCAAAUUGUUCGCCCAGUUGCCUUCACCGUGUAAUCAUAGCAAAGGACCCGUAACAUAAUGAACUGCUGAUAAGCCAGUUGCUUUCUAUACCUUGCCUUGCCUGCUGAUCGGCAAAAUGAACUGCUCUUGACAAAAGACCAACUAGAAAGGUACUUUUUCAUCAUCUUUUCAAAUGACGAUAAAACGCCCAAAAUGUAACAGAGAACCACAGGUUAUUAUAUUCUCAACUGACUAGAAAAUUUUUACAGAAGAUACACAGUUACGUACAGUUAGAUUCAAAUUAUUCAUCAACUGACAACUGUUGAUUGGUGAUCUAUGCAAUAUUGAAUCGAACUGCCUCUCUUCUGUUCAGUUUCUCUCAUAAGAGGAUUAACAUGAAACUUCCAAUGUCAUUCCAUGAUGCUUUUCUCUACAACAAAACAACCUCUCAACAUUUCACGGAGGAUUCGGUGAGUUAGCAGGCACGUGCCUCGGGCAUCUGGCCAGUAACAGGUCCACAAACACCAGAAACUUUCAAGGAAGCAAAGAGACAGGACAGCCUACCCAUCAUGAGCCUGGACUUAAGUUUAGGUACAAUUGCCAGUUCUUUGCCAACCGCAUCAUCAUCACAUGGACUAUGGUAUCCUUCAAGAUCUGCUUUUGUUAUCAGAACUGCAUCCCCAGAGGGAGAAUGAGCACUAGGAGGUUCUUGACGCCUAUUAUAUUCUUGAACAGCCUGAUUAUUAUCAACGCAGAGAAGCAAGGAGAAAAGGCAGAGACGGUGAGCCAAGGUCCUAAAAAAAUCUUAGAAUUGCUUUGGGUGCAACAAACUCAAUUACAAAAAAGACAUGCCAGCGUACCAAAGUCCAAAAAGAAGAGCAAAUUGCUUUCUUUUCUUAGGCUAGUGAAACUGCACAUACAACAACUAUCUAGCUCAUCAAAGAAAUAUUACAAGCAGCUAAGGGCAGUAGGUGCUUAAUGGAUAGAACAGUUAUAGACAAAUUCAAGUAAUAAUUUCAAGAAUGGAAUCCUAAAAUCACGCGGAAUUGGCUUCAAACACCUAAUCCAACACCGCAGGAAGUUCUCCUGAGAAUGAACAGCAGACCCUUGUAGUGUCAUGAGUGUCGCAAGUCUUAGCCUCAUACAAAAAGGACUUAACAAAAAUUUUCAGCACUUCCAAUGCUUUACAUUUCUACAUCCAACAAUUUUAAGGAGUUUUUAUACAUUACCUUCCAUUGUGAAGGAGCAAGCAACACCCGAGGUCUUCUAGAUCGCACAUAUUCUAGAGCAGCGUUAGGUGUCAUGUGCUUAUACUCUAUCUGUGAAAUAUAAUAAACUCCAUGUCAUAAAGUGAUCAAUCAGAAAAUGUCACUUCUAAUUAUUGUAUUAGCUGCUAAAGAAAGUUUAGGCUUAUCAACAACCUGCUUUGUAAGGAUUAAACAUACCAAAUAACAAAGCACAAUAGUUGUACUCCUUCCUCGCCCUGCUUUACAAUGAACGUAAGUAGUUCUACCACAUAAUGCAUUUUCUACAACCAGGAAGGAAAAAAAAUAGAAUCAAUCUCCCAUGUCAUAAGGGACAAGAAUGAAAAGGGCCACAAGGUGGGCAUUGAUCAACAGAGAUUUACUCACCAUGAAUGAAGCCCACAGCUCUGCUGAUAUCUACAAAAGAAGGAGCAAAAAGAUAAUCUCUUGUGGGAAUUACAAGGUGUUCAAUGUCAUGGUCCUGUAAAUCAUAAAACAAACUAUGGUAAGCAAUUAAGCCUUCAUAUCAAACUAACUUUGUUUAGGCCAAACUUGCUAUUAGUUGUUUAUUUUUCUAAGGCAACUUUGAAAAAGAAAGAUGCAAAAUUCCUUUAAAUUGUUUUUCUUUGUUUUCCUAUGACAGACUCACCUAGAUCAAGUUCAAACACACAAAAACAACCGGCAUAAGAAGAAAACUGGAAGAGAGUCAUUAUUAACUUUAAGAACAGACCAACAAACUUGGGAAGACAACAAGAAGAUCUAUAUUUUUUCAUGAAAGAAAUUAAACUAAAUUAGCAAAAAGCAAUUCAAUUAACCAGCUGCCCAACAAUCUAGCAUCUGAACCAUACAGUAAAGAAAAUAACCCACACGAUAUAGGGAUGAAGGAACCAAAGUUUCAUAAGGUUCAUUGAGUGUAAUGACGCCACCAACACCAAGCUGCUUCAAGCGUGGAACAUCCUUGGGGAAUGGAACCGCUCCCAGCAAAAGAUACUGCAAAGCAUAGAGAUGAAUAAUAACAUAUCAUUACAAUAAGCAAGACAUCGGGAACACUCUAUGUUAACAAUGUUAAGUCUUAUAUAACCUCUAAUAGAUUACAGAUAAAUCUUUUAAAACUUAGUCAAAAGGACUUACAAGGUCAUUGGAAGCAAUGCCAAAUGCAAGCUAAAUGUCAAAUUGAAUAUGCAGGAUAUAAGUAUUCAUUAUCUAUAUCCAAAUACAGUUUUCUUCUCAAUUAAGUGGAACUUUGUUUACAGAUAAAUAAUGCCCACCAAAUUCCGCGAUUUCUUUCAUUUUCUUGGCAACCAAACACAGGAUAAAUUAACAGACCAAAUUUAUCAAGAAUAAAAAAGAAAAUAAACAUAGAUAAUAAAAAAAUACAGAUAAUCAUUAAAAAAAAAAAACCUGGUCAAUUUCGUCCCACCAUCGGAACUCGGCUUGGAUUUUGUUCCUAAACACAUUAUACAAAAGGGUCGGAUAAAAGAGGAUCCGAGCACCGGCUCCGACCAGCGCUCUCUUGGCGUCCACACUCACCAUCUGCUUCGAGUGAACACUGUCGUUUUGACCCCGAUCGCAGUCCACGUCCUCCAAUUCCUCGAUCUUCAUACCUAGCCACGUACCCAAACCAAACACCCUAAUUUCACAAAUUCUGGUCAAGUUCACGAACAAAAUUCACAAAUUGGAUAGGACAAUAUCUUUUUUUGCAGUUUUUAAUUUCAAGUGCUAAAGUGAAAUAUAAGAGCAUCGAUCGAUGGAGAAGGAAAAUAAAGAGAAGUUUCUGGGUGCGGAAAUGCAAAGAAGAAAUUAGAAGGGACUGGUUGCUGAAUUGGAGCGGGAGCAAACCGGAAAAACCGAAAAAGUAAAUGCCCGGAAUUUGGAACUUCCAACCAACGGUUUUGGAAGGUAAUUUAGCAAGGGCAAAAGCAUAAAUUGAAGGUUUAAUAAUUUUAUAAUACAAAUUUAGUCACAUAUUUAAUAAUUUUUAUUAUAAUGAUUUGUUUUUCCUAGAAAUACUAAUAAGUGGAUAAUUAAAGUCUUAAGAUGGAAUUUAUCAAUAAGCUGUUCUUUCAGGUGGUAAGCGAUCUCAAUCACUGUUAAGGUGAGAACAUAGAUUUGAUCCAUGAGAAAUGCAUUUUACAGAAAGGGCAAAAGGCAAAAAACCUUUACAUUUUAUAGUCCGACGGAGAUUACACCUCCCGGUUAUACUUAAAAAACAAUCUUAAAAUGGGAUUUGGUUGAAAUAAAAAAUUAAGUGUUGAAUAAUAUACAAUUAUUAAAAAAAAUUUAGAUUGUAAAAAUGAAAUACUCCGAAUUUUUAUUUUCAAAACUUUUAAAUUUUUAUUAAAUCAAAAAUUUCGAUUUUUGAUUAUAUGGGCUUUAAACACCAAACAAUCUUAAAUUUGGGUCCAAAGUGUUGUGAGUUGGGCCCAAGCCCAAAUAUAUUGUCAGAAUUUUCGAUUUGAGAACAGUUAAAAAUUUUCAAGAAAUAAUAUGAAAGCAAUUUAAUCUGUUAUGAAUAUAUAUAAAUUAAUUAUCCUAAAAAUCAAAUAUCAUAAUUGUUCAUAUUUUAUUUAUAUUGAGUGAAUGGAGAAAAUAUUAUGGAACCAAACUAAAUAAUUAAAAUAAAUCGAACCAGGCCUUAAAACCAAAUUGAUCUUUCGAAAACCAAACAAAUAGCUUGAAAACCAAGUGAAAAAAACUGCAAACCGAGCAAAAAUUGAGGCGAAUCAUUAAACUAGACCAAACCGGUUCGAAUCGAACCGGAAUGGUCUAGAAGCCCCAAGAUUUUUUUUUUCUUUCUUUUCUUUUUCUUUUCUUUUUCUUUUCGUUUCCUUCUUCUUCCUUGCGCCAGCGCCAGGCGCGCGACAGCCCUCCCCCUCUCUUUUUUUUUNNNNNNNNNNNNNNNNNNNNNNNNNNNNNNNNNNNNNNNNNNNNNNNNNNNNNNNNNNNNNNNNNNNNNNNNNNNNNNNNNNNNNNNNNNNNNNNNNNNNNNNNNNNNNNNNNNNNNNNNNNNNNNNNNNNNNNNNNNNNNNNNNNNNNNNNNNNNNNNNNNNNNNNNNNNNNNNNNNNNNNNNNNNNNNNNNNNNNNNNNNNNNNNNNNNNNNNNNNNNNNNNNNNNNNNNNNNNNNNNNNNNNNNNNNNNNNNNNNNNNNNNNNNNNNNNNNNNNNNNNNNNNNNNNNNNNNNNNNNNNNNNNNNNNNNNNNNNNNNNNNNNNNNNNNNNNNNNNNNNNNNNNNNNNNNNNNNNNNNNNNNNNNNNNNNNNNNNNNNNNNNNNNNNNNNNNNNNNNNNNNNNNNNNNNNNNNNNNNNNNNNNNNNNNNNNNNNNNNNNNNNNNNNNNNNNNNNNNNNNNNNNNNNNNNNNNNNNNNNNNNNNNNNNNNNNNNNNNNNNNNNNNNNNNNNNNNNNNNNNNNNNNNNNNNNNNNNNNNNNNNNNNNNNNNNNNNNNNNNNNNNNNNNNNNNNNNNNNNNNNNNNNNNNNNNNNNNNNNNNNNNNNNNNNNNNNNNNNNNNNNNNNNNNNNNNNNNNNNNNNNNNNNNNNNNNNNNNNNNNNNNNNNNNNNNNNNNNNNNNNNNNNNNNNNNNNNNNNNNNNNNNNNNNNNNNNNNNNNNNNNNNNNNNNNNNNNNNNNNNNNNNNNNNNNNNNNNNNNNNNNNNNNNNNNNNNNNNNNNNNNNNNNNNNNNNNNNNNNNNNNNNNNNNNNNNNNNNNNNNNNNNNNNNNNNNNNNNNNNNNNNNNNNNNNNNNNNNNNNNNNNNNNNNNNNNNNNNNNNNNNNNNNNNNNNNNNNNNNNNNNNNNNNNNNNNNNNNNNNNNNNNNNNNNNNNNNNNNNNNNNNNNNNNNNNNNNNNNNNNNNNNNNNNNNNNNNNNNNNNNNNNNNNNNNNNNNNNNNNNNNNNNNNNNNNNNNNNNNNNNNNNNNNNNNNNNNNNNNNNNNNNNNNNNNNNNNNNNNNNNNNNNNNNNNNNNNNNNNNNNNNNNNNNNNNNNNNNNNNNNNNNNNNNNNNNNNNNNNNNNNNNNNNNNNNNNNNNNNNNNNNNNNNNNNNNNNNNNNNNNNNNNNNNNNNNNNNNNNNNNNNNNNNNNNNNNNNNNNNNNNNNNNNNNNNNNNNNNNNNNNNNNNNNNNNNNNNNNNNNNNNNNNNNNNNNNNNNNNNNNNNNNNNNNNNNNNNNNNNNNNNNNNNNNNNNNNNNNNNNNNNNNNNNNNNNNNNNNNNNNNNNNNNNNNNNNNNNNNNNNNNNNNNNNNNNNNNNNNNNNNNNNNNNNNNNNNNNNNNNNNNNNNNNNNNNNNNNNNNNNNNNNNNNNNNNNNNNNNNNNNNNNNNNNNNNNNNNNNNNNNNNNNNNNNNNNNNNNNNNNNNNNNNNNNNNNNNNNNNNNNNNNNNNNNNNNNNNNNNNNNNNNNNNNNNNNNNNNNNNNNNNNNNNNNNNNNNNNNNNNNNNNNNNNNNNNNNNNNNNNNNNNNNNNNNNNNNNNNNNNNNNNNNNNNNNNNNNNNNNNNNNNNNNNNNNNNNNNNNNNNNNNNNNNNNNNNNNNNNNNNNNNNNNNNNNNNNNNNNNNNNNNNNNNNNNNNNNNNNNNNNNNNNNNNNNNNNNNNNNNNNNNNNNNNNNNNNNNNNNNNNNNNNNNNNNNNNNNNNNNNNNNNNNNNNNNNNNNNNNNNNNNNNNNNNNNNNNNNNNNNNNNNNNNNNNNNNNNNNNNNNNNNNNNNNNNNNNNNNNNNNNNNNNNNNNNNNNNNNNNNNNNNNNNNNNNNNNNNNNNNNNNNNNNNNNNNNNNNNNNNNNNNNNNNNNNNNNNNNNNNNNNNNNNNNNNNNNNNNNNNNNNNNNNNNNNNNNNNNNNNNNNNNNNNNNNNNNNNNNNNNNNNNNNNNNNNNNNNNNNNNNNNNNNNNNNNNNNNNNNNNNNNNNNNNNNNNNNNNNNNNNNNNNNNNNNNNNNNNNNNNNNNNNNNNNNNNNNNNNNNNNNNNNNNNNNNNNNNNNNNNNNNNNNNNNNNNNNNNNNNNNNNNNNNNNNNNNNNNNNNNNNNNNNNNNNNNNNNNNNNNNNNNNNNNNNNNNNNNNNNNNNNNNNNNNNNNNNNNNNNNNNNNNNNNNNNNNNNNNNNNNNNNNNNNNNNNNNNNNNNNNNNNNNNNNNNNNNNNNNNNNNNNNNNNNNNNNNNNNNNNNNNNNNNNNNNNNNNNNNNNNNNNNNNNNNNNNNNNNNNNNNNNNNNNNNNNUUUUUUUUUUUUUUUUUUUUUAUUUAGUUCCAAGAAAAUUGCAAAUGCAUCAACUAAGAAUUUCCAGCUCAUAGAGUUCACAUCAAGAAACAUAAUUAUAUUCCAAUCGAAUACUCUUUUAGUUAGGUGAUACCCAACUUAAUACUAAUUAGUAUUAUUUUGCAGAAAAGAGUAAUUUCUGGGGAUUCUUUAUUGGCGGUUGCUGUGCAUUCAAUGAUGUGCCUCUCUCUCGCUGAGAUACUCAGCUGCCUCGCCCAUUGGAGUGGCAACUGGCAAGUGCCAAAAAUAUUAUUCUGUUAGUCUUUUACAGUACCACCACCAAAUUAUUAUCUUAAAUUAAAAAAAAGAAAAAGCAGCAUUCCGUGACACUUUAGUAACACUCGUCCAUUAGUUUUGGAUUCCAUGGAAUAUACCAUAUGCAAUUCCUUUGUGUGAUAGCACUACAGCUUUACCAUUCUAUUAGUCUCUAAUAACAAUACAAUAACUUUUCAAUCCAUGGACAUAGAACAUUGGAUUUAUAAUCAAUAUAAAUAAAUAAAGUAUAUUGUUACUCAUCAGAAAUAAUUCGAUGAACACUUAACAAUUUUAUUUAAUUGGAGUAACAUUAAAAAGCUAAAUGUUCGAUUUUUUUUUCACAAUUUACUUUCCCAAAGCAUAAAGCAGAGUUCAUUAAAAAAGUUCCGAUAUUUUAAAAUUUACUUAAGAUUAUAUAUAUAUAUAUAUAUAUAUAUAUAUAUAUAUAUAUAUAAUCUUAAGUAAAUUUUAAAAUAUCGGAACUUUUUUAAUGAACUCUGCUUUAUGCUUUGGGAAAGUAAAUUGUGAAAAAAAAAUCGAACAUUUAGCUUUUUAAUGUUACUCCAAUUAAAUAAAAUUGUUAAGUGUUCAUCGAAUUAUUUCUGAUGAGUAACAAUAUACUUUAUUUAUUUAUAUUGAUUAUAAAUCCAAUGUUCUAUGUCCAUGGAUUGAAAAGUUAUUGUAUUGUUAUUAGAGACUAAUAGAAUGGUAAAGCUGUAGUGCUAUCACACAAAGGAAUUGCAUAUGGUAUAUUCCAUGGAAUCCAAAACUAAUGGACGAGUGUUACUAAAGUGUCACGGAAUGCUGCUUUUUCUUUUUUUUAAUUUAAGAUAAUAAUUUGGUGGUGGUACUGUAAAAGACUAACAGAAUAAUAUUUUUGGCACUUGCCAGUUGCCACUCCAAUGGGCGAGGCAGCUGAGUAUCUCAGCGAGAGAGAGGCACAUCAUUGAAUGCACAGCAACCGCCAAUAAAGAAUCCCCAGAAAUUACUCUUUUCUGCAAAAUAAUACUAAUUAGUAUUAAGUUGGGUAUCACCUAACUAAAAGAGUAUUCGAUUGGAAUAUAAUUAUGUUUCUUGAUGUGAACUCUAUGAGCUGGAAAUUCUUAGUUGAUGCAUUUGCAAUUUUCUUGGAACUAAAUAAAAAAAAAAAAAAAAAAAAAGAGAGAAUCGCAUUUCUUUAAUCUUAAAUAUAGGAUGACGACUAAGAUAAAUAGAAUAAUAAUUACUUUUAGAAGUUGAAAAAACAAUCAACAAAAAUAAGAUAUAUAUCAAAAAUGAAAUGUAUAAAUUGAAACUAAAAAUAGAAAUUGAGAUUUUGGUAGACAUUCAAACUCAUGUGCUGACGUGGUAUGAUUACAUAUAAUAAUGAAAUUUAUGGGAAAAAAAUUCAUAUAUUAUAAUGAACUUUGGGUCUGUUAGAGCCCAAACAGUAAAUAGAAAGAGAAGCUAAAUAACAACUUACCCAAGCCCAGAAAUCCGUCCACUGCAAAAAGUGAACUCAGUAGUAUUGGCCCAAGCCCAACAAUCUUAGCCAUAAGCCAUGCAUCGUUGAUAAACCAUUGGCAGUUGGAUGUGGCCACAGAUAGCACCAACCCAAACAAACCCCCAAUGAAUUAACUGCUGUUAAAGAAGUGAAUUUCAGGGCAAGGAAGGAAUAGCCACAAACCUUAAAACAAAAUUAAUUUUAUAUUUAAAAGGUACAUAAAUUUUCACGGGUUAACAGAAAAUUGAUGAAGAGUGAAAGUCCAUAUAUGCCAAAAUGUAAUUAGAAAUUUAAAGUUGUCAGUAUUUAAAAAAAGAUGAUGUAAUCUCAUUAUAAGUUACGAAAUUAGCUUGUUUUAUUAAAAAAAAAAAAAAAAAGAUUAUCUUCUAACAGUCAUUAUCUACAAUCAUUAUAUAAGAAAUUGCACCCUCAAUUUGUCUGUUGUUGAGAGUAUUAAUCAUUUAAUGACUUAAUAUAUGCUUAAAUAAUUGAAAAUUAGAGAUUGAUUAAGUUGAAUUACAGAAGUAAACUUGUAAUGAUAAAAGCUGGUCUAAAUUUAAUUUAGGAUCGGUCAUGUUAUGUAUAGUUGUUAGAAAAUAAAACUACUGAUAUAAUUAUAAAAUUAAUAUUGAAAUGCGAUAUUAAUAAUUUCAUUUCCAUGUUAUAUCUUGAAGUGGGCAGCAAACGUAAUGGAAGAGCAUUAAAUGGGCAGUGGUCAAGUCUAAAAUUAGCAACUACUUUUUGCAGGGCUGCCACUUAUAGUGUAGCACUUGAAUUGGGACACUGUAAUAUCUUUCUUUUUCUCUGUAUUUUCGCAUUUAAUUGGGUUGGUGAGAAGAGGCCAUGGAAGCUGGCUGCAAUCCAAUACCAUACCUCAAAUACUUGCAUUGCAUGCGCUUCGCUUUAAUCACUACAUUCCCUCUUUCUUUCUUCUUCUCCUUCUAAUGAUGAAUUCCGUGCCAUACCCAAAUCAUUCGCAAAGCAGACAUUGCAUGUGUUACCAACUCAAGUAAAAAUCCAUCUUCCUUUGAUAUAUAUACAAAAAAAAAAAAAAAAAAAAAAAAAAGUUUAUAUUAACAGACCAUUUAAAAAGUUGAAUCAGCAGAAAUAAAAUAUUUUCCAAACGGAACAUCUUUAAAAAAAAAUCUAUAUUACAUCAACAGACAGUUAGAGAUCAACGGAAGUACAUUGUAGCUAGAUGGACUUUACAUGCUCAACACCGCAAAGCCUGAGACCGACAAGCAUAAUUUUCUGUUCCUGCGAUUUCUAAUUUCUAAUUUGAUAUUUAAUUUUAAGACUAUUAGGUGGAGUUUUUACAUCAUAUGGUGAUUUUGACAACCACAACGUUUUGCAGCGCAGUAAAAAUGGAAGACGUGCGGGGUAAUUUUGACAACUCCAACAUUGCUUGUUACGCUUUCCGAGAUGAAUUUUGUUUUUUACUAUGAUUAUUUAGUUUGAAAAUUAGAACCUUUACAGGCUGGUUUGAAAUUAACUAGAAUCUACAGAACAUUGAAUAUCCAAUAAUGAGUCAACUAGGUCUUAGCUUUUAUCUAUCUAGUCUAUUACUUACGCAUUUUUUUGUCAAAAUACAAUUUUGCUCCAUCCAAUUUGGAAACUUUUGUUUUAACAUCGUAUAGGUAUUUUUGCUCUAACAGUAAUUAUUUUGAGACAUAAGUUAAAAGUAUAUCUGAAAGGCAUUUAUUGUUUCUUCCUAUGUUUACUGAUGAUUAAUAAUUAUUAAAACGAAAGAUCCCUUCUACGGAUUAGAAGCUAAUUUUAAUUAUUUUUAAGUUUUUAAUCCUAAACUUCUGUAUAGUUAUAUAAAAAUAACUAAUCAUGUAUUGGGUUUAUGCGGAAUAUACAAUUUAAUUAUAUUAUUUUUAAGAAUUUAUAUUAUAUUAUAUGAAUUUGAUAUUUAUAUUUUUAUCGUUAUAUUUUAAAGUCUUGAGAUAUAAAUUUUAAUUAAUUAUAUGUACUUGUUGAAUUUGAUAACUAAUAACCUUAUAAUAAGUUUAUUGUAUUAAUGAAAAUAAUUUUUAAUUUUUUUUCAAUAAUUAAUAAUCCAAAUAAUAAGUUCAUUGCGUUAAUGAAAAAACUCUUCAGUUUUUUUAAUUAUUAUCAAUUUUAAAUUUAAAUUCUUCUAGUGCUUUUUUUCUGUUCAAUUCACUUACAAAUUAUAGUAUAAGAAAAUGAUUUUCAAAUUUUAUUGAUAAAUUAUAUAUUAUUGUUAACGGUAUUAAUAUCAAUGUACUCAAUUGUAUAAAUAGAAAACUCAUUAAAAAAGAAUACAAACAACAAUUUUUUUGCGAACUCAGUUUUAUUCAUAUUCUUUUUAUAAAUUUCUUACAGCAUAAGAAAAAUAUUUUUUGAAUUUUUUAUUAAAAAUAAUAUUAUUAUAUUUAUUAAUCAUUAAAAAAUAAAUUGAAAAUUUUAUUAUUUGAAAUAAUAUAAAUGAUAUUACAAGUUACUUACUUAGUUAUUGAAAAAAAAAAAGAUAAUUUAAUAUUAUUAAAUUAAAAAUACUAAUAAAAUUUUAUUAUUUGGAAUAAUAUUUAUAAUAUUUGAAUUCCAAUAUAUAAUGUUUAAUUAUAAUAAAAAUUCCUAAAUGAGAAGAGAUUAUAUACUAUUAAAAUUUCUUUACACAUUUAUUAUUCAGUAUUUAAUUAAUUCUUAAAUAAGAAUUAUAUUUAGAACCCAAUAUAUAAUAUAUAAUUGUAUAUUUGUCAAUAAAAUUUAAAUUUAAAUAAAAAAUUAAUAUUACUUAUCAAAAUAAAUUUUGUUUAUAUUUUUAUCAAUAAAAUUAAAAUUAUUAAAAAUAUUUUUAUCGAUUCAGAAUUUUAAUAGACACAUUUUUGACAAUUUUAAUAUUUUUCUUGUCUGUUUUCACUUUUAUAUAUAUCACCCACUGGUCCACACUCUCGAGUCAAAAAAUAUAGAAAGAGACAAAUGUAAUAAUAAAAUCUAAUGUUGUAAAUGCACACAAGAAAAAAGUGGCAAAAAAGAAAAUGAAAUAGGUAAAAAGGUAAAAGAAAAAGGACAUUGAUCAGGACCAAUCAAACCCACCAUAUUUUUCUCUCUUGAAUGCUGAGUGUGACCUCAUUUGGACAAACUUUCUAGAAAAACCCAUCAAAGUAAUGGAGAAGAGCAGCUGGCUUUUAGCAUUUCUCCUUCUUUCCCAAAUAUUUUCAAAAGGAGCAGCUUUUGGUAUUGGUGCUGGCAUUGGGGUUGGCAUAGGCAAUGCAGGUGGUGGUGGGGGGGGGGGGGGGGGGGGGGGGGGGGGGGGGGGGGGGGGGGUGUUUGGAUUGGUGGUGGAAUCAACACACCAACAACCCCAUCUGGGUCUUCAGUUUCUAACCUAAACAGUGCUUAUUCUGCUUUGCAAGCAUGGAAAUCAGCGAUAACAGAUGACCCAUUGAAGAUUUUGGACACUUGGGUUGGUUCUAAUGUUUGUUCUUACAGAGGUGUUUUUUGUGCAGUUCCUAGAGAUGAUGAAUUGGCUACACCUUCUAGUCCAGUUGUUGCAGGUAUAGAUCUCAACCAUGCUAAUCUUCAAGGCAGUCUUGUCAAAGAACUUUCUUUUCUUACAGAUAUGUCUCUCCUUCACCUUAAUAGCAACAGAUUUUCAGGCUCGAUUCCUUCUUCUUUCAAAGACCUCACUUCUCUUCAGGAAUUGGACCUCAGUAAUAACCAAUUUUCAGGUCGUUUCCCUACUGUUACUUUAUACAUUCCAAAUCUCAUUUAUUUAGACCUCAGAUUUAAUAGUUUUUCAGGGCCUAUUCCUGAUGAUCUUUUUAACUUGAGAUUAGAUGCAAUUUUUCUUAAUAACAACCAAUUUAAUGGUCAAAUUCCUCAAAACUUGGGUAAUUCUCCUGCUUCUGUUAUAAAUUUGGCUAAUAAUAAGUUCAGUGGAAGUCUACCGGCUAGUUUUGGCCUAAUGAGUUCAAAACUGAAGGAGAUUUUGUUUCUCAAUAAUCAGUUAACAGGUUGCAUUCCUCAAGGAGUUGGGUUAUUUCAAGAAAUGCAAGUUUUUGAUGUAAGCUAUAAUUCACUAAUGGGUCGUUUGCCAGACACAAUUUCAUGUCUUGAUCAGAUUGAAGUGCUUAAUUUGGCACAUAAUAAGCUUUCUGGCGAACUACCUGAUCUUGUUUGUUCUUUGAGAAGUCUAUUGAAUUUGACUGUUGCUUACAAUUUCUUUUCUGGGUUUAGUCAAGAAUGUGCCAAAUUGUUUAUCAGGAAUGUGGGUUUUGACUUCUCUUUAAAUUGCAUUCCUGGAAGAGAUAUGCAAAGACCUCAACCAGAGUGUUCUGUUAUACCAGGAGGAGGAUUAAGUUGCCUUAGAAUACCUGCUGUACAACCUCUUGUUUGCGGGUCUCUUGGAGUGACUAUAAAUGUCAAUCUUGGCCCAUCAUCUCCAUGAAAGACAGCGUGUAUUUGUUACUAAUAUUGUAUAACAGGUUGGUGAUGGUUGCAUCAUUAAUUAAUAGCACUUAUGGUUUAGAACUCCCUAAUUAUUUCUUUAUCUACUGGGCACAUCUGACUCUAUAAAUCUGUUUUCCAAUGAAUAAGAAAUACCCAGGAAUUUAGUUGAUUGUGAUUCUUGUUGUAAGUAUUAUCUACAUCGAAGUAAUUCAUGAUAGAUAGUAAAAAGUAAUUAAGGAGCUUACUUUAUCAGGUGAUACAUGUGAUGGUGGUAUUUUUACCAGGUGAUAUUAUUUACCCAAUUCGAGGAAAACUAAGACUAAGCCAAGAAUUACAAAAAUGCCAACCAUAGAAAGAAACUGUCACAGAAAAUUACACUAAGAACUAUAACAAUGCCAAUACAUUACAGAACUGCUAUUUUUUUUUCUUUUUUCUUUUUUAAAUUAAAUGUAAUACAUUGGGUUAGGAAUUUUAAACGAUCUCUCUGCCGUUGCAAACCCUAAUAGGUCACUCCAUUGAUCUCCUGAGCUUCCAUGUAUCCUGUAGCCUUCAUUUACCAACUCCAAUCUCUUCUGAGAUUUGUACAGAGUUGCUGGCUUGCCUUGAUCUGAAACUCCCCUGUAUCAUACACCAUUAUAUUGAUCAUUAACCCAAUGUUAUUCUUAUCUCAAGUAUAGUAGAGAUCAUUUAUAUUACAUCACACACCUCAAAAUUAGCUUUUCCCAAUCGCUGUAUCCUGCAAAUACAAGAUUUUUUGCUGUAGCAUUCCUUUGAUAUUCACUCCGUCCGGUCAACAAAAAAAUUGUAAAACCCAGCCGCUUUAACUUCUUGUACAAUUUCAAACUUGCUGCCAAUGCAGGUGCUUCAGCUAAAUCCACCCACUUAUCGAAAGACAAUUCAUCGAAGGGUUCAGAUCUACAUAGACAGCAUGAAAAACAUAGCAAACUUGAUCAGCCAAUAUAGAGUUCUUGCAUUUGUGUGUACAUGGUUAAGGAUGCGCCUAUACCCUUAUCUUUAAAUUGUUAACUCACUGUAACAAAUGCUUCAUACAAGAAAACAAAUAUGGUUAAAGCUCGGUUGUCAAGCACUGAAAUUUAUGUGAAUAAUUAUGCCAGAAAGGAGCAAUUCACUUGAAGAUAAAGCAUGUAGCAACUUGCUAAAAAGGAAUCCAAAAGAAAUUAUGACCAUAAAGCUAGAACCAAACUGGUGGUACAAAGUUAUACACCAAACAGUGCAGCUACUAAGCAUGUUACUAGUAAAAGAGUUGGGACCCUUGCUUGCUCAUAAUGACUUUUUUUUUCCUUGGACACGGUAAAUCUCUCAGCAUUCUUUUAUGAUAAAUGCCUAUCAAAGAGCCUUAAAGGUUUGCAAGCUGUUUUUUUUUUUUUUUUCUUUACCCGGUAAAGCAACUGGCAAAAUCGGGGAGUAGGUUAAACAUCAAUUUCUUGUUUUGGCUUUAUUCUCAUGCACAAAGUAUUGUUAGAAAGUAAAAAUUGUCAACUUCAAUCUCCACUGCUGCCACAUAAUUUUACCAAAUUUGUAUUGGGUUGGGCCUGCGCGGCUGCGCCAAUCAAACUACCAUGAGGUGGUCCAUUUAUACCAGUACCAUGAAGCCUUUAACGUGCCUAGUUUUAAUUGGUGUAACCUUCCAGAAAAUGACAUUCAUGUGAUCAAAAUUCAAAAUAAUGAUUAAGCGAAAUCAGAUAGGUCAACGUAUCGCAAUCGGCGGAAUUUCAAUGGAUAAAAUAGUCAUAUAAUUCAAUGGCUAGGAUUCUCUGACGUACCCGUAUCCGUGGAGUUCGUAGUAAGGUAGAUUGGAGAGCAAUGUUUCAUCAAUAUCAAAGACCCAAGCGUCCUUCCCAUCUCCGGCAAUAUUCACUGUCUUUGCGAAGGCAAACGCAUAGGAAGCCACGACCGCAGAGUCGGAGACGUAGCGGUCGCCCGUCACGUAGAGCUCCACGAAGCGAGCGCAUCUGGAAGGAACGUAGGUCCAGUAACCGGCGUUGUUGGUUUCAACUGAGAGUCUCCAGCUGUCGCAAUAGAGAUCAUCGUCUCCGCCUCCACCACGAGUUUGAUGGUCGCUGGGCAACCGGAUAAUAGAUUGGGAAACGGUGACGUAUAAGAGGCUAAGGAGGAGGAGGAGGAUAAGAGAAACGAGGGAUUGAAAGGCAGCCAUUGGAAUAAAAGCUCGAGCAGGAAUAGCUAUUGUUGAUAGCUACAACAACUUUUCCUGGUCUGCCUUUUCCCUCUUUCGCCUCACUCUAGAUGUGAGAGGCCAAUGGAAAUGGAGGAACAAUUCUGAGAUUGCUUUAUUGAUUUUGGUAUGGGACCAAUACCAAAUUUAUUGUCUUAAAUAUAAUACGACAGACGACACUGCUCAUUAAAAAUCUGGCUAAACGACACGACAUUUUAUGCCCACCUCUUAAUUUUUUUUUUUUUUUUUUUUAAAUUCUGGUAGAUAUAUCCGGCCAAGCUGGAUCGCCACAAGUGCAUUUGGGCAUUUGCAAGACCCCGUCCUAAGGAAUUAAAGUAGUUGCACAGUUACUAUUUUUUUUAAUUAAUUUUUAUUAUAUUGGUGGAAAUUUGAGCUAGUAAUUAGAUAAAAAUCCCUUCACGGGACUCCACCUUUCCAACUCUAGAGUCUAGCUGAUUUAUAUUUAUAAUAAUGAUUUUUAUAAUUCAUAUAUAUUUUUGUCUCUUUUUGGUUCUCUUCUCUCUGCAAUAAUGGAAUCUCUCAAGACAACCAAAAUUAUGAGGGUUUGAAAGUUAAAUUAUAGGCCAUAACUUAUUAUUAACAACAGACAAACAGAGUAUAAAAAAUAUGAACAAACAAUUAAUUGGCUUUUUUAUUGUCUGUAUGUACAGUUUCUAUAUCUGUUGGUCAUAUAAGCAUUGUUGGUAUAACAAAAGUUAUACUAACAAACAAAAACUCCUCUACUGUGACAAAACCAACCAAAACCAACAAAGACAUAAUGAAUUCCGACUAUCCAUGCUCCCAGAGAAAGAAAAUCUUAUAGAAUUUAUGAGGGAAAAUUCAGGGAAAUGAAAGAAUGUAAGCAAACUUUAAAAAAAAAAGCAGCAAAACGUCUUGUCUGCUCAAACCAAUAGUUGUUUCACUCUAUCAAUGAGCAAAAAAAAAAACUAACUGGUUAUCAUUGCAUCAUAAGAGAAGCUCUAAGAGAAGGAGUAGUCUUGCUCAUCAUGGCAAAGCUCCUUUCGAAGCUUAUGGGAGAAAAGCUGGCAAGCGUCCAUGCUUAGAUCAAUAGCAGCAGAAAGAGCUAUAAAUAAGGCAGCAUCAGCCAUGCAAGUGACGUGUUGCAUUCCUACUUGCACUACUGGCUUGCUAACCUUUCCUUCUCCUUCUACAGUAGAAUCCAUCACAAAUCCUUUAACAGGCGAUCUUGAACUAUUCAAUCCUGAAUCUUUCAUUAUUCUACUAUCAAUGCAAAAUUGGCCGCCUUUCCUUACGCUCAAUGUAGCUUCAGCAAUCGGAAUUCCUCUGCUAGGACCGCCAUUGUCGGUCACAAGCUCAAACUUGUAACCAAGCCCAUCAAUAGGACCUCUUUCUCUCCAUGCCUCUAAGCGACCCCAUGGUUUCCAGCUACUAACAGAGAAUCCGUGAGGCCGGAGAAUUAGCCAUGCGCCAGGGUUUGAUCGAGAAACACGAUCUGAGCCUGGAGAAGGAACAAAUGGGGUGAUCAUAGAGGCUGCUGCAACUGGAGAACCAGAAAGAUCAUAUAUCAUUAUCAUCCAUCCCUUUCGCUCUCUUCCUGCUCGUUCUUUCUCCCCAGUAAAGGUUCUCCUCCAUCCUCUGUUAUUGUUGUUGAGGGUGAAAUCUGAUGGCAAAGAUCUGAUUUUACAAAAUAAAAUAAACUUUAGAACAUUACAUUACAUUACAAGUAACUGAAUACAAAAUAUUUAGAACAAAUAUUUGCACAUGGGGGAGAAUCUGAGUCGGUUGUAUUUGACAGUUGGGGAGAUAUAUAUGCAAUUGUUGUCUCCUUGACCAAACCGGUAAUGCAUUUAACUUGACUAAUAAAUUAUUUAGUUGGUGAGUUAUACAUAUAAUGGAAAGUUCAUGAUCUGUAAUGGUUGGUGGUGGAUGCAAAUUUUACUGAUUAAGUUCGAGAUUGAAGCAUUAUUUGGACAAAAUGUUGGAAGGAAAAAAAUGACAGAAGAUGAUUAACUGUGAGCCUAAGCUCAUCUGCAACAUUUGCGGCUAACUUGUACAUUUUUCUACAUAAAGUAAAUACCCCCAUUCUUUUCCUGUUGGAAUGUAAAGUAAAUCUUUCCAUUUCCUUUUUUUUUUUUUUUUUUUUUUGAAAUUUUUGGAUGAUCUGUUCCGAUAAGCAAGUAUUUGAAACAAAGAAAGCGCAUCUGAAUUUUCACUGCAAAUGAAGAUUUUAAAAAAUCAAUCUUUCUACUAAAAUGCAUACCUAUCAAAUUAAAGUGGAUCCUAACAAAAUUUUGAAAUUAGUAACUGAUAAACUGUGUCUUGUUAGAAAUUUAAUUUCACCAGAAUCAAAUAACAGAUAAGGUGCGUGGUGGCCACCAUGGCAGACUAGGCAUGUGAUGUUAGUAAGGUAAGAAAGGAAACGACAACCCACAUGCUUGCUUUAUCCGUAACCGAAACUCAUAUUCUGUACAGCUUGCAAAUAGUAAUAGCUAGCUAGGCCCCAGAGUCAGUAGGAUGAACAAUUAUUCACCGGAAAACAACAAAUUAAUCAAUUAGUCAAUCGGAUAAUCAUGACCCUACCCUGCCUUAACAACCACUAUCACCGCAUGUUUGCAUACCCACCUCAUACCCCACUGAAAUGCAUCAAAUAACAGAAAAAUCAAAAAGUAUAAAAAAGAAGAAUUAAAAAAAAUUUACCUAGAUCUUGCGUUCCGGUCUGCGCUAAACUUGCAACUGAAAACGGGCUGUCGUAUAUUUCCUUGAAUUUGGUAAACCACUGGGCUGCACUCCGGUUCACCACCAAACUGAAAAACAAACCGUGGGUCCGGUUCAGACCGGACAACAAGAUAUAGCCGAGCCGCUGGCUUAUCCGGUUGGUUACCCAAUUUCAACCAUCCAUUUUGAAACACUCUUGGAUUCGACGUAGCAUUCCCCAAAUCAAUACUGACCUGAACAUGACCUAGUAACUUCCCGCCGUUGACUCCGCAUGUCCGACCCAUCCGACCCGUGUAAACCUCCAUCCGGAGUGUGAUAGGCUUACCAGAGAGACGACUAAGAGCGAUGGCGUCGAGAUGGAAACCGGGGGCGGAGGUGGAGGUGUCGGGCGGAGAAUCAUUAGCAGUAGAACACAUAGGAAGAAGGGCAGUUUGAGAAGGGAAGUUUUUGAAACGCAAUUUGCAGAAACAUGGUGUGGUUGACGGGUGGACACCGGAACCAGCUGGUUUGGUGGCCAAAGGGAGUUUUAGAGCGAGAGAUUCAACGAUUAAACGAACAAAUGGACAUGGAUCCAUUUUGUGAGCUUUCUCACUCAAUCUCUCUUUGGAGUAUAUUAUUUAAGAGAGGUUUUUAGCUCGAAAUGUACGAUCAGUGCCUAGAGAGGUUCGGAAACAUCUAUGUUGAUGGAGUAGAAUGGUUGUCGGUUCACCUGUUAUAACAUUUCGCUUUCUCUCUCUAUCUUGCUCUUUUCCUUUCUCUCUCUAAUAUAACCCUUGCUUGUGUUGUUUAGUGGGACCUUUCUCUGCAUUUUUUUUUUUCUAUUUCGCGCCAAAAAUCCACCGUGAGAAAUUGUUUUCCUUCCAUGCAAUAAAACGACACUUCUCUGCAGUUUUAUAAUUGACAAGAAAAUGGAUGAAUGCAAACGAUAAAUUAAAGAGAAAAUGGUGCGGGCAUUAUCUCGUGGGAAUCGAUCGCAUUGUGGGGUCAAAAACACAGCUGGAUUAAGGCUGUCACCACGUUGUCAUUGGCGUCAUAAAGUCCAAGCUGGACUCUGAUUGGAGCAGAAUUUCUGCUUCACUGCACAUCAAAUUUCAAAUUAUCCCAUUUAUCAGAAAGAAGUUAUGGUUGACAUGGCAUUCACUUUCGCCUCUUCAUCUUUAAUCCCGUUUUGGACCGCGGUUUCCGACGGCGCUGGCCCGCUGUUUGGAAUUAUAUGAUUUCUAGAUUAAGAUCAUUAAUUCAAAAAUUUACCGUUUUAGUUGGUUUUAAAUUAAUAAAUUAGUUUUGUUAUAUGUAGACCAACCCCAAACUCUAGAAGUAUAAUGUCAGUUAUAAUCUUCUUUAUUAGUGGACUAAACAAAUGAUAUAAAGAUAUAUAUGUAAUUCAUAUUUAAUAAUCCACAAUAUUUACUCGAUUAUUUAGGAUCUGUUUGAUUUAGCUAUUUAGACCAGUUAAUAGUGAUUAUUGAUAAUUGGUCGCUGGUGCUUGAUAAAAGUUAACCAAUUAAUCUUAGUGUUCGGUAAUAUUUCAAUAUCAGUUGUUGUUAAAAAGUAAAAUGAUAUUUAAAGAUAUAUUUGUUUUUUUUUAUAUUAUGGUGAAUAAUAUAUUUUUCUUUUAAUUUUUAAGGUAAAUGUGUGUUUUUAUCUUAAUAUGUUAUAUAAAUAACAAAAAUACUUAUUAAAUCUUUUCAAUAUAAUAUUUAACAAAAAUUUUUAUUUUUAAAAUUACCAUAAUAAAAAUAAUGAUAAAAAAAUAACUAAUUUUGAAAAUAUAAUUUUACUAGUAAUUAUCUUUGUAAGAUUAAUAAAGUUAGACAUAUUAUAAAUGUAAACUAACUAUUAGCUGACAUGAAAAAAUUUUAAAAUGGAAUUAAUGGAAUUAACUGUUGUUUAAAAUAUUUACAAGAAGUUUGCAGCAUAACUGCUAAGUAAGAAUAAGCUAUCAAUUAUAUGAAAUCAGUUGAACUAGACAUUCUCGACUUGUGUUCUCUUCGAAUUAAUCAACGGACACUCUAUUUUUCUUAUAAAUUAUUCUAUAAAUAUUUUGACGGAUAAAUUGAAUUAAAUUAUUAUAUAUUCUUUAAACUGCCUAUUUCUUAUUUUCAUUUAUAUCAAAGAGUAUCUAAUAAAAUUAAAAAAUAUAUAUUAUAUUUAUCUUUAUUUAUUAUUAUUUGUCUCAUCGAUAUAUGUCAUUCAUAAAAAAUUCUUUUGAUUCAUCGUAUAAAUAAACGUAAAAAAAAAAAUUUUGAUUUUGAAAUUGCAUCGGAAAAGGAAAAGUUAAAAAAUAGAAGAAUUAAUAAAACUACCAUAUACUUUUAGAACUUAUAUGGUAUUUGCAACUAUUUACUUAAUAUUUUUAAAAAAUUUUGUACAAAUAUUUGAAAAGGCACUUGCAAAGAAACAAAGAUGAUACGUUAAUACCUAAAUAAUAAAAUAACAUGGGCGUUUUUGUCCAUCAACAUAUUCCCUCCGCGUCAGUGGCGAAUGACGAUAGAGUGACGGAGGCAACUUUACAAAUACAGAGAAGCAAUGUAUUGCGACAUGGACGUUUAAAUCAAGUCAAAACGACAAAACCUUAGAAAUAGGUAAUGUAAUAAUGAUAUAUUGGUCAAUGUAACAUAUUUGACGAAGUGAGUUAUACAUUGAAACUUAAUUAAUUGAAUAAACAAUCACUUGGUAAAGACACCUGGCUGUUGGUUGGUAAAUUUUAAUUUGCAGUUAUCUUUUUAAUUUGUUUUUAUUCAGCUGAGGUGGGAAAAUUGCAUAAAAGGCAAUGCUUUAUGAACAGUAAAAGUGCCAGCUUUUGUUCCCUUAAUCGAGGGGUUAAUAAGGAAAGUGCAUGUCGUUUUUCUUUUUUUGGAUUUUUAUUUUAAAGAGAAUGGAAAACGUACCAUUUUUUUAAAAGAAAUAAAAUAAUUCAUAUUUAGUGUCCUUGUAGUGUUUCCAUAUUUUUUUUUUUUAUGUAGAUGGAAUGCCUUUCCGUUGGGUUGGAUCCGCAAAUAACUUUUUCUAAGUAGUUUUGACAAGUGAAAAUGUUGAAUAUAUAGUAUUUAAACUCCUUUUAAAUGUUAUUAUAAUAUUUUUUAAAAUUUUAAUUUUCAUAACAUUUAAAUUUUAACGUCUUAUCAAAAAAUAGUUAAAUACCGAUAAAACAAUUAAUAACUACAAAAAUAAUUAUUUUUACUGAACAUGUUUUUUAUCUUUUGUCGUAUCUCCAUCCAUUCAUAUAAAUGAAAUUAAUCCUCUUACUAGUCAAAUGUAUUAUUUAAGUAAAAUAUUUUUAAUAAUGAUGACAACAUAUUUUGAAUGCGACCUUACAAGUAAAGUUCUCAUGAAAUGUAAUAUAUCUUUAUUAAUCCAACUAUAUUUGGUAUUAAAUUUAUAAUAAUUGCAUUACAGAUAAAAAGAACCUAUUUUUAAAUUAAAAUUAUGAGAUAAAAAUAAUCUUAAUUUAUAAUUUGAUCUAAAAAUCAAACCCUAAAUAUAAAAUAUUUACCUUUACCCUUAUACAACAUAUUUGUUAAUGUUAAAAUGAUUGUCCCCAUGUAAAAUUUCAUAAUUUCACCAUUCACUUUCACUUAGAAAUGUCCCUUUUGCUUGUGUUUUAAACCUUAUCCUUUUGAAUCCCAAUCAAGAAUCAAACCCUUUUUGUGAGAAGGAGACCCAACCAAAAAUACUACUCCAACGGAGUGGGCCUAUAUCUACAUUUAUCUAUGACCAGAGCGUGGGGAACAAACCUGUGGGCAUACCUUCUCUUCUGUUAUAUGCUUAUUUCAUUACUACGCUACCAAAUUGUUUAACUCAUUAUCUUCAAAUUCUCACACUCCAAUAGAUAUGGAUGCAUUUUUUCAGGAGACAGGUUGUCUAUUUGUCAUUUACUUUUAUAUAUAUGGAUUUAUGGAAAGCACUUAACUAAUUCGUAUAUGAGUCCAGCCAUAUAUACAAAGGAGAAAAAUAAUAAUAAAAUAGUAAUAAUAUUUUAAAAAAUCUAUUUCGGAUCGGAUUUAGUGUAUGAGAUCGCUUUAUGCACAUUAUGUUAAAUUCAUUAUUAAGACAAAACGCAUUAAUCAUAAUAAUUAUUUUCAACUAUGCAAUAAAUCACUGGUAUUGAAUGGUUAAUUAAUUACUGCUUAACACAACAAACACAAUUAAAGGGGAAGAAGGGGUCAUUUCAUGCAUACUUAUUGACACUAAUCCACUUAGUUGGUUUCUCUUUGCAAGCCAUGUGAAUUAGUUUGUAAGGGUCUUGUCCAUGCUUAAUGGUGGGGUAAGGCAAAGUUGAAAAGGGCCAAAAUCUGAAAUUAACGAUUAAAGAUUAGGGCUUUUUGGAUAAGAUUCUAUUUCGAUGAUUAUUAUUGUUAUUAUUUUAUUAAUAAUUAUUUUUUUAUCAAUGAUGAUCCAUUCAUAGUAAAAUCAAUAUGCCAAGCACUGUCCACGAGAUUUUCGGUCAUUUUCACUGUUUUUUAAGGAUAACUGGUGUUAUAAUCCGCGCGAUGCACGAAGCAAUAUUUAAGGAUGAAAUAAUUUUUUAUAACUUCGAUAUAAACACAAUAUGAAAAUUAGACGAUUGACACGAACAUGACACGUUUAACCCGCUUAAUAUCAUAAACAGGCUAAGUGAGUCGUGUUGUUGACCCAUAUACAACUCAUGACCCAUAUAUUAUAAAUAGGUUAAGUGGAUGUGUUGACCUACAUACGACCCACUUAACUUACUUAUAAUAUUUUUAACUUUUAACCUAUUUAACUCCAAUCAUAAUUAAAAAUAAAUUUUCAUACGUAAAAUGUAUAAAUUCUUCAAGAUUUAUAAUUAAAAUAAAAAAGUAAUACAAUAAUGAAAUUUAAAUAUGUUUUAGUUGGAGUAUUUAUUUUUAAUUAUAAAUUCUUCAAGAUUUAUAAUUAAAAUAAAAAAGUAAUACAAUAAUGAAAUUUAAAUAUGUUUUAGUUGGAGUAUUUAUUUUUAAUUAUAAAUUCUUCAAGAUUUAUAAUUAAAAUAAAAAAGUAAUACAAUAAUGAAAUUUAAAUAUGUUUUAGUUGGAGUAUUUAUUUUUAAUUAUAAAUUCUUCAAGAUUUAUAAUUAAAAUAAAAAAGUAAUACAAUAAUGAAAUUUAAAUAUGUUUUAGUUGGAGUAUUUAUUAUAACACUAAAAUUACCUUUUUACUCUUAAAUAAAUGGAUUACUCGCCUAACCUACCAGUGACAUAACACAUUUAUAUUCGUGUAAUAAAUAGGUGACUCGUUUAUGAUACGAACUCGUUUAACUUCAAUCCUAACUUAUUUAUUUCGCGUGUUAGACGAAUCAUGAUCGAGUGUUGUGACCCAUUUUGACACCUAUAACAUGACCUGCAUCAAAGCAUUCACAUACACUAUUAAUGUAUUUUUCGAUAGUGAUAAUAAUUUUGAGAAUUUAACGAAUUAUAUUGAAAUAAUAAGUUAUUUUAUUUUACGUUUAUGAUUUAUUAUAAAUGAUUGUUUAUUUAUUUGGAAUAUUAAUGUAUUAUACUUAUCUAGUGUAGUGUGUCCUAAGCGUGUGGAUCUCUUUUUUUUUUCCUUAUAAUCCGUACGAUGUGCAGGGUAAUAUUAAAAGAUGAAAUAAUAUUUUAUAACAUUAUUUAAAAAUAGUAAAAUUAUAUAAUAAAAUAAUAAAUUAUAUCUUGCUGAGAUAUGUUAAAAAGUUGCAGUGUUAAUAUAUGUCUUCUUUAAGUAUCAUGCGAAACUUUUCAUAAGAUAUGUAACAGUAAAAGUUAUGUAUGGUAUGAGCUAUAACAAAAAAAAACGUAUACACACGAUUAAUAUAUAUUUUUAACAGUGAUAAUAAUUUUGAAAAUUUAACUAUUGAAAUAAGAAAUUAAAUAUUUUUUUAAUGAUUAUUUAUUUAUUUGAAAUAUUAAUGUAUUACUUUUUUAGUGUAGUGUGUCCUAAGCAUAUGAAUGUCCAACUUUUUAAAAAUUGUUGCAUCCGUAUGUUCCCGUAUCCCGUGUCCCGUGUCCAUGCAACCUAACUCUUGGUAUAUGAAACUACUCCUUACACCAAGUUAAUCAAAUAAGGUUCUUUUUUAUUAUCAAUAAAAAUAAAGUAUUUUUUAAUUUACUUUUAUGUCAUUGAAAUAAAAAAUUAAAUAUUUUUAAUUUUAUGUUUAUGACUUAUUAUAAAUGAUUGCUUAUUUAUUUGAAAUAGUAAUGCAUUACUUAUUUAGUGUAAUAUGUCAUAAGCGUUUUUAAAAAUUAUCGAAUCUAUACGUUCUCAUAUUUCGUGUCCUAUAUCUGUGCAACAUUGCUCCAGGUAUAAAUUUAUUUCUUAUUCUACAGCUUGGGUUAUUUGUAUUUUAAUUAAAAUUUAAUUUAAUGCAUUAUCUUGAUGAGAGAUAAUUAAUAGAUAUUAUCAUGAUAAAGACAUUAUUUAAAAAUAUAAAAUAACUUAUCUUACUAGUAUUGUUGUCAUUUCAUCUUAUCUUCUCGCAACCGUGCUAAAUAGUUAUUGUUCUCCUCAUACUUUGUAAUUUUAGAAGCUUACACUUCAAUUCCAUAUAAUGCAAACUGCGCUGCUCAUAUAUAUAUAUAUAUAUAUAUAAUUAUUUUUGUAUUACAGAAUAUCAAAAUAUUAAUUUCAAUAUAAUAGUACUGAUAUUCUUAUAUAUAUUUCUUCAAAAAAAAAAAGUUCUUAUUUGUAUCUCGAUCAUGUAUUCUUAUUCGAUAUGAUGAAAUAUAAUUAUUUCCUCUUUCUAAUAAUAAUAAUAAUAAUAAUAAUAAUAAUAAUUCCAUGUAUAUUUUAAAAUUAUAAAUUCUUUAUUUUGAAGUUAAAUGGCCAUAAUUGUCAAAAUCAAAAGUAUACGAAGAGUAUAGAAAAGUUAUAGAUUAGGUAUUCAAAUUUGUACCCCACCUGGCCUCAGGCUUCACUCAAAUACCAAACCUACAUGAUUCUUCUUUCGAUGAACAGUGCCUGCUCACUCAUGCAUAAUUUUUCUAAUUAAUAUUAUAAUUCAUUAAAUAUAUAACAGUAGGAGUUAAUCUAUAAUGUCAAGAGUCAAGACCAAGAUUUUCGCAGACAAAGAGCUUUUCUUGUAAAAGUUUUGUCAAACAAACACCUCGUAAUGUUAAUGUUGAUCGCUAAUCAACAGGUUUCCCUUUCCUUUUCUUUUUCUUUUUCUUUUUCUUUUUCUUUUUUUUUUUAAUUAAUUGGUCAAUAUAUAUUGAACAAAUUAGGAGCUAAAAUAUGCAAAGCCCAAUGGAGUUGUCACGCACAAACCAAUUUGGGCCCAUCCACUUAUCCAAUAGGCUUGAGUGGGCCAUGUUGCCUCCGCAAUUAUAUCUCUAAUCAUGAAUAUUAAGUGGCACUGAUCAGAUUGCAACAACAGCCACACAAACCCAUUUUUGUAGGUUGUUAAACAUGGAUUAUAAUUGUUAUUUUGGAUCCAUAUUAUCAACUAAUUCUACAAAUCUACCUGUCCUAACAUCAUCCUUAAUUUUUCUUUAUCAUAUUUUUCUUUAAUUUAAAAAUAUUCAUUAAUUUUUAUGGGCAAAUGUUUUGGUAGAUAUGAAAUUUACAUAUCGAAUGAUCGAUUCUGUUUAGUGUAGUUUUUUUUUUUUUUUUUUUUUUUAAUAUGAAUAACCAUGCUGGUUUAAAAGAAAGAGGAAAGAAAAGGUUUGGUGGGCUGAGCCCCAUCAACACCAAUAGGCCCAAACAUUCUUUCAAAUGUGAAAUUGGGUCAAAUUUCUAGAUGCUUCUAUCGCUGACACAAUCUGACCGAAACCAAGCACGAACAAUAACGAAUGAAACUUCUGGGUCGUACUCGUACCAAUCUCUUUAUCGUUAAGAAAAUACAAAACGGUGCCAGAUUUUUCAUAAAUCAAAGCCAUCUUUUUCGAAAUUGAAGAGAUUCAUUUGUCAACAGAGAUUUUCUCUAUCCGAGUUAGCUUUCUGCUUCUGCAAUGUCUUCACCUGCUGAGUAAGUUUCCAUUUCCCUUUCUAAUAUCGUUUUGUUCUCCCAGAAUUUAUUGUCUUUUUAUAUUUAAUUUAAAGUUAUAUGUUCCUAAUUAUUAUCUUAUUAGGGGGGGGGGGUGGGUUUUCCUUGUGUUUAAUCACUGUUUGGGCUUCUGGUGAACUUAAUCCUAACCAAGUUCUUUUAGUUCUCUUUAGCUAUUUCCUAGCGUGUUUGGCUUUCGUGGUAAGGUUAUUAGUAGUAAUCCUGAAUGUGAUAGAAGUGCGAUGAGAAAAGCAAUUAUGCGAAUUGAGUUCACAAGUGUGAGGUUACUUCUUCUUGGUCUUCCUUCAGAUUGAAUACAAUGCAGAGGUGGGCAACUGUAGAUUGGGAAUGGUAAAUUAUAAUAUUCUAUAGAUGAUUACUGGUUUCUAUGAGUUUUUGAUGUACAGUAUUAUUCUUUUUUAGAAAGGAAGCAAAGGUCAUUGGCAAUCAGUCUUUUGGAGUGGGUCUCCAAUGGAGAUUUAGAUCUGGGCAUUCUCUGAUGUAUUAUUAGUUAUUAUUGAUGACCAUACAUUAAUUGAUUUUACUGCAAGUAGACAGGAAGAUAUCAUGGCUUUAAAAAAGGCUUCUCAAUAAUGUUUUCCUUUACAAUGAUACUUUCAAUGCUUGUUGUAAUCAGAGUUUUAAUUGGGAACAAAUUGACAUGGAAAUGCUCUGAUGCUUUCUAAAACGAUGACCGGUGAUGUUUUUUUAUUCUAAUCUUUAAUGCUUGAUUUGGUGGAUAGCUGUAAACUGGUUACUCCUGCUUUUGCAUUGUAUAAUGUGUAAUCGAUCUUUACAUCCGUUUUUGAAGCUUUCUAUAUUUAUUGUAACUUUUCUUGUCCAUUUGGUUCAGAUACUAUAACUCUCUUCCACCUAUAAGCAAGGUUUAUGGGACUCUGUGCCUGCUUUUUACAGUGGCCAUUCAGCUUGGAGUAUUUGAUUUGUUCCAUAUUGCAUUGAUAUAUAAACUAGCAUUGACACGUUUUCAGGUAUGAAUUCAAUUAUUUGUGGAUUAUUCCAUCCCUUAGAGCUUUCUGUUGAUAUCAUCAUCAAUGCAAUGUUUUUUCUGAAAAUUUUUGUUGACAACUGCAAUUAACAUGAUCAGUAUCUUAAAAAUAUUGAUGUCUAGAAGACAUCAUUGGUUUAUCUUAGUUGCCAUAGGUAUGGCACAUGCCGAUUAUUUCUUUUCCUAUGUGUAUGUGGAAGACUUUACUCAAUAUCAUUAGACACAGAAACUGUUUGAAUUCUGCUGAAUGAAAUCUUUUCCCCAUAGCCUAUAUAUGACCCUGCAGCACUUCACCCCUCUCUCUCUCUCUCUCUCUCUCUCUCUCUCUCUCCCCCUAUGCAUGCUCAUGGAUACAUGCAUUUGUUUUGUAUAUACACUAGAAAACAUCUCUGCUUUUGAAGCUUAUUUCAGUGUCUCAUUUCGCUUGGCUGUUCUUUUUUGUUCAAACCGGUCCACAAAACUCGUUCAUAAUUUUAUAUGGAUGUGCAGGUAUGGAGGCUUAUUACGAAUUUCUUUUUUCUGGGAAAAUUUUCUAUCAAUUUUGGUAUUCGUCUCUUGAUGAUGUAAGCCAUAGGUGCAUAGAUAUUACUUGAUUUCAUUGUUGAACUCCAUAUAUUUUUAGUUUGAGAACUAUUGAGUAGAUUUAUGCAUGCAUCUAGAACAUUUUAUUCCCUGGCACUAAUAUUUUCCAUGUAAUUGCUGCAAUUGUACAGAGCAAGGUACGGUGUUCAACUUGAGAAGGGACCUUUUGAUAGGCGUACAGCAGAUUUCUUGUGGAUGAUGAUCUUUGGAGCCCUUUCAAUGCUGGUAUGUAGUUAACUUUGUUGGUGCAUAUGCCCUAUCCAACGGUAGAUUCCACUUGAAAAUGCUAGACAUAUUGAUUAUAUUAUAGAUUAACAGUGGUGGAGACUUUCUUGCUUUGGCUUCCCAUUGUUGUUCAAAUUCAUCUUUUUCAAAGCUGUUUAGCUUUAGCCUGGAUAAUAGCAUAAGAAGCAGCACUCUCCAAAUAUUUAUUUGUAAAUCAAAUCUGUAGAAAAUAUUAAAUGUUUGAGCUGAAUUCACAUCCUCUUUCCUGCAUUUAGGUACUAGCUGCCAUCCCUUUAUUUUAUACACCUUUCUUGGGAAUAUCACUUGUGUUCAUGCUUGUCUACGUAUGGAGUAGAGAAUUCCCAAAUGCUCAGAUCAACAUAUAUGGUCUUGUGACUCUUAAGGUAUGUUUGAGAUUUUUCUGUUUAAAGUUUUGUUGGGCGGUUUCUCUUGCUUGGUAUACUAGGGGUUUGGACUUCCAUAUCUUACAUGUAUUUUCAUACUUUUGUUGGGUGGUUUCUCAGGCCUUUUAUCUACCGUGGGCAAUGCUUGCAUUGGAUGUCAUUUUUGGUUCACAUAUUAUGCCAGAUUUGCUGGGAAUCAUUGCUGGGCAUCUUUAUUACUUUUUGACUGUGUUGCAUCCACUUGCAACUGGAAAGACAUUAUUGAAAACUCCAAGAUGGGUGUAUCCUUGCAUAAUUUGGCAGUUCUCAUAGUAAUUUGCAUACAUGUUCAAUAUGCAGCCUUCAUUAGACAUAUCAUCUACUCAUAACCCACUGCAAUUUUGAAGUUUCCCCACACAGUUUUUCUGUUGCAUUAGGAAGUCAUUGCAAGUAGCAAAUCAUGUUCAUAUGUUCUGAUUAGCUAUUGUCAUUCAUCUCCAUAAUUUGCUUCCUCAUCACAUGAUGACAUCACUGAGACGGUAAAACUAGGACUAUGAUGAAAUCUUCCAAUGAUGUUUGCCAUUAGCUAUUUGUUUAAUUAGUUGAAUAUAAUUCCAUCUAAUCAUCAUUUUCCGAGAAUUUCCUGAACUAUUGUAGACAUAAACUGGUUGCAAGGUAUAGAAUAGGAGCUCCAGCCCCAACAAACAAUCGAGCUGCUCAACCCGAAAGACCUACUGGUGCGGCUUUCAGUGGAAGAUCUCACAGACUAAGUGAUUAGUUAUGCUCCUCACCUGUUUCUAGAUGGUUGACGUAUUACCUCAACUUUGUCACAAGUUGUUUUAGAUGAUGCAGCUAACAAAGAGCGAAGUGCUCGAUUAUCAUAGAAGGGAUUUAAGUGACGGUUCUGAAUGCAAAAAUAUUUUGUUUUUCUUUUCUCUGAAAGCUUCACAUUUUUCUUAACUUGGAUUUUCAAGGAUUAUUUAAUUGUUGUAUAAUUGAAGGGAAAGGACAAGUAAAUGGUUGAUAGCAAUGAAAGUUCUUGUUCUCCAUCUUUAUUUGCUCUCAUUCUUUUUCAUAUCUUUCCGAGUAUUUCUCAAUUUCUUCCCACUCUGUUGCUCCAUAGCCGCAGAUGAUUAAAGUAAUGGACUUUUUUGUCUAGGAUGAAACGUUCGUUUUUUGUGAAUUAUCAAAGAAUUUUCCCCAAAAAAAAAAAAAAAAAAAAAAAAAAAAAAAAAAAAAAUGCAAAAGGAGAAUUUGAGACGGUUAAGACUUUAGAGAGGAGAUUUUUUCACUAAUCAUUAAAUAUUUCGAGGUUCAAAUUUUAUGCAAGUAUUAGGUAAGAUAAUAUGAUAUUAACAAAGAAUAGAAAUAAACUUUCAAAAAAAAAAAGAAAAAAAUAAGAAAACUUUUCUCCCUUCUAAUUGUGAGUUUUUGAUUCAAUGUUAGGCUAAACAACGACGGUGAUCUUUCUUUUUAUUCACUAAAUUUGUGAAAUCACAUUUAGUUGGCUCUAAUUGCAAUUUAAUUAGGACAAAUAACUGCAAAAAAAUAAAACUUUUUUGAGUUUUACUGAGCUUUCAAGUUCAUAAUACUAAUAUUUAUUUUUUAAUAUCUGAAGAAAUUUGGAUUACAUUAAAUAAAAGAAAUUAGAAAAAUAUAAUGAACUUUGUUGGAGGCAUCUAACUCGAAUGCCAUAACAUGUUAUUUAAAAUGUUAUCUUUUUACUUUGCAAUAUACUCAUUGAUAUGUAUCUAAGCAGUGAGAUUUUGCACAAUCAAGACAAAAAAAAAAAAUUACUUUCUUUAAAAAAAAAAAGAUAAAAAAUAUUACUCAAGAUAUAUUUCCUCAGACCAGGAGAGAAGAGGGUGUUAAAACGGUAUGGUAUACGUGGAGAGAGGGUAGAUAACCAUUAUUUGGUCAAAUACUACGAGGAAAAUGAGCGUGUACCGCGAAAUAGCGAAUUACUGAUAUCAGUAAAAAUGAAGCCUAAAAUAACGGAAACAUGAAUGGUAGAAAUUGAAUAGUGAAGGCCAAGCGACACGGACGGUCCAGAAAGCUUCAAUCAACCAGAUCUGAUCGUUCAUUUUUGAAAGCUCUCCGUCCGCAUUCAUCGCCCACUUUUAUAUUUAUAAUAUUUAAUUGCCUCUCUUUACCCAAACCCAGAAUCAAAGCAGCACAGACUAGCACUUUUCCUUCGUUAAGAAAACAAUCAAUCUCGACACGCAGAAAGAAGAGAAGAAGAGCUCAGAAGGAAGCAGCCAAAGAUUUAAGUUAGUAACCUAAAAGGAGGUCAAAAAUGUCGUGGCAAACUUACGUUGAUGAGCACCUGAUGUGCGAUAUUGAUGGCCAAGGCCAGCAUCUCACCGCCGCUGCAAUUAUUGGCCAUGAUGGUAGCGUCUGGGCUCAGAGCACCUCUUUCCCUCAGGUGAUUCUUCUUCUACAUUAUCUAACUGCUCUGAUCCAUCCAGCAUUGUCGUUAUAGUGUUGAUCUGAUUGUAAUGUAGCUGAAUCGAUGGUUCCGAUGACAAUGUGGCUCAGUUUUGGAUUCUAAUUCGGUUGAUUUCUCAUUGAUUGAUUGUAUUCGAAUCUGGACUCUGUAAGAAUGCGAUUCGAUAUGUGUGUGGCGUUUGAUCUGUUUUGUCAGAGGAAUCACUGCUUGCAUGUUGAUUAAUGGUUGGAGUAUAGCAUUGCGAUUUCUUUUCUUCAAAAUGAUUAAAAUUGUUACAAAACGUUUCAUAUUUGCUUUUAUUGGAUAGUUGCAUUGUUGGUCAGGCAAUUAGCAAUUAAGGUCUGCAUGUACAUUCAGACACUAUAUUAAUACUUAUUUGUUUGCAUUUGUUUCUUCUAAGUACCAAUUUUUUUCACCUAAUUAUCUGACUGUGAGGGACUUUUAAUCUGUGAUUCUUUGGGUAUUUUUUCACAAAUUGCAGUUCAAGCCCGAGGAGGUCACUGACAUCAUGAAGGAUUUUGAGGAGCCAGGCCACCUUGCCCCUACAGGCUUACACCUUGGGGGCACAAAGUACAUGGUUAUCCAGGGUGAGGCUGGAGCUGUUAUCCGUGGAAAGAAGGUGAUGACCAUUAUUAUAUCCAUAUAUAUGCUCAUUUUAGUUCAAAAUCUCCUCGGUUUAUAUUAAUGCAACAGAUUAUAUUGUAUUAUAUAUUGCAACGGGCAAAAAUCGGCCUUAAUACUUGAAUCUUUGAUUGUAUUUGAGUCAUUUAAUUGAUCAGAAGCUUGGCUUGGUUGGUUUUUGUUUCGGCAGGGAUCAGGAGGGAUCACCAUAAAGAAGACUGGCCAAGCUCUUGUUUUCGGUAUCUAUGAUGAACCUGUGACUCCAGGGCAGUGCAACAUGAUUGUGGAGAGGUUGGGAGAUUAUCUCAUCGAUCAGGGGCUGUAGGCCUAGCCUAGUCUAUCACAAUUGAUUAAAUUUCUUCUUAUGGGGUUACAAGUACUGUUUUUGUUUAUGUUUUUCCUUUUGUUUUUGAUCUCUGGUUCCACGUUUGCAUCUUCUUCUCUUGAAAGGCCUUGAAUUGGCAGUGAAGAUGUUGCAGACAAUAACCAUGCGAGAACUAAAUUUGUUGUUGGUGUUCGCUUGUUUUUGACUUGGAUUACCUUGAUAAAAUCUUGAUCUCAUGUGUAUUCUUUGGAUUUGAUCCACAAUUUUCUCCCAUGCAAAUUGCAAAUGUUACUUCUUUUUGAAUUAUUUGUUUCUCUAUUUGUUAAUUUACUGGCAAGAACAACUCCAUUCACUUUUGCAUAAUCUCAUACCUUCUAUCUUUGCUGGAACUUUAUUGGUAAGGAAUAAAUAGCAAGUGGUCAACUGUGCUUUCGAGUGGUUAAGACUUAAAGAUGUGGAAACUUGACAUACUACUUUACUACCACUUGCAAUUUCGGUAUAGAUUAUAAUAAACAGAACAUCAUCACCACUAACACAGAGUUAUUUUAUGCCACUAUUGUAGAAUCAUAUCUUCUCAUAUGGAUAUUUCUUAAAAAUUUCUGGCAUUCCUAAUUCACGAAAAGAAAACAAUAUUUAUUACCAUAAUUUCGCGUUUCAUAUAAACACAAUCGGAAAAGAAUAAUAAAGUUCCCUUUUUACCCUGCAACUUUUUAUAUCUGUAACUCAUGGUCUCAUUCAAUGUAACGAACUCCGUUUGAAGCAAGUGCCGUUUCUAAUGGACCCUAUAGUAACAGUAAAAACCACUUUAAAAAAAAAAAAAAAAAAAAGGGACAAAAAUCAAUUACUGAAUGUUUUUCUUUGUCCUUUCUUUUUAUUUUCUCUUUUAUUAAUUAGUGUGGGGAUGGGUUCAACAGAUUGCAGUUGUUUUCACCGUUCCAUUGCUCUCAGAAGAAAAAAGAAAAAGAAAUUUGAUAAUUCAUAGAUACGAAUUAUUUUUAAAAAGGAGCUUUUCAUACGCCAAACCUUCUUUAAUCAUCUGGUAAUGGGCCGAAUGAUCUUGUUUCCCUUUCGGUCUGGGGCCCAUAAGUUUCGGAAAGUUGUACCCCGAUAUUCAUUUCCCGUCAUAAGCUGUCAGCCUGUCACUAACAUCAUUUAUUAUUUUUUCUAAUAAAUAAUAUAUUAUAUUCCCAUACUAUACACAAUAUUAAAUAUAUUCUUGGGAGAUAAGUAAUAAUCUUUUUCUGGAUGAUUUAUAGUUAAGCUACCACCCAAAAAAUAAAAAAAUAAAAAAAAGAAAUAAGGAAAUCAUGCUAGUUGAAAUUAUUUUAUUUGUCCAAUGGCUGUACAGGAGGAAAUAUUCCUGGAAAUAUAUAUUCAUUUGUCUAAUUUUUUAAACAUUUGAAAAUUGAAUUGCUCUUCUCCAAAAAAAAAAAAAAUAUCAGUGCUAAAUAAAUUAUUGUUAUGUAAUUUCAUAAUUUGGAAGCUAAAAUAAUUUACUAAAACUUAAAAAUUAAAUUAUAGAGCAACCAUUUAUAUAUCUUGAUAAUGACAAUACUAAAAAAUAAUAAAUUUUUUAAUCCGGAUUAGAUUCUCUCAUUUGUAUUCAAAAAAUAACAAAAUUUUUUAUAUUUACAAAAAAUAUAUAUUUUUUAUUUUUUGGUGCGAAUAAUAGAUUUUCUUUGUUAUUUACUUUUUAUUUAAUGAAAUAAAGAAAAGGAAAAACCAUAUACUGUAUUAAUGUCUUAAAGUGUAUUUUAUUUUUUGUAAAUAAUAAUUAUGGAGACAAAAAUAAUAUUUGUCUUGUAAUUACAUAAAAAAAAUUAAAACGGUCAGUAAUAUUUAAUUAAAUUAUAAAAAUGUGCAGUAAAGUAGCCCAUCCCAUACAGUUAAUAAUUAGAAACGGUACAGAGGCUGUGGACCACGUCUCGUCGUUUUAACGCAAUAUCAGUGUCUGCUGGCUUCGCAGAUAAGAACAUACCCAUUAGAACCCUCUUUCUCUCAGAGCAGAGGAGCGCAUACUCACACCUACAGGCCACACAAACACUAAAAGCUUCAUAUAUUUUCCCUAGAAGAAGAAGAAAGAAAUAAGAAGGAGAAGAAGAUGUCGUGGCAAACAUACGUAGAUGAGCAUCUUAUGUGCGAAAUCGAAGGCAAUCAUCUUUCUGCUGCUGCCAUCAUCGGCCAAGACGGCAGCGUUUGGGCCCAGAGUUCUACUUUCCCUCAGGUAUUUCUAUGCUUAUACUCGGUUUUUUCCUUUCUCUUAAUUUCGUAAAACAAACCCAUAUAAUCUUUGGAUUGAUCGGAAUUGAUUAUUAGGUGGAUUCGGUGAUAGGGAUGCGAUCUGACUGGCUUUUUUUUUUUUCUUCAAUUUUUUGUUCUCAUACAUUAGUUUGGCUUCUGAUUUACGUUAUUCUAUAUGUUGAUUUAUUAGCUGAUUGGAUAUAUUCGAAACAAAGUUGAUCCUGCGUUGCUCAGCUGUUUCUCAAUUAAAUUUUGGGUCUUGCGUUUUUUAUUAUUUUUAUUUAAUAGCUCUUGCUGGGUUCAAAAUUGUUGCCUUUGAUCCGAUCUAGUUGAUGAUUUGGUGUUUAUUUUAUUUGUUUCUGGGGAUUAACCAUGUGGGGUAAUUAGGCAUUUAUACUGUCUCGCAUGGUUUGUUUUGUUAGCAUACUCUAGCUGAGUCGUUUGAUGUGAGUGUAUUUGAUCUUUGGGUUGGCUUUGAUUCCUGCUUAAUAUGGUUUUCUUCUUCUCUUUAUCUUCCAUAAAUUUAGCUGAGAAUCUCCUUUUGUUAAUUGAAAAAUGUUCUAAUUUUAUGCUCAUUUUCUUCCUCUGGAAUAGGGUGGAAAGGAAAUCCAUUUGCUGGUUUACUUCUCUUAUUGCAGAAAGGGAUUGCAUGAAAAACAAUAAAUUUUCAAUUUUUAUUUAUACGCUUCCUGUUUGUGGUAACUGUGAACAGAAUUUGGAAUCCUUUUUUUUAUUAUUUUGUUUCUGAAGCAUAUGUAUAUAUGGGGUAGCUGCAGAUGGGAUGUGCUAUGCAUAUAACUUUUAUUUUGAUAGAAUUAUACUCAUUUUUUUGAUUUUGAUUCUUGCUUUAGUUCAAGCCUGAAGAAAUCACUGCCAUUAUGAAUGACUUUAAUGAACCUGGAUCACUUGCUCCGACUGGGUUGUACCUUGGUGGCACAAAAUACAUGGUGAUCCAAGGGGAGCCAGGAGCUGUCAUUCGGGGGAAGAAGGUAAUCUACUUAUCAUGUUAAAUAUUUUAUUUAACUUCAUUCACUGUGCUUAAUUGUCUGAAUUUGCAUUCAAACACACUUAAAAUACCAUGCUUAAUGUAAGCAUACAAUUGGCUAAUGUAAUAAUACUGAACAUUUCAUAUUUGUAUGUUAAGAAUAAUAUGAAAUUUGAUCAUCCAAAUGCUGAGCCAUCUGAAUCAAAUGUCUUACUUGAACACUAGAAAACUCCAGAGGUUUCACAUUCACUGGGUCCAUUUUUGGCCAUAGUUGGCUCUACGUUGGCAGUGGAUAUUACUUGUGCCUGUAUCUUUGUGGAUAGAUUUUUAAACAAGAAAUCUCAUGCUUUUCGAUUUUGCAAUCUGCAGCUCGUGUUUAUAAUCCAUGCAUUUAUGAUAACAUUGUCAAGUUCUUUCCUCUUGAUGUCAUCUAAGUCUUUAUCACUUCAAUUUCAGGGACCUGGUGGUGUUACUGUUAAGAAGACCAAUCAAGCUUUAAUCAUUGGCAUCUAUGACGAGCCAAUGACUCCAGGGCAGUGCAACAUGAUUGUCGAAAGGCUUGGCGAUUAUCUCAUUGAUCAGGGCCUUUAAUCUCUCUGUAUUAUGCCCUGCUAUUUAUUACAAUUUUCUUGGCUUCUAUACAAGCUUGCAGUAGCCUACCUGCUGUAGGAAUGGCCGAAUGCAGUGAAAUAAUAUUAUGAUAUUAAAAGUCAAGUGGAACAUUGUGUGGAAAGAAAAGGUUUGGUGCUUGUUAAAGUGAAUGGAUAUGAUAGCUCUGUUAUUGUACUAGUUUGAUUAUGAUAUUCUGAUGGUUGUCGAGUGAGGUCUUUGUCUAAACUACAGUGGAUUUCAUUUAAUGAAUGUUGUUAUUUGAUUGGCAUAAAUUCUCUGCUUCUGCAGCUGUUCUUCCUUUCUAAACGAUGAGUGAAUCAUUUUGGCAGAAUUUUGCCUUGCUCAAUUGUCUUUUCCAAAAUCACCGUGCUGUUGGUUUGUUGAUAAUUGUAUCACAUUUAUCAUAUUUCAAAGCGAAUGAUUAAUAAAUGAUACCUCAUCGUCGACAUCAUCAUAGUCUCUGCACAAAGAAAUCCAAAAUAAAAAUAGUUAUGCCAGUGGGAGAGGGCCGUCAGCCAUGGGAGACUUAUCUUUAGCCGUUUUACAUAGUGAAGCAACAAAAUUGCGACUAAGCCAUUCCCAAUUGCCAAUUUCAAUUUCCAAGCCCUUUUCUAGCGAUAUUAUGGCCUAGCUAGGCAGAUACAAUGGCUAAACCUGGUGGUAAAAGUUGAUAUCUUAACAAACUGCACCUGCAAUUGCCGCAUGAUAAUAGAUAUAUUAUGAUUCUAGACCAUUAAAAUUGUUUUGAAGAUAAUUUUGACACAUUAUAGAAUUUAAACUCACAACUAAUAUCCUUUUUUUCAGUAGCAUCUAAGAAUGAAAGAACGAAAGAAUCAAUCUGGCACAAAGAAAAAGAAACAUCACCUUUUAUGCUAAAUUGACUAAUAAAACACAAAGUUACACGCACAUAAAAGGCUGAGAACUGAAUAAAUAUAUCUAAUCUCAUAAUACCCACUACAUAUCAUACAAAACUAAUAGCAGGCAGAUAUCAUACAAAACUAAUAGCAGUCAGAUAUCUUUAUGCCAGAUUGCCAAUCGUGCAUUUUUAUCCAUGCGAUCUACGGGAAACAAAAAUCCCGUACUGAUACGUCUUCCCCGCAUAAAGAAUAGCAUUGUUCUGUUUCACUUCAGCACACUUUACCAUGGUUCCACGAUCAGGCUUCCUUAAGCGUUGCCAAUGUUCAGAAGUGCAAGGAAUGUAAUAAGAAGGAAACUGGAAGCCCAAGCAAAAACUUCGUUCGGCGACGAGGAGGAAGACGUAGAAGCCAUUGCUGUCGUGUUAGUUGCGGCUGUUUUGUUGCUCCUGUGUGAUAAUAGCAAAACAUAUUUUAGCACGCUGAACAUUAGGAGUAGCUAGCAAAUUACAGUGCAGGCAGAUUAAACUUACCCAGUGGUCAUAUACAAGCAAUUAUCAUAGCCUGCACAACACAAGCAAAUACUAGUCAGUUUAUCUAGCAAGCGAGAUCCCUUUCAGAGAAAGAAUAUUGAAGACCGUCUGCUUUUUCUUAUCGAAUUAACCAAGUAAAAAUCAGAAUCAACUUCUCAAUCAGUAAAAUAAAAACCACCAAAAAAAAAAAAAAAAAAAAAGGCACAAUACUACACAUACUUGGAUCCUUGUCAACCUUAACUCCUGCCCCACCAAAACUGCAAGCAACAUCAGAAGCCCCAUUUUGCUGGUAGUAACUAUUGAAUGCAUAAGAUGCAUGCGAAAGCAGAGUAUCUGGCUCAAAACAAGGCUGGCUAGGCUGAAUGGCAGAACAGUCUACGUUCCCAGGGCCACAUGCCCAAUCUAGGGCACUUUGCAAGUCAAGUUGAGAAGCAUUACUCGAAGCAAUGCACCAUGUUGUUGAGUUUAAACUGGUAAGGUUGGUGUUUUUGGGUAUGUCAAUAACGCCUCGUCCCGUAAAAUCCAAAUUGUAGAUACUUGUCUGGUCUGGAUAAAAUAAACCCCAGUUCCUCUCAGAUUCCAAACCUGGUUUCCUGUUCUCAUUGAACAAUGAAAAGAUAUAAACAUCCAGCUCUUCUCCAGGCUUUGCAGGUGUACCCGCGUUGUUAAUGACAUGACGAAUCAAAUUGGUAUUAUAUGUCUGGGCAUUCUCAGGAGUAGCAGCUUUCUCCUUCGUUGACCCUUUGGACGGCCAGCCUGUCUCUGUGACCAUAACCUUAAUUGUUCUGAAAUUCAAGGCCAUCAGGGCAAAAUAAAGGGCAUCAAUCUGAGCAUCAAACAUGUUUGUGUAAAGUAGACCAGUGUUUGGGUCUAUUACUUCAGAAGAUGACUCAAAUACAGCAUAAUCCAAAGAUAUAUUGUUUGGAGAAUCUCUGUAAGCAUAGUAAGGAUAAAUAUCAAUCAUGAAAGGAGAUUGGUUUUCAGCAAGGAAUUCCAGCAUGGGCUUCAGAAAAUAUGCAUGACUGCUAUUGAAAGCCCCCGCAGAUGGUGGGAAUGAACGAGACAAAAUCCCAAGGGAAUGAGUGCUUGAAACUUUGAUCUUUUUAUGCAAACCAACCUUUCUUAGGGCUGUGAGGACAUUAUGCAUGGCUGGUACAACUUGGGCAGAGGCAUUAUUGGUGCUUUCUGUGACUUCAGCACCAACAGUAAUGUAUGUGAUCUUUGUGGCAGGGUAAUAUGGAAGAAUACUGUUCCUUAACCAUGAGUCAGCAUUGGAUUGAAACUGGGACAACGCUAGUAAGUCUGAAUUUGGAACUCCAACCAUAAGUUCAACUCCGGUGUUUGCAAAGGCCUUGAGGACCUGGAUAUUUGAAUCGUAAAUCCUCAAAUAUUUAAUAUUAUGCUGUCGAACAAGCUGUGCGACUUUAUCAGGAGUUGGGAGAUCAUCAGCAUUUCUUCCAUAGCAAACUCCUAUGGUGCUUCCUCUGCAAUAGACUGCAAAAGAAAACCAGCAUGAGCUCAGCACCACUAUUAAAUUUACAAGAAAAACUAUGAAGCACAAAAAAGAGUCUGGCUAAACUACGAGCAACAGCAGCAGGGGUCAGUUCUCACAAAAAGAACAUAGCUAUGUAAAUUAGUUAACCAGGCAUUCAAUAAAUUCAACUAACAGUUCUAACAAAUAAAGAAAAAAAAUUUGGAAUAAACAUUGCAAUUCGUUUUCACUAAUAAUUACAGCCAUUACAAUUUUACUGCAAGAACAAGGAUACUCCCAAACAAUGUGUUCUUAAUACAAGCCUUAAUAUGUUCACAUAAUCUUUACUGAGAUUGGUUUAUAUGAAAUCAAACUUUAGGAUGUGAAGAAGAAAGAGGGUGAGAAAAAGUUAGCUUCUUAUUUAUGGCUUUCAGCAAGCCUCAUCAUUCGGAAGGAAAUAUAUGUCCGCAAGAUCAUCACUAAAUCGUUCUUCUCAAACUCCAUACUGAAUCAAAACCAAGUUGAAGACUUCCUAACAAAAGAAGGAUGGAUUUCCUCUGCCAUAUGUAUAAGUUUUCAUUCAUAUAGAAAACAACUCCUAAUAAAGUAUGGAGCUAUCACAGUAAAAUCUAAACAAAGCUAAAUAUAAUUUCAUUAAUUUCUUGUGAUGUCAUAUUAACAUCACAGAAUGCCCAAAAUUAUAGUCUACAAGCAGAAAAAAUCAAUUGGAUAGUGUUAUAGCUUCAUAACCAUGGUCACUAAUCACAUCAUAUCCAACAUAGCAAUAAAUGAGAUUCAAAUACAGCUGAAUUCAAUCACUCAGUUUCAUAGUAAUCAUACAAGCCAAGAAUAAACAAAAAGACAACAUUAAAAGAAACAUCAUAAGGGGACGACAAAUAUAAAUACUGCAACCUCGCUGUCAUAAACUUAAAUAUUGUGAGCCUACCUAACAGAAAAUAUAGAAAAUAGAACCACUACUUUUGUUUAUUAUAAUUUUAAAGAAGAAAUGUAUAACAUUCUAUUCCAUUCUAGGGAGAAAAGAAAUGUUGACAUCCUUUCUGUAGAUUAGACAUAGAGCAAAGCAACUAUGAUAGGACAAGCCGUGAUUAUUUAUAACGACCAGACAAAUUCUUAAGUGGAAAAAAAAAGCAUGUUCUAUAGCUGUUAGUUCUAAGUUUCUCCUAGAAGUACCGCUAACAAUGGGCGCAGAACUAUAAGAAAAAUCAGAACAAGCUAGCAAAAGGGAAAAAGAAAACAAAGAGACUCAGGAAUGCAGAUUAUUUAGGCCAAAGAAAGCAGAUGAAGAUUUGUACAGGAAAUGCCAAAGUCCAAAUAUUAUCCAAACUUCAAACUUACAAACAAAAACAAGAAAAUCUCUACAAAGAUGCAAAAUCAAAACUAGAACAAAAAAAAAGAACACCACAACACAUACAGAAUGCAAAUGCAAGAAGAUCACAAAUAGAGCAAAGAUAAAAUGAAGAAAAUAAGACAUACCCAGAAGUGUGAGCAACAGAGACACAGCAAAGAUAGGCUUAAAUCCUCUCGCCAUUGCUCGGCAAACUAACUACAGUGCACAAAACUCUUUCCUUUCUACUUUACUCUUUUAUCUGCGAACGUUCUUGGUCUAGGAAUCUAGAGAGUAACGUCUCUAUUAUCUUUCUCCCAUUCCAAAAAGCUUAGCUUUCUCUCGUAGCUCGAGAGGGAGAGAGAGAGUGAUAGAGCUUAAACUUGGCUUGGCUUGGCUUUAGUGUACAGUCAGUCUAAUGGGUGGUAGUGUCAGAGAAGGAGAGAGGCAGUGAUCGGACCGGACUUCAGACAUAAUUUUAUAAAAUAUGGUUAACAGAAGUGCCUGGAUUCCGCUAAUUUGGCAUGUCUGUUCUAUUCCGCAAUCCGCACCCAUUAUUUAUACUAUACGCUAUUAUUAAACGGUCCACUUUUAUUUUUUAUUUUUAUGGACAUAAUUCAUUUUCUUUUGUUUUUUAAAUUAAUAAUUUGUUCCACUUUUGGUAUCUCCCCACUGUUCUUCUUCGUCUGCUUCAGCUUAUUUUUUAUUUUUCUUUUUCACACCUCUUAAAUAAAUAGUUGAAAGAUAUAUCUCCUAAUGCCCAAUAUCUAAAUAUUUAAUUGUAUAAUUUAUUUUAAAUAAAAAAUUUUGGUUUAAAUUUGUUCAAAAUACAAAAGUUUUGGUUUAUAAUUUAUUUUCAAAUUUCUUUAACUAUUUACUCUUUUUGUCUCUGAAAAAUAUUUUCUAAUUUUUUUAAUAUUUACAAUGCUGAAAACAAAAUAUUAAUAUUAAUUAAACAAUAAGAAAUAUAUUAUUUAGGACUCAUUUUUUUAAAAUAAUAUAGUAAUAAAGUAAUUUAAAAAUGUAAGAAUUUAAAAUCUUGCGUACACCUUAAAAAUAUAUGAUAUAUCAAAAAUAAUAAUUUGCAUUUCUUGUUUUAGAAUUUUUGAAGAUAAAUCUGGAACAUUCAUUAAGUCGAAUGAUAAAAAGAAAACAAUUAUUUGGGAAAAAUUUUUACAAAAGAGAAUAAGCAUGCAUGAUAGUAGGACACUCUUGCUAAAUAAUGAGAAUCCAAAAUGGAUUAUCUGCGAAUCCAACCAACAGAUAAGAUGAUGACAUGCAUUAUUCAUCAAAAUAAGCAAAUUUGUAUUUGAAUUUAAGCACGUGAGCUUCUUUUUACUUUUUCAGGAGUCAAGAUUGCAAUAAAUUGCAGAUGCACCCCUAUAACAAUCUGUACAUAUUUAAACGUAUUGGCUAGCCUUUUUUUUUUAAAGCCCAUUCGUUCAAAGUUCUGAACUUAAGGCCUUAGAAGCCCACUUAUAUAUGGAUUUUUUUUUCUUUUACAUAAAUAUAGAAGUCCUAUGAAAUUAAUCAAAUUUAUUUUCUUAAGGCUCCGUUUGUUAUUAUAAAAUAAUUUAUACAGAAAUAUUUUUUACAAAUUUUUGUUGUUUGAGGCACAUAAAAAAAUGAGUCAGCAGAAAAUAUUUUCUGAUCAAAGAAAAAUUAAGUUAUUUUUUAAGCGAAAUAAGUUUCCAUUUUUUAAAGAAUAAAAUAUUUUUUUUAACAUAUUGGCAAAUAUUAUAAAUCUAUAUUUUUUAAUUUAUUAAUCAUUAUAGUCACAAAUACCAAUCACUAUUUACCACCGACUAUCACCACUGGCGGUCGACGGCUACCACUACCGGCGACUUUCAUUUUUUUUUUUUUUGCAUUUUUCAUAUUUAAUUUUAAAUUAUAAAAUUUUUAUUAUUAUUAAUAUUUUUUAUAAUUUUAUGAGAUAAAAAUUUUAAUAUUUUUAAUUAAUUUUUAAUAUUAUAAUCGGAAAAUAAAUCAUUUGACAAGUUAAUUUUCUAUAAAAUUAUUUUCUGAAAAUAAGGGAGCCUAAAUUUUGAAUUCUUUUACAUACUAACUGCUUAAAUUUUGGAUUCUUUUACAUACUCUAACUCAAAACUUAAGGAACUUGUGCGUUGGAAAUAAACUUAUUAGUCUCAUUAUUAAAUUAACAACUUUGAGCUCAAUUCGAUAAAUUUAUUCAUCAAACUCCUCAGAAUUUUAAAUCUCGAACAGUUUGCGACGAACUUAACUCAUUUACAGCCAUAUCAUCUGGCAAUAGCCACUGGCUCAUUCUGGUUAGCAACAACAAUGCUUCCAGUAUCAUGUCUACAACGCCCUUAUUGUCCACUUCCAGAGCAUUUUCAAGCACCUUUUGGAAUAUUUUUGUUGUUGUCUACUGAUCAGUUUGGUGUGUUAUUGAAUAGAAUAGUCAGAUCUUAAUUUUCGGAAUAUUACUCUCUCAUUAGAAAUUAAAAGGAAAUAAAUAAAACUCUGGCUUACCAUUCAAACUCUGCCUUCCUAAGGCAAUAUAAUAAGAUCAUCUUACAGAAGAGGAUCAGAUUUCACAUAAAAUACCAAUACAAAUUUAUUACAGGAAAACCCAGAGGAAAUUACCCUAUAUCAGCGAUAUUUACAUAUCAUAAGACUAGAAAUCUCGAUGAUUAUGCUCCCAUUGAUCAUAAUAGCAAUUAGACGGUCUCGAUCUCCACUGGAUCCUCGAAAUUCGGAUCCUUAACAUCAACAGCUUCCUUCCCGACUCCGAUCUCGGCUUGGGAAUAACCAUCGCCGGCCCAAGUGAAUUUACCACCAUGACCUCCUUUCUUUGGCGAUCCGCUCAUACCCGUCGCCGACUUCCUGUCCUUCCUCCCAUCAGAUUUGGCAUUAUUGCAACCAGAUUUGGCAUUAUUGCAACUCUUGAAACUCUUUCCUCUGUCCUUCAUCUUCUCAGCACCACUCAGAUUCUCGACCGAUGAUUCCUCUAUUCGUCGUUGUUUGUGACUGGGGGUUUGUAUGUAGGCGCUUUGUUUGCAUUUUAUAGGUGGGGGUAGUACUACGGGCGUGGCGUUUUAUGAUUGGAAUGGAUAGAGAUCGGAUAAGACCGACUAUUAGUAAAUGCUAUUUUAAUUGAGAGUUAUUAUCGAGUGUCGAGCAUGCUAUGUUGCAUGAGUCGAAGGUAUUUUGAUUCUAUUGCAUGACACCGUACACGUGGCUCCCUGGCUCAGAUCUCGUUGUUUACUGCCCAUCAUUUGCGUCCAGCUUGUUCGGAUCAAAUCUUACAACCGGUAAACGCAGGCGCAGCUGUUUGUUUUGCAGAAAAUAUUUUGGCUUUUAGUUGAAUGGGCUUUAAUGGGCUUUUGGAUUUCACCGUGCCCUGCACCCCAAGCCCACUGAAACAGUAGCGACUAUCGAGCGAGUUUUUAGACCAUUGCCUAUGUGAUCAAACAGGUUCAAUGAAAUUUCGCCAUCCCCGUGCCGUGCACCCCAAGACCAAAAAGUCAGAAACUGUAGCUAGCGAGUUUUCCACUGUUGCAUGCUCGUGGUCAAACAGGUUCAGAGAAAUUUCGCCUUGCUUUCUUUUAUUUUUUUCCAUUUUUUAAGGCUUGCAUAUUAAAUUAGUCCUUAAAUUUUUCUAAUUGGUCCAACAAAUUUUCAAAUUAAUUUUAAAUUUUUCAUGGGCUAAUUUAGUUUAAAUUUAUACUAACACUAUAAUAAUAUGUAGAAUUAUAAAAAUUUAAUAUUUUAAAAUAUCAAAAGAAAUAAAAUAAUUAAAUUAAAAAUAAAAUUUUUUAAGAGAAUAUUAAAAAACACAUGUAUAAAUAUGGGCCUGGCAUAUUAUUUAUUAAAAUUAUGAUAAUUUUUUUAAAAAAAAGAAAGAAAAAAAAAGAAAGGAAAAUAAAUCAAAAUUUUUAUUUUCAAAUUAAAGGAAAAAUAGAAAAAAUUACUCCCUCCAUCCCUAAAUACUUGUUACAUUUAUAGUUCUAAAGAGUAAUAAAUUUCUUUUCCAUGUUUACUCUUUCAAUAUGAUAAGUAAUUAUUGCUUUAAUUUUUAAAAAUUUAUUGUUUGAAUAUAUUGAGAUAAGGAUAAUACAAUCAAAUAAAGGAUAAUUUAAUGAUUUUUUUAAAAAAAUCUGAAAUUUUAUAUGUGACGAGUAUUUAGAAUGAAAAUGGUAUAAUAAUGAACUAAAGGAGUAAAAGUAGUUUUAAUCUUCUCUUGUAUCCAAACACAGUGGAAAAAUAUAUAUUUUUAAAAUUUUUCCUUUUUUUCCUCUUUAUUUUAUUUUUGCCGAAUUUUCUCGCCGACCAAAAUAUAUCGUGACUGACAGUUGAAAAUUAAGCUGAUUUAUAUGGUAACAGAAAUGGACAGGGGAAAAAAUGCAGAUUUAUCUUCGAAAAUAAGACGUUUUCAGGCUCGCCAAGCUGUAAUAAGUGGAUGUGUCAACUUUGCAUUGGAUAACCAUAUAAAAAGAAAAAGAAAAACACAGAGAAAAACUCUUAACUUGCUAAAGCCCUAAAAAUUACGAAGCGGGACGGGAGCAUCCAAGAACUGAAACCGUGGCCAAGGCUGAGGCGAGUAAGGGUUUCUAAGGGGACAAUUAAAUAUAAAUCAAAUAGGCAUGAUAGGGUCCUCCUUAACACUUCUGCUCGCGCCGGUCUCUCCUCCCUUUCACUCCUUUAAUCGACUCUCUCAUUUCCAUUCCUCUUCUCUCUCUGCCUCUGGUAAGCUUACCUUCUACCACAUCAGUAUCUCUUUGAGUUUGCGUGCUCUGUUUUCGAUUUCUUUUGCUGGUUUAGCAUCAGAUUUUGUGUUAAACGGAGUUCAAUAUAGAAUGAGAUUUAUUUUAUUUUAUUUUUAUGCUGUGAUUUUGCUGUGAAACUAGACAGAAUUGUUAAGAGUCACAUCUAGAAGACUUGCUUUUGCUACAAAGACACAGGCAAUAUCGACCAUGACGAAUGUAAGUCUGUUUAACCAUUUUAUUUAGAAGCUUCUGGUAAGUAAAUGCUUGUGUAGAUUGAGUUUCCUUUUUAAGGGCUAAUUGUUGAAUAUUCUUGGUGAAGAAGACCGAGGAGAAUGUAGGCAAUUUGAAGAAACAACUAGCGAAACUGUUUGAAGUAUCUCUAAGAGAGACAGUGCCUACUGAGCCAGAUAUCGAGCCUUUAGUUGCGGCCUGCACUGCAAAAUUUGGCGACUACCAAUGGUAAUACUAAUGCGCUACCUGAAAUUACUUUACUGCAAAAUUUGGCGACUACCAAUGAUAAUACUAAUGCGCUACCUGAAAUUACUUUAAGCUACGUUAGUAUAUAAGCUACGUUUCAAGUGGUAAUAUUUCAAUUCUGGAUUCGUGUGUGCUUCUAAUUUGUGCUGAAUUUAUGCAUAUUUUAUCUGGUGCAGUAAUAAUGCCAUGAGUCUCUGGGCUAAAAUAAAAGGGAAGAAUACUGAAUUUAAGGGGCCCCCAGCUGUUGGACAGGUAUGAAUAAUUUUCAUGUUAGCAACUUAGAAUUCAAUUGUUCAUGCAUGAAUUAGCUUCCUACUCUUUUUCUAAGCUCCCGUUUUCCCACUCUUUUUUUAUUCUUCUUUCUAUCUCCUGCUGUUGGUAUUGGGUAAUUGGAUUGAAGCAUUUGUUUGAUCUUUAAUGUUUCUUAUGGCAGGCUAUAAUGAAAAAUCUUCCUUUGUCUGAAAUGAUAGAAAAUUGCUCUGUGGCAGGACCUGGUUUUGUGAAUGUUGUUUUGUCAAAGACUUGGUUGGCUGAGGUAUUUACCUAUUCACCGUUUCCAAUUAAUCUUAUGAAUUUGUUGUAUGAUUAUUAUAUGUGUCUUUAAAAUCUUUUUGCACGCACUUUUCUUUUGCCUUCUCAUGAUUCUAGUAUUUUUCUCAGUUGCUUUUUAUUUGAAGUGGGAAACUAGUCCAAUUUGACUUCCAGUGGUUAAUGUAAGGUUACUCAUGUUAGAUUGUUUUGGCUGCAGAAAAUCCAGAAGAUGCUUAUUGAUGGUAUUGACACUUGGGCACCUAAGCUUGCAGUUAAAAGGGCUGUGGUUGACUUUUCCUCCCCCAAUAUCGCAAAAGAAAUGCAUGUUGGCCAUUUAAGGUCUACUAUUAUUGGUGACACGCUAGCCCGCAUGCUUGAAUACUCUAAGGUUGAUGUUCUUCGGCGAAAUCAUGUUGGCGAUUGGGGAACUCAAGUGAGUGUGAUUUUUGAAAACUUCUAUAUAGUCUCUUGCUCUUUCAUAGACUUUUGAUAUGCUUGACAUAUUUCUUCCAUUAUGAAGUGUUGCAUCUCUUCAAAUAAUCUUUUAUAUAUCUUAUGACAUUUUCCCCUUUCUCAUUAGCAACCUGUUGCUUAAAGAUUUACAUUUGCUUGCAGUUUGGUAUGUUGAUUGAAUUCCUCUUUGAGAAGUUUCCAAACUUUGAAGAUGUUAAUGAAAGCGCUAUUGGGGAUCUACAGGUGACUGAAAAACAUUUAAUUAUUUAAAUUGUGAAAUAACCUUUAGAGUAAAUAAGCUAAAAUCAUGUAGUGCUAUGCAUUAAAAUUUGGACCAAGAACAUGAAGAUCUCGGAGAUCAAUUGCUGUUUGGGUUUUAUGUUUUUGAGCACUUACAUCAUGCCCAUGGACAGAAUCUGUUCUUUGCUUGUGUAUGGAACUGAUCAUAAUAAUUUGUAAUAGUAAGCAAAUUAUUCUUAUUAAGAAAUGCUCAAUACUGUUUCUUUUCUUCUCCCUUACCCAUUAUGCAUAGAGCGUACAGCCGUGGCAAUUCAUAUUGCAUGUUAUCUAAGCUAUAUGACAGUUUCUAUGAGAACUCAGAUAGUAUUAGGCUAUAUGUACGGCUAUACUGCUUUUUUUUUUUUUUUUUUUUUGGUUGGAAAUAAGGAUUAGAUGCUUCCUUGGGCAAUAGAUGAUGUGGCUUUUAGAAAGCGGGAAACAUGAUAUAUCUGAUUCUAACUUGAGUUAUGCAUUCUAUAGGCAUUCUACAAGGCAUCAAAACAGAGGUUUGAUGCUGAUUCCGAAUUUAAGGAAAGGGCACAAAGAGCAGUGGUCCGCCUCCAGGUAUAUCUUUUACUUUUUAACUUGAAGGACUCAUUGGGUUGAUAUAUAAUUUAUUGUUGGACCUAUAAACUGUUUAUAGAAGGGAAUUGAAUGUGAAUUUUUUUUUCUUUUUUUUUUUUUUUUUUUUUGGUAUGCAGGGUGGAGAUCCCAAGUACCGCCAAGCAUGGAUGCAAAUAUGUGACAUCAGUAGGAAGGAGUUUGAUAAGGUCUACCAACGCCUUGGAGUUCAGCUUGAAGAAAAGGUAGAUAUCUUAAUUUUCUAUAUGAUGAUUUUUUGAGUGCCAACAUUAAUGGUGUUUUAGGAAGCUGCUAGUGAAAUUCUGUAAACAAGAUAUUUACUUCUUGGGCUCAUUGGCGAAUUAGUAAUUUGCUGAUCCUCUUGCUAAAAAUCAAGGAAUUGGGAGAUUUCAUAUGAAGGUUUCAUGAAAAGGUUAAAUGGGGUGCUUUAUCUUAUGAAAUCCAUCUAAGCUACACCAAAUUCGUAAUGUGUUUUAAUGGUAAUUGCUUAUCAAAAGAUAAAAGAGCACAUUCACACGAAUGUCUAUUCCCAUGUCUUGUUCACAGGGAGAAAGCUUUUAUAAUCCACACAUUCCUGGGAUUAUAGAGGCAUUAAGCAAUCGAGGAUUAGUUGAAGAAAGUGAAGGUGCUCGUGUGAUCUUUAUUGAAGGAUUUAAUAUUCCUCUUAUUGUUGUGAAGAGUGAUGGUGGUUAUAACUAUGCUUCAACUGAUCUAACUGCCCUUUGGUGAGUUUAUAUUUCUUCUCAGAAUAAAAUCUGGAAUUCUCUUUAGAUGUCUUGAUCCUAUUAUUCUAUUUUUUUGUGCAUCUAUUUAGUCCCUGGUUUGGAUUCCUGUACCUUGCGAUUUGUGUAAUCGUUUGAAACGAUUUGGAAGUUUAUGUUAUCUAGAUGAUCACAUUAAUUAUUGGUUUUUCCCCUAAAUCAUAUAUAAGCUAGCUAAAAGGUAAAAUUAAUACGAGUGAACUUCAUUUUUUUUUUACCUUCCCUUGGUCAAUUUCUUAUGUUGAUGGGAACUGAGCAUUUUUUUUUUUACCUUAUUUGUAGCAUUGGUUGUACAUUGGAAAUGCAAAAAUAUCUUUUGAGACCGCUGAACAUGUUUCUUUUUUAUAAGGUUUUUAACAUCUGCAGAGUUCAUGUCAUGGUGGAUUGCUAAGGAUGAAAAGUGGUGGCAUUGGAAUUGAAAUUGUUGGAUGUUGAUUUCCAUGUGUAGGUAUCGCCUUAAUGAAGAAAAAGCUGAGUGGAUUAUAUAUGUUACGGAUGUUGGCCAGCAGCAACACUUUGAUAUGGUAUUCAAAGUAAGUCUCUGUUGCCAUAUCUUGUAUUCUCUUUUUUGGCUAUUAAAGUACGCUUUUGCACUUGAUAAUUCCUUGUAUUGCACUUUUACUGCCAUUUUGAUGUAAAAAUGACGAACUUGUUAUUUGUUUACAUGUAUUCCAUGGUUUAAAUUCAGAGUCAACUUAUAAUUAUGUGCCCUUCUUAUUCAGGCUGCCAAACGUGCGGGUUGGCUUCCAACUGAUGAUAGCACGUUUCCUAAAGCUAGCCAUGUCGGAUUUGGCCUUGUUCUUGGAGAUGAUGGCAAGCGAUUUAGAACUCGGGCCACUGAAGUGGUUAGGUUAGUUGAUUUACUAGAUGAAGCUAAGACUCGGAGCAAAGCAGCACUUGUUGAGCGCGGUAAAAAUAGCUGGACUGAUCUUUGAUUUUUGUUAAUUGUUAGUUAUGUGCCUUGAAUUUCUGUAUCGUCCUUAUCUUUGUGUUAGAUUUUCACCACAAAGACUUUGCAUUUCUAAGGUAAAUAAUACCCUACUUCUUUGACAGGUAAGGCUGAUGAGUGGACUGAAGAGGAGCUUGAGCGGACUGCUGAGGCCAUUGGUUAUGGUGCUGUUAAGUAAGCUAUCUAUACUAAUUUGAACUUUUCCUUUUGGCUCUAUAAGUUGCUGUAUUCUCAAUUUUAAUCCAUUGAUUUGUAGUAUCUUUUGUUCUGGGCUUGGGUUGGUGCUAAACAUUAGCUUGAGGUGGCCAAGGGAGUUGAGAAAUUACUGAUUCUAGGAUUGGAGUUACAGAAAGGGUUCAUAUUUGUGGGUUGAAGUUUGUUGAGAAAUAAUGAAGUUUUCUGGAAAAACGGUGUAGUUUGAAUUAAGUUGUAGGAACUUUUUGGUGGGGAAAAUUUUCGUUUUAAUGGUUUUUUUUUGGCAUGACGUGCAUCAUUUGGUGCAAUGUAGAAGCUUUGGGUUGCAGCAACAAAGUUGCAGGUUUGAGAUGUUGAAGCUACCAUCUCAUGCAAAAAAUUGUCAAGAGUAAGACUUUCAAGUUCUUCCCAGAUCUGAUCUCCCUAGUGAGAGUUGCAAGACCAUAACUUGGCAAUAACCUCUUCUAAGUGGUGGUUUCAAUGGCUAAAGGUGUUGACAUAUUACUGGCUGGAUGCUGAGGGAUAUGCUGAGACUCGAAGUCUCUUCCUUGCCAUAUGUAGAUAUAGAAAUUCAUAACUUGAAUUAUUUAAAAAAAAAAAAAAAACUUUAAACUCUCAACCAAAAUACCCUUAAAUUGCUGUAAGAACUGACAGGUUUUCCAUAAUCCAUAAAGGUGCUUAAAUUAUUUCUGACAUGACUUUAAAGUUUGCUUCCUUUGUGUAUGCCUACUUAUCAAAUCAUUCACGAGUUAUGCAAGAAAACCUAAAUUUGGUAAAUAUUAGAAUAAGGUGAUGGAGGGAUAUGCUUCCUCAUGUCUGCAUUAUCUGUUCCCAACAUUGUUUAUAGAUAUAAACAUGUUCAUUCGUUUAACUAUGAAUUCUACUUUUGAUAUACAUACAUUGUUAAUCUUUUUUUGGUCAGGUAUGCUGACUUAAAGAAUAACAGAUUGACCAAUUAUACAUUCAACUACGAUCAGAUGCUCAGUGAUAAGGUAAAUAUCUGAUUUGUUGCUUGGUGGAGCACAGAUUUCAGAAAGCCAAACUUGUUCAUGAACAAUUUUUAGAUACUGGGGUUAUGUGAUGUUUUUACUUGGCUAACUAUCGACUACUUGUAUUAUGGUUCUCUUAUCUGUAGUUUUCUCUCUUUUAUUGCUGUUGCUGAUGAAUACUGCUGUUCUGCCCCAGUACUACUAUGGUUUUUUAACCUUCUAGAACUUCUGAACAGGGAAAUACUGCUGUUUACUUGUUAUAUGCUCAUGCUCGGAUCUGUUCAAUCAUUAGGAAAUCUGGUAAAGACAUAGAGGAGUUGAAGAAGGUAAGUUCUCUUCCUUCCUGGUUCAUUGAAAACUUUUACAGUUUACAAUGGCCAUGCUGCUUGCUAGUUUUUGUUUAUGCUUGUAAUGUGCUCUCAAUCAUAUGUUUUAUCUUUUAAUCUAAUUUUAACCAAAAUUUCAUUUAAAACAUCUAACACUUUACUACAAGUUUCGAAUGCAUUUUCAGUGGACAUUUGUUUUAAUAUGAAUGUUGUAGUACUCAAAUCAUCUUGCCCCAGCUUUUUAUUGCUUGUGGAUUUGGAGAACAAGAAUUUGCCCCAAGUAACUUCUCAAGUAGAGAAGGUUGAUGUUGUUUUUUAUUUUGCUUGUGUCUAUUUUUUUGUGAUGCAGACAGGGAAAUUGAUCCUGAGUCAUCCUGAUGAGCGUGCUCUGGGGCUUCAUUUAUUACAAUUUGCUGAAGUAAGACGUGUUUUAAAUAAUCACUCUUUUUUUUGUCUCUUGCUUCUUGUCCUUAGCUUGCUUUCAUUCUAAAAUUUUAUCUUGUAAGUUGAAAUGGAUGUUUUUGUCUGCACAUUUCAGACUGUAGAGGAGGCCUGCACCAAUCUCCUGCCAAACGUGUUGUGUGAAUAUCUCUACAAUUUAUCUGAAUAUUUCACCAAAUUUUAUUCCAAUUGCCAGGUAUAUUCCAACUAUGCUAAAAUAUCACACUAAUAAUUGAACAUUGACCGGCUUAGGCUUGCUGACUAGGUGCCAAAACAGCUGGGGAGCUAUUGGUUACCUUCCAUUACUUCUCUCUGAGUUGUAAUUUUAUAAAGGAUUUAAUUGAAGUCAUGUUCAAAGUUCAAACUUGAGAUGUAACUAAAUGAUAUUUGGAAAAUUGGGCAGGUCGUUGGGUCAGCCGAGGAAACAAGUCGACUCUUGCUAUGCGAAGCAACGGCUGUGGUCAUGAGGAAAUGCUUUUUCCUUCUUGGAAUUGUACCUGUUUACAAGAUAUGAUACCACAAAUUCAAGAUGUAGAAUUUUGUACCUAUAUUUUCUCAGGCGGUAUAAAAAUUUUGUAUACGGAUCAUAUUGUAUGGUGAUUUUGUUGGAUUUCUCGUGCAACUGAAAAAUAGUUAGGCUUCAAUUGUAUGAUUUCCUGAUUGUAUUUCGCUGUGCAUGCAUCCCAUUUUGAACAUUUAAGGCUUCAAUCAUUGUUGUAUCCAGCCACGUGUGUGUGGUUUGUUGAAGUAAAUAUUUUUGUAAUUUUUUUUAAAAGGAAAAUCCUUUUUUUAAAACAAGGAAAACCUUCUCCAGGCAACGUUUCUGUUCUUUCUUUAUUGUUUUUCUUAACAAAACAUUACUAUUUGUUAAUUUUUAUGUCUUUUUUUUAAAGAUUUUUUAUACGCUUAAUAAUUUAUUUUCGUAUUUGAAUCCGCCUUUGAUAUUUGUUCAUUCACUUUUUUUUUUUUUUUUUUUUGUUAUUUUAUGUAUAAUUUUUAUAACGGAAAGUAGUGUUGUUACACUACUUAACGUUUUCCUGUUUUGAAAGAAAAAAAAAAACAAAAAAGUUGCGGAUUAGUGGCGGAGCUCUUAAGGGACCAAACGUGUGAACAUGGCCCCAUGUCUAAUGAGCUUCGUUAUAAUCUAAAAAUGGUUCCUUAAAAUUGAUUUUAUCCAUGAUUUUUCUUUCCAAAAUUGUCAUAUAUAAUUGCAUUCGUUAGACAUUUGCUGCCAUUACUUCAUCAAGACCAUGAAUACGAAAUGAUUUUUCAAUUUUUUUUUAUAUAUACAUGAAAUAUUAAAUAAAUAAUUUACUUAAAAAUUAGUAGAAAUUUAUCACCAUUUAAUUUUAAAGUAUAUAUGAUUUUUUGUUAAUUAAAUUCAUUGUUUUCUUUGUCAAUUUAAAAUUUAAUUAACAGAAUAAUAUUCUCAGAUGUUUAUUAUUUUUCUUGGAUGAUAUAUUUCUUACAUAUAUAUAUGUAUAUGUAAUAUUUUGAGCAUUGGAAAGGGAAUUAAGUAUAUAUGCACUUAUCUUAGGUUAUACUUAGAUUUACAUAUUUAAUAUAACCACAUAUUCUAACGUGAAAAUUUAAAAAAAAAAAAAAAAAAAGAUGAAAAAAAGAAAGUUAACUCCUUUUCAUUUCCGGUUUGUGGUUAUUCUCCAUUGGUGCUUAUUCAGGAAUCAGAACUUAUAUAUGACCUUGCAGACUAAUGUCUGUACUCUUUGAUAUCUUAGUCGAAUCCUAUUUAAAAGUGCAAGAAACGAGAAUAAGUUUCUUCUAUUGGUAAUUAAUCUUCUCUUAGGAUUAGAAUAUUAUGGAUGGAUAAUAAAGGUUCAUACGAAAAAUUACCUUCGUGCUUUAUACAAUAUUAAUUAUAUGCAUUAUAUUUGUGCUAUCAGCAUAAUUUUGAUCAACUGAAACAAUUUAAUUUUGAUAAAAAUGACGGGAUGAGCAAAAAGGAAGUCUCAAACUAAGGUUGAGAUAUGGUAUAUAGAUCUUUUUCUCCAUUUCAUCAAAUCUUCAAACUACAAAAAAAUUUAAAAAAAAAAUGCUAAUUAAAGAUUGUGCAUUUUGCAUAAUAAUAGAUGUUCUUGAUUUCACUACCUUCUUAAACCCAACCCCCUUGCAAAAAUAUGCAAUGCAAGUUCUGCAUCAUAAAAAGAUGCAUCAAAUUGCACAUGAACAUGGAUUUAAAAUCCCUAAUUAACAAUUACCCACUAAAGAAUUAGCUCUCUUGCUUAAAAAGGAUAAAAAAGAUCCUCUUGAACCUGAAAUCUUUUUUGAUAUGGUAGCUUUAGGACUAUAAGACUUGUGUCCAUCCAAAACCGCAGCAUAGCUUUUGCUCGACUUCAUUCUUGAUCUAGAUGGAGUGCUUUUCACUUUCUUUGCCAGAUCUUCCAAGUCCUUUACACUUGCUAAAGAUGUGUAAGAUUGAGACUUCCCUUGAUAAAACUUUGAAAGACCUCUCCUGCAAUUGCGCAUAUAUAUGUAUAUAUGAUUAUCUUAGAGGCUUUUCAAUAAAAUUAUUUUCAAUAAAAUCUUUUUAAUAAAAUUAUUUUUUUAUAUUUAAAUCCCUUGCUUUUUAUGCUAUAAGAAAGAUAUAGUAUUAAUCAUUGAGUUUUAUAACAAAAUUUCAUGAGGAAGAAAUUUAUUUUCAUUAACUAUAUGUAUAUAUGUACUUACUUGAUAGGAAGUUGGGUCAUGAGCUCUGAUAAGUCAUAUAGAGGCCUAUUUGUAUAUGUUGAUGAAGUUGAUGAUGAUGAUGAUAACGGUGAUUGUGAAGAAGAUGCAUCUUCGAAUAAAUCUGUUGAAGAGGAAGAUAUAACUGAGUUCGAUGAAGCUUCCAUGGAGGAUUCAGCUGAUGUUGAGUCAUAAGCAUUAUCAUCACCAUGACAAUCCAUGGCCAUCACGCAGCUUUGAUCUUGCUCUUCUAAUUGACUAGGGUUUACUUUUUCAAAAUUAAGAUCCCAAAAUUUUCUUUCUUCAGCCAUUAGUUUCUAUAUAAUAUAGUCUCCAACGAAAGGCAAGAGAAGGAAGAAAGUAAAGAAGAGAGAUCUUGCAGCAGAAAGGGUUUAUAUUAUACAAAAAGAAAAGGGUAGUAUUGGAGGGUUCUGAGCACCUUUCUUGAAUUCAUGCAGAUUGCUGUGUUUUAUUUUUCAUUAUAUAAUAAGAUUUGUUUGUCUUGUGAUGUUUUUUUUUUUUCUCUUUUUUUAUGAUUAUCGUCAAAUCUAUUAAUGGUGUAAAUUUAUUAGCUUUCCCAUGGUACAAGGAAGUGGAUAAGGUCUAAAUUUGAACACAUCCAAAGAUGACUCACCACCCCUUUUUCGUAAAGGGAGAAUAUAAAACUUAGGCCAUCGUCUGUGGCUACUUUGCCUCUUAAAGCAGUGACAGAUUAAGGUUUCUAGGCAUUCAAAUAGUAAAAGUUGCCAAUAAAGAAAUUCUACAUUUCACUAUAAGUUUGGAGAACAACCUUUGGUGGGUGGAUAUAUGGCUAAUCUUCCACUAAUCCUUGUUUGCCAAAACUUACUUAUCUCUAAGAAAAUGCUUGUUUGUCUCUGAAUUAUUAGAGAUAAGCUAAACAAAACAUACGGAUAACGUAACUUUAUUUCAUUAAAUGAGUAUACGGUUAAUAUAAUAAACUGAAUUUACCAAAAAAUUUAUCGCAAGCCAGGCAUGAGCUGGACGAAGAGGUCGACUGGGAAACCUGUCAUCAUAGUUUAACACUUUUUUAUUGCCACCACAUGUUACUCCUUGUAGGCCCCAACCUUCCGUUUCAUUCACUUUUAUAUAUGGAUAAGAUUUGCCACUACCUAAUGCACCACUCAUUUCAAUUCAUUAGGAGGUCUAUUGGCUACGGUGGAUGUGCCUACCAUAUAGCAGCUAGGUGUUUCUGUAGAUAAUUAUUUCUUUCAGUUAUAUUUGAAUUAUUUAAUUCUUAUCUGGUGGCCAGUGUUAGAACUGUGGCACCACAUGAUAAUUUGAGCUAACAUGUCAUGGGUUUGUCUUCCCACAAGCAAUGUAGUAAUCCAGUGCAGUGAUGUUCAGAAUUGAUUGCAUUAGUUUAAAUAUCUAAUAUACAUGCAAAUUUAGCUUAACCUUAGGAGACAGGAAUAUUGCGUGACAGCACCAUGUAAUAUUCAAAACGAUCAGAACUUGUUACCAAAAUGAUCUAAUGACCGGUGAAAAUUUUGGGAUGCAUGAAAUCACUACUCUAAUUAAAUUAAUGGCGGUAUUAGAAGUAAAAUUUAAAAAAAAAAAUCAAAAUUACACUUAAUUGUAUAAUAAAUUAUAAAUGAUGUAAUUAUUUAUAAAAUUAUAGAAUUUAUAGGUACAAACUCCUUCAUUAAAAUAGCUUGAUAAAAAUAAUUCAACUUAAUUGGUUAAGCUUACCAAAUGAACCUAACUUUUCUCAAGCACAAACUUGAACAAAUCACAAGUGACUUGACUCGUAUUUUCAGUCCAAGUCUUUUUUUUUAAUUAGAUCGAUAAUUUUUUUCUCAAGUGAGAAAAAUAAAUUAAUAAAUUUAUCUUAAUAUGUUUUAUUUGAUAUUUAACUAUACAUAGUAGUUAAUUUUAUAAAUUUUACAAAUAGCACAAUAUUUAUAAAUUCCUUAAAUAUUUGUAAAUUAUAUUUUUUAUUUAUAUAAAAUAGUUUUAAAUAUUUGUAUGUGCAAUUUCUUGGAAAUAGUGUUGCACGUUGAACCCAAAAUUAAUAGUGACUAAAUAUUUUGUUUGAAAUAAAAUUGUGGAUCUUGUUAACUGAUGCAACGUACAAAUAAACCCUUUUAUCAUAAUUUAAGUGUCUAAAAGCUUUUUAGUGAUUUAUUUUUAAAUUAGGAGUGGGAUUAAUUUGUUCAAUCUAGCGACCAAAUCGAUGAAAAUGGUUUUUCUAUUGAAAUAAUGGUAUGUUUAAACAUGUAUGGAGAAGAAAAAAAAAGAAUAAUUUUAAAAUUUUCUAUUUUAAUUGAUUUGAUCCGUAAAUAACUCUAUGAACCCGAUAAGUCUCGUACAUAAGAUAGAAAUUUGAUUAUGAGAUAGUGGAAAUUAGACUUUCAUCAGUCAAAGUCUUAGCAAGGUAGAGCAUUUAUUUAUUGCCAUUUUGACCAACUUGCUAUUUAUAAUCUACCUGGAAAUGGGAAAAUAAUUAAAUGAAGAAAAUAUCUUUAAAAGUUUAAUGUCAAGAGAAUAAAAGAUAAAUAUUAAAUAAAAAAAUAAGCAUAUCCUAAUUUUAAAUAAUUAGAAAUAUUUGAACUCAUUUGGAAAUUCAAAUAUUAAAAACAGUUCAAUUAGGAAUCUUAAUAUUAAAAAAGACAAAUAUUUUUGAAAAAACGAAAAGAAAUAUAUAAUGUGCAUGGGCCUUGUUUUUGUGGAGCUGUUGGGUCCAAAGCCCAAAUCUUUGUCCAUCCAUCAUCACACAGAAUGUGUUCACCCAUCAGAAUGUUGGGCAUUGGAAACUAUAUUAGUAGGCCCCGAUUGUAAAUGGCAGUAGGAGAAAAAUGUCUUCUAUUGAUUUUUUUGUGUAACUUGCAACAUACGAAUGUCAGCUGCAUCACGUGAAUCUCGAGUUUGUCUCCCUCCUAUCCCGAGUAUAACUCCAUUUAUAAGCCUUAAAAAACAAGAUGCAAUAACAAUAUAUAUAUAUAUAUAUAUAUAUAUUAAUCUAUCCGUGUGCGGAUUCUAUUAUUAGAAUUAACUAAUGUGGCUUGAGAUUUAAUCACAGUUAAAAUUCUUUGUUCCUUUCUACAUAUAUGUUUAGUUAAGACUGAACCUAAAAAUUCUUUUAACAUACCCUGCAUAAAUUGCCAACUGAGUCAUAACCGGUAGAUAACAAUAUCUAUAUUUUAUUUAACAAAAAUAAAAAUAUUAUAUCUUAAUGUUAGGAUUUAAAUUUUAAGGUACACAUAUACUAUUUUUAUUCUAUGCUGCAUAAUGCUAAACACAAAAAUUAAAUUUUAUAUAUAUAUAUAUAUAUAUAUAUAUAUAUAGCCGCCUAAAUUCUUUGUACACAUAUUUUUGACCUUUCUUAAACAAUGAAUCCAAUUCACUGAGAUUCAGAUCCUCCAUUAAAGUCAAAGAAUCUCUCUCUUUUUUUAAUUCUUGGUAUUUAUUUUAAGAGCGUGGAUAUAGGCUUGAAUCGAGCCACGUUUCAUUAAUUUUUAUAUUAAAUUGGCAGGCCAAGCAUGAAAGCACAUGAUUCAUGAGGAACGGUACAUGGAGGUGGCAAUAGUUGCAAAUAGAGAUCAACAUAGAUCGGAGUUCAAGUUGGGACUUGAAUAUUCGAUUUUUUUUUUAUAUAGGAAGAAAAAACUACUAGGUGUGUUAGUUACUGCCUGGUCGGCUCAAAUCACCAGUCAGGUAUUGACGUCCUGAUUUUAAACACUCUAUAAGGCGCGCCAACUCUUGAGCAGUGGUGGGAAACUCUGCCCCCUUCUGUAAGAUCAUGGUGUUGCGGUCCUCAAUCCAUGAUAGCAAGAACUCGAGCAAGUGGCAAAAUGCCAUAUCAAGCGCUAUGAUGCUAUUGAAACCUUUGCCUUCCUUCAUUGGUUUACGCACGGGAUACUGACACUGAGAGACGAAAGCUAGGGGAGUGAAUAAGAUUAGAUACCCUAAUAGUCCUAGCCGUAAACAAUGAAUACCGGCGCUGUGCACAUCGAACCAUGCAAUGUUGUAGCUAACGCGUUAAAUAUUCCACCUGGGGUAGUCUAAAAAAGCAAAGUAAAUAUUUAAAUAUUAUACAUAACGGAAUAUGCUCAUGAAGGAUCAAAUCUAAUCAAGCAUGCGGAUGAAGGCUUUUACCACUAGGUCACCACCUCUGAGUGAUUGGAAUUUGAUUCAUGAAGAAAAGUUAAUACCCAUUGGAUAUCCACCUUGUAAUUAAUCAAAUCUUGUACUCUCUCAGUCACAUUUGUUUGCAUGAUUUGACAAAAUACGCAUAUUAAAAUUUUAGUCAACAAAAAUUAUUUUACCUUUUCUAUCCUUAACUCAUUAAGAUAUUAAUAAAAUUUUUUCAUUUAACGAAGGAUCAUAAAGAUUAUUAUGAGAAAAAUAAUUAAUUACAUGUACAAAUUUACAUACUUUGCAAAUAUUUUGGAACAUUUAAAAAAGGAAUAAGAAGCAAAUAAAAUGGUCGGAGUCAAUGUAUAUUUUUAAUGGAUUUUUCUUUUAAAAUAAUCUGGUCAGAUUCAAAUAGCAUAGUUAUCCAUAUUCAACCCAUCAAACCACGUAUAUCCGACAGAUUAGAUAAAUAGAUUUGUUGGAGUUUAUUAUAGAUACUGGCCUCCAGAAAAGCUUUCUUUUGUUCACUUGUUAUUUAUAAUCAAAGACACAAACUUCGACCUUUACAUGAAACUUGAUAUCUUAUUUUCUGUGAUUGCAUGAGUGCAUGUGUGCUUGUCGACUAAAAGGUGAUUGCAUUUUCAGUUAUAGUGUAUUGGAUAUUGCUAUGAAAUUUAAACUCUAGGUGCAUGUUUGAAAGGGUUGAUCUAUAUAUUUAAAUCCCCCUCUGGGUCAUCGUGAGCUUAUCUGUUUAAUUGGGUUGUUUUCUAUAUAUUUGAUGAUGCAAGUUUGUGUCGGGUGGGUUGCUGCUAUGUCGUAAACUUAAUAGCUAUAUCAAGUAGCUCGCUUUUAGACUCUAUAGAUGAGAUUGUCCCAUAUAAUGCUUUUCACAUCUUUUUCAUUUGAGCCAAACUUUUUUUUUUUUUUCUCUACAGAAGGGACACAAAGCUCAAAACAGAUUACACACAGAGGCUAGGAUAUAUAAAUAAAUAAUGACAAACUUUGAUGCCAGCGUAGAUCCCAACAAUCUUAAGGUUUGUAAUUAAUCCUUUAAUCACUUAACGCCGGAAAAUAGACUUCUAACUUUUUGUAAGCUAUCAUUAAGACAGGGAAAGUCCAGUGCAAUGGUAGCGCGUUGGCUACUUGGAAAUGGAAACCUCUUUUGCUGGAGUAGUAUGCUUACAAUAGAAGAUUACUAUUCUCAUAUUUUUUCCGGUAUUUCCCAAUUCCAUUUUCGUUAAAACAAUGAUUUUCAUAUGCUAUAAUUGCUUUAAUUCUGCUCAAUCAUUUUUCUUAUUUGACAAUUGUUUUUCCUUGAACUUAUGUAGCGAUACCACUCGUCAAGGAUUCUUACUCUUGUGUAUCAACUAUGUGCAUUUGUUACACUUGCAAUACUUGCAAAUCACGAGGCAAAACUCAAUACAAGAAAAAGGAACCUACUUGGAUAUAGUUUACUUUUCAUAGGCUCUCUUCUUAUUUUAGUUGUGAGUAUCAUAUUUUUAUUUUCUAUGUUCCAAACAACUCGUUGACAGAUUUUGGUUAAUUCAUAUGCAUACUAGCUACUAAUUCAUUUAUUAUGAUUCUAUAGGUGGAUUUAGCUACAUCAGGAAGAGGGGGACUUGAAACUUUCAUUGGGAUUUGUGUCGUUAAUGCUGCAUUUGGAGUUGCAGAUGCUCAUGUGCAGGGUGGAAUGGUUGGAGACCUAUCCUUCAUGAAACCUGAAUUUCUACAGGUUAUAUAUUUCUCUUUCCAUGGUAACAUUUUCCAUGGUUUUCUAUUUCCUACGAGUAUUUUGAUGAGUCUUAAUUUUACUUCUUUUUUAGUCUUACCUUGCUGGUAUGGCAGCAUCAGGGAUCAUAACUUCUGGUUUGAGGUUAAUUAUAAAAGCAGCAUUUCAGGAUUCCAAGAAUGGUCUUCGCAAAGGAGCUAGUAUGUUCACCACCUUUUAUCUUGCUUCCUACAAACAAGGAAUUCUCCAUUUCUUAUGCUCAACUUUUUCCUUUUGGCUAAUCCAUCCGCCUUCAGCAACAAACUUAUCUCUAUCAUAUAAUAUUUAACAAAGAAGUUCACACUUGGUCUUUCUGCAAUUUGGUUAUCAAGACUAAACGUCCCAAUUUGUCUAUCGCAGUUCUAUUUUUUGCUCUCUCUGCAUUUUUCGAACUUCUCUGUGUUUUCCUCUAUGCCUAUGCCUUUCCAAGAUUACCCACUGUGAAACACUACCGCUCGAAGGCAGCCUCAGAAGGUUCAAAAACUGUUACAGCUGAUCUUGCGGCUGCUGGCAACAGAACAUUCCAACAAGAAGAAGUAUGUCUAUUUUCCCUAGAGAUAUUUAGUUAACAUAGUAUUUAUGCUAAUUCAUUACGCAAUUUAACAAUGAAAUUUUCGACAGGCUGAGGAAAAGCCAGAAAGAUUUGAGAGGCGAAGCAACAAAGAGUUAUUAUCACAGAACAUUGAUUACGCAAUUGAUCUGUUUCUGACAUAUGUAAUCACAAUGUCUAUUAUGCCUGGAUUUUUAUCUGAAAAUACCGGAUCACAUAAUUUGGGCGAUUGGUGAGCCUUGGUUUAGAAUAUCCAUGUGAUUAAUUUACUCUUUUAAAGGCUUUGUAAAUUCUGAAAUUGUUGAUAUUUCAGGUAUGCCCUGGUUCUGAUAGCAAUGUACAAUUUGUGGAAUCUUAUUGGUCGAAACAUUAUACUCGUGAAAUCGUUGAAGCUGGAAUCACGAAAAGGUCUCAUGAUAAUCAUUAUCUCUCGUUUCUUACUCGUUCCAGCAUUCUAUUUCACUGCCAAGUAUGCAGACGAAGGCUUGAUGAUAAUGCUGACAAGCGUCUUAGGAUUAACAACCGGUUAUUUCACUGUCUGUGUCCUUACUUCUGCACCAAAAGGUUACAAGGUUUGUAGGUUUCUAGCAAGUUUUAUUUUAGUUUUUAUUUAUUGUAUUGUAUUGAGUAGCAUUUGUGUUGCCACAGGGACCGGAGCAAAACGCCUUGGGGAAUUUGCUUACUUUGUUCCUUCUGUGUGGUAUAUCUGUAGGAUCUGCACUUGACUUAUUGUGGCUGAUAGGCAAAGGAUGGUGAGCUCAUACUUUUGCUGAAUUUAAGUGGAGACCUUUAAGAAAUUCAAAAGAUUUCAGUUUAUAUUUUUCCAAUGGCAAUUAUAAAGAAUAACUCGACCUUUUUCAUCUUCUAUUUGUAAAGUUCAGAAAUGUUACCUCCAAUUUCUGAGAGUAAUCUGACGCUGAGCUGAUUAAUUACUUAUCUUUGUUAUGUCAUGCACGUCAAAUCUCUUAAUUACUUGAUUUAAAUAAGUACUUUUCAGAAUAUCUACAAAGAGACAAUGUCCCUAUUGAAUUAAUGGUCUAUAAAAUAACUGAAGUAUCCAACUGCCUGUUGGUAUAUAAUAAGUAAAUCUGCAAUACAUACAAAUUUGAUGUUUGCAACUAAUUUUAGAUCGAGGCCAACAAAAUAUUCAUGAGGACUUAGGUAGUUGACGUAAACGUCGUAAAGACUCAACUUCAUCUAAAUUUAAAGCUAUAAAUUGAAGCAAGAAGCGUAGAACUUACACAAGAACCAAAGCCAAAUAAGUGGUUAUGGCAGCUCUAAACAAGUCCCUGAUUUCUCCUUCUCCUGUUGAUUGCAGUUUCAAUGCAGGGCCAGCAGGUUUAUUUCCAUUUAAAUUAAUUCAGCAAAAGUAUGAGCUCACCUUCCUUUGCCUAUUAGCCACAACCAGUCAAACACAGCUCUAUAAAUAUACUGCGAAACAAAGCAAGCGAAAAAUGGAAUUGUGUUCUUUGUAGAGGACUCCUCGUUUGAUUUUAUGCUGUUUGUUAUGAAACUUAUCAGUUCGUUCUAACUUCCUUUCUCUAUCUUUUAACACAGUCCAGUCAAUGCAUUGUAUUGGUUUCUUGGAAACGGAACCCUCUUUUCAUGUAGUAAUAUGCUCACAAAGUAGAUUAUUAUUGCCAUCUUUUGCCGGUGCUUCCCAUAUCCAUUUAUGAGAAAUACCGGGAAAAGAUGACAAUAGUAAUCUACCAUUGUCAACAUGAUGCAUUAAGAGGAGAGAGUUCCAUUUCCUAGGAGCCAACAUACUGCAGUGUCAGGAAAUAUUCACUGUUUUAAAGGUAGAAAAAGAAGUUAGAACUUGUAAGUUUCUUAACAAACAGCAUGUCUGAAAUCAAAGAAAACAGUUUCAUUUUUUUUGCUUGCUUUGUUUAUUUUGGGCGGUAUAUUUACUGGAGCUAGUUUGGUUGAAGCAAAGGAAGGUGAGCUCAUGCUUUUUUACUCACAAGUGAUGACAGAUUUCUUUGAAGGAAAUUUGUUUAUUCUGAUUUGCAUAAUGGUAAUAGUUUCCAUUAUGGUUUUGUCAGAAAAUAUAUAUAAGAGAAGGCAGCCGGUGCACGAAACUCCGGUGUGAAGAAGAGUAAUAGUUUGUCUGAAAAUAGUUGGGCUAUAAUUUCCACGUCCGUGACUAGUUGCAUAUUUUGCUGAGUUCCAUAUUUACUUCUAUUAAUAAAUUGGGUGGAAAUUAAUGCAUUAGACAAACAUGUUGUUCUCAACUUACAAGGAAGAAUAGAAAUCUUUCAUAAACCAAAAGAAAAUGAAAUACCAUUCAAAAAACAAAAGAAAAAGAAAUAUAACUUUUCAUCAAGAUUGUGCCCAAAUGAUCAGGGAGGUGAAACUGGAAAACUGCCAAAGACUUUUUGAUUGGGCCCAAAUGAUGGGGCUCAUCCGUUGGGCUUGGGCAUAGCCGUGUGUGCAGUAUUUAUCACUCUGUCGUUCUAAUAAACGACUAUUCCGAGAAAAUUUUAAGCUCAGCUUAAAAAAAAAGGCUUAUCAUUUAUGAAACGGACCGGUCGUUUUCCAGCCAUUCGUCGUGUGGCUAUACCACGGCAGGUCAGCCAAAAUACGAGCGUUUAACUUUGGUUAAUAAUGCACAUGUAAUUUCGUGUAAAUCCAAAAUUUGCCCAAUCGCCAGAGCCCGUGGGCCCAACAAUGAAUGAAAUGCCUAUUUUUUCUCGCAUUUUAAUCCUUAAUUAACAUUCUGUAUUUCAACCACUAAUUCUUAAAAUUUUACAAUUUGAUUUCAAAAACAGAAUUAAAUUAUUAUUCCUCCUAAAUAUGUUCAUUGAACUUGAAUGAAUCAACAAGCAUGGAACAAUAUACAAUAGCAAAGCUCAUGUAAGCUGUCUCAAAAUUAUAUAUUAUCUUUGGAUAUGGUAAACUAUUUGUUUGAAUAGUACAAAGCAAUUUCUGCACUGAUCGAUCAUGAUUAAUAGCCGAGACCUGAUGUGAAACAUAUUUAUAUUCUCAAUAUAGCAUUAGAAGACAAGCUAACUUGGCUUAACAUGACGAUUACAGGAUAUCUUGGCCAAACAUAUUGCAAGAAGACGGAACUAUCUAGGGUAGUUCACAGGAGGUUCCAAGCUGCCUACCAGAAUUGCAAGAUCAAUGUCUUUGUCUUCAAACUUUUUGAUGAAAGGAUGACUCUGAAAACAUUAAAAAAAAAAAAAGAGUUAAAAAUCAUUAUCUAGCUUUUCCCUUGGGUGAAAAACCAGGAAAAAAAAAUCCAAAAUAGACAAAUCGGACACUAGGUCACUAACCAAGAGAUCCAAAGAUGAUGCCCUGUCUCGAGGAUUCUUCUGUAUGCUGCAGUUACCAUAGAAAACAUAAUCAUGCACGUUACUAGUUAAAGCACUAAGAAAUUUGAAAAAUAGAGAACAUGAUAAAUGGGAAAAUUAUUCUAAGACGUUUGAACCAGGAAACUUAUUCGACCACUUAAUAUCCCCUGGUAAGUCCUAAGCUGGCUAGCAGUUGUGUGGAAAGAUGAAAAAGGUAUGCUUGUUUCAGUCAGUUUCUUGCUCAUCUGCUCUUUUGGCUGAGGCAUCGGUACUGAGGAGGUAGCAUGUUUGGUGUCACGUUGAGGUUUUAAAAUGUCAGAAUUUAAUCAGACUCUCUUAUGCUGGUUCAAACCUUCAUGAAAAGUCUGUUCCCUAGGGACAUUGCUGCUAUCAAGUGAAGCAAUUAUCUCAAAUUCCAGGGAAAUUCAAGUUGUUGCAGUUAGAAAGGACACAGAAGGAUGGCAGAGAGAGUAGCAAAAAAAUGCAAGAACAGGUUUAUGCACCCCCUCCCUCCCCUCUGUUAAUGGAAAAAACUAGUGCCUAAGAACUUCAUAAAUGACAAAUGGAAACAGGAUUAGAAAGCUACAUAUGUGCUGAAGCAACAUAACAAAAUUUGAAAUAAAUUUGUGCAAGUUAUUACCAGGAUGAUACAAAUGAACAGAACUCAGGGGAGAACUGAUCUGGAGGAGCAGAUGGUGGGGGGCUCUCCACAAUGGCUUCUAAAAGCUCAUAAAAACUUGGCCAGCUUUGCUGAUCUUCAGAUUUCAUAUAUGGAAAACGCCCUAUAGCACACUCAAGUACUACCAGGCCUAAACUCCAAAUAUCACUGCUAUAAUCGUAGGUGCUCCCACUAAUUCGCUCUGGCUAAAGAGGGGGAGAAAAAGAUCAUUACAACUGAAUUAUGAUUGAUAUAGAAACAGGUAACAACUACAUAAUUUUUUCCUUUUUUUUUUUUUUGGUGAGGGGUAUCAUAAUUAAUGAACUGGUCAAGUUAAUAGUUUUCGCUAUCUUGUGCUAGCACAGAAAUAAAACCAAGACAUACCGACAUGUAAUUGUAAGUUCCAACAAAUGUGUCCCUUUGGCCCAUAGAACUAGCUAGCAUUGCACUCACUCCAAAAUCAGUGAUCUUCACUUCUCCCUUCUGGUUUACCAAUAGAUUAGAUGGCUUAAUGUCCCUAUGUAUGACAUGCCGUUCGUGGUGCAGGUAAACAAGACCCUGUAAAACCUGUAAUAGAUGCAUAAUUAUCAGGAGAAAAGGAAGAAGAGAUCAACCAACUAUAAUGAUUCUUUUUUUCUUCUUUUUUUUUUUUUUGGCUUUCUAGAUUUCCAAGAAAGAAGCUUAUAAACCUGCUUACACACGACAGCUAGAUAAGGCUCAAGAAUGGUUUUAACUUGUCUAAUCACAUCCGCUAGAGAUCCACGGUCCAUAUAUUCCAACACAAGAGAAAUAGCUCCAUUGUGAUAGAAUGAGUGGUAGCAAACAACAACAUGAGAACACUGCGAGGCUUGGUUUAUUUUCAGCUCCUGAACAAUUUGUUUGCGUAUAUCUUCUUGUAUGUUCAUCUGGAUGACCUGUAAUGCACCAUUCAAUGAACUUCAAGGUUAUAAACAAAUAUGAUUCAUCAGUAUGAUCCGGAAUCAGAAAUGCCCUAAUCAUCCAAGAAAUCUCCAUUAUCUAAAGUUGAUGGAGUAAUAUUAUAAAUAUUCAAGGCAAGAUGUCAAAUUUUCAAGUGGAAAAUGAAGCGCAUUCACUCCCUCCAUUUAUGUGCUUCUUAUGGUUCAAAAGGACGUCAACAAAAUAAAUAGUCAGACCAUUAACAGCCUUACCGAUAUUUCCAUGUGAAGCAAACAAAACAAGAAUGUAAACAAUUGAAGUCAAUAUAUUUGUAUGAUAAUAGGUUUCUAGAAUAUCAAUUUGUGAGUCCAAAGAUUAAAAAGGCAAUAUAAAAAGCUUUUUAUAUUAGUGAAACAACCUUCAAUGCAAAAAAUGUGCCAAUCCAUUUAUGACGAACGAGUUGCACUACACCUCCACUCCCCUUUCCAAUGACUUUGAUUGUCUCAAGGUCUUCCAAUGAGAACUCAAAAUCAAGUUCUUUGUUUUCUGAAGGCUGUCCAAAUGGUAAGAAUGAAAUUAAUAAAAUAUUAACUUCUGCACUGUUCUGUAUAUAAUUCGAAAGAAAAGCAAGAUCUAAUCAUUAUAAGAAACCAUGGAAAACAGAAUGAAAGAGAGAGCUAGUAAUUUUUCUCAUUUGAAAGGAAGAAAAACUAAUGGAAUCUAACAGUUAUUAGUCGUAUCAGAUAAUAACAAUUCAAUCAACUGAAAACUAACUCGAAGUGGAUAUGAGAUCUUUUUUAUUAAAAAAAAUAAAAUAAAAUAAAUGCUACACACAGUUGAUUACAAAAUUACAGCACACUUACACGAGAUUCCUUCUCUUCAGAGAUAAGCCGGAGUCCUUUCUGAUUCAAAAGUAAAUCUCCAUCAUGAAAUGUACCGCUAGCAGUCCUGAAAUUUAACGGUAUACACAAAUUACUCAAGAAUAAAAACGCACAUCAGAUUAAUAUUAAAAAGCAAUCAACUGAAGCUUCACUUCUUUUUUUUUUUUUUUUCAAUCUUUCUUCUAAUUUUCAACACUUUGUAGCAUAAUCGACAAAAUACUGAGAUAAAAAAGAAACUGGAAGAGAAAUUAAGAGAGUGAAGCAAUGAUAAGAUAGACUUAUAGAUGACAAAGAAAAUUGAUCUAUCGAAUCGAAGUUUGCCAUAUAAAUACAUAUGAAGAAAUGGAAAGAGAGAACUUACAAGAAAGAGGUGAUGGGGGUUUCUUGAGCUGGAACAGAGAGCUUGAGUUGUUGCAAUGGCUUCUUGCUCUUCAUUUUUCAAUUUCAAAUUUCUGCUAAACUGAACUAUUUUGUUACGAAUUUUAGGGUUUUAAACUUCUUUUUUUUUUUUUUUUUUUAAAUAGUUAAAGAGAAAGCAUGAGAGAGGGAGGGCGAGAGGGGGUGUUUCGUUGCUUAUUGAGAAUGAGUCGAUUUUGACUCGUUGAUAAAGUGUACAUGAAUUCAAACAAGAAUACCGCGCAUUAUUAAAGUGGGAGAGUUAAUAUUUAGUCCCUAUAUUAUUUCCAAAAUAUAAUUUCAUCCUUAUAUUCUUAAGAAUUUACCAUUUAAUCCCUAUGCUUUAAAUCUAGUAAACACGUUAAUGUAGUCAGUGGUUACACGAGUCAUUUAGAUUCUUUAAUUUAUUUUAAUUCGAUUGUUAGUAAAGCGGACUCUAACUUCUCACGAAUGCUUAUGGAAUGAAGCAAGUAUAAUAUUUUUUUUUUCCUUACAUUUUUCUUUAUUUUUGUGAUUACUUUUUGAGAGAAUAGAUAUCAUUUUCAUAAGAUUUUUACAUUUUAAUUAAUAUUUAUUAUUAUUUGUAUUUUAAAUCACACUAAUUUUUCGCCAUCGACUUAGCUUGAUGCAAGCAAAUAUAAUCAUUAAAAUACUUAUAACAGUAAUAACUACGGUGAUUUAUAAGUGCUAGAACUUGAAACAAUAUUUAAGAGUAAUUGAAGAUAGUUGUUAAGUUUUUUUUUUUAAUAUAUUUUUAUUUAUGACUUUCAUAAUAAGUCAUUGCUAUGGAUAUUACUCUUAAAAUCUAGAUGCAUUUUAAAUUCAAAUGAUCGUUUUUUUUUUUUUGUAUUUAUUGGGAUUUAAUUACUAAAUUAUAUUGAGAAUGAUUUAUUGAAAGGUUUGUGUUGGAUUCUAAUUUAUAACUAUAUAAAGUUUUGGAUUCUUUGAUGCAUUUUUCUUAGAUUUCAAUUUUGAAUUUUGAAGAAGCAAAAAUAUUGCACUUUAAUUUUUUUACAUAAAUAUAACUUGAAAAAUAUGAGUAACAAUUUAAGAUCCUCCAAAAUAUUUCUUACCAAUUUAUACGUGCUACGUAACGUAUUCUAGUUAAGUGUAAUUAGGUAUUAUCCAAUUGAUAAAAAGGAAAGGGAAUUGACAUAAUUUUUAAAUAUACGUAUAACAUUAACAUAAUUUUUAAAUAUAUGUAUAACAUUAAAAUGAAGGGAAAAAAAAGUUAAAUAAGAUAAUUUUAUCUACUUAAAUGCACAAGUUUCUAUCCUAAAAAAAUACGUUGAAUCAAAAUAGACUUGAAAUUAAUUUUUUUUUUUUUAAAUUUGUUAUUUUUUAUGCAAAAUAUAUUAUUCAAAAUAUUUAUUUAUGAAAGAGAAUUCAUUUAAAUUGGGUUAAACUAUAUUUUUCACCCUUACACUUUCGAGUUGUUUCAUUUUUAUUUUAAAAUGACUUUUACUUUUUGUCACCCUAGAUUGCACUUUUUGUUUUUAUUUCACUCUAAUUUCAAAAUUGGACUGAAUUGAAUAAUUAAAAACAUUAACGGUAGGAAAACGUUUUAAGAGGACUAAAAGGAGGCUAUGCAGGAAUAUUUGACAUUCUCCCCUCUUUGUAAUCGUCCACACGUGUAAAUUCCCGAGGAAAAAAAAAUUCCAUAGAGUAAAAUGUAUUUUACUAUUUCCAUUCUUUAAAAAAAAUAAAAAUAAAAAAAAUCGAACGCGUAAGGAAACGUUUCGAAACGUUGCCAAUCCAAAUCACAUGGCCAUAGCUUCUUCUUCCCCCGACUUUAGCUUCGCAGAGACGAAAGCUUCCUUCCUUUUUGAAACGCAAAAACCAAAAACAAACAGUAAAAAAUAACCCCAAAUGCAAAAUAAUGGGCAACAAGAUCGCGCGCACAACGCAAGUCUCUGCCACGGAGUACUAUCUCCACGAUUUACCUUCUUCUUACAAUUUGGUGCUCAAGGAGGUGCUUGGUCGCGGCCGCUUCUUCAAGUCAAUUCUCUGUAAGCACGAUGAGGGUUUAGUCCUCGUUAAAGUCUAUUUCAAGCGAGGCGAUCCUAUCAAUCUGAGAGAGUAUGAGCGCCGUCUCGAGCAAAUCAAGGACACCUUCCUUGCCCUUGACCACCCUCAUGUCUGGCCUUUCCAGGUACAGCUUGAAUUUUCCUUUUUCUUCCCUGCAUUUUGUUUUGGCGUCUAGCUAAUAAUAUUUGAAGUUUUAGAUAACUGUAGUUUGGUUAGAAUUGAGAAUAUUUGAAUAAAAUUUUACUCAAUUGAAAAUUACUUAGCUAUAUAGUCGUGUAGACAUUUGAAGACAACGGAAGUGCGAGUUCGAGGUGAAUGUUUUGUUAUAGAGAAAAAUGACUGGUAACACCAGUGUGUUAGUCUGCGAAAUUUUGAUAUUAGCCUCAGUUAGCUGAGUUAUAUGGUUGUUCGGAGGCUAAGGUGUUAAGAAUUUUCUUAAUAUUUUUCGCUUACGUUACCUUUACCUUUUUAGGAAAUGAAAUUGAUCAUUAUUGCAUGAGCUUCUAAUAAUGUAAUGUUCUCUUCCAGUUUUGGCAAGAAACAGAUAAAGCGGCUUAUCUUUUGAGGCAAUAUUUCUUCAAUAAUCUUCAUGAUCGCUUGGGCACUCGGCCUUUCCUCAGUUUAGUGGAGAAGAAGUGGUUGGCUUUUCAGGUCUCUGUUUGUAUAUCUCUUAGCUAUCUGUCUAUUUGAUAAAUAACUUCUCACGGGAGAAAGAAAUUCAUGUUCACAUACCAUUUACUGGUGGUUUGCAGUUACUUCUUGCUGUGAAACAGUGUCAUGAGAAGGGUAUUUGUCAUGGUGAGUGCAGUAUGCUCAGAGAUUGUUGCUUUUGCAGUGAUAAUAUUUUGUUUUAUCCAUGUCCAUUUGCAUUGCAAUAGGUGAUAUUAAGUGUGAGAAUGUUCUGGUCACUUCCUGGAAUUGGCUCUAUCUUGCUGAUUUUGCUUCAUUUAAACCGACUUACAUUCCCUAUGAUGACCCAUCGGAUUUCUCAUUCUUCUUUGACACGGGAGGAAGAAGGCUCUGCUAUCUUGCGCCUGAGGUUGGUCCUUAACUGUUUCAUAAUCCUCUUUCUUCCUCUUCCCCUUCCCCUUCCCCUUCCCUCUUUUCUUCUAAAUGUAAGUCUAUAUUUAUCAGUAGUUUCUUAUAUGUCAAUUACAUUGUUUCCUUACAAUAGGCCAACUGAUCCUUGAUUAAGAAUUGUAAUGAGCCACCAGCUGAAUGACUGGCAUAUAUUUUGACUAGAAUUAAAGUUGCUGGUUUGCAGAUAUAAGUUAUGCUUGUGAGGGACACAUGCUAUGACCAAGGCUUUAAAUGUCAUGAACUGCAUUUGAAAACUAUUUGCUGUUAUACCUCUUUCCUUCCCCUUUUCCUUUAUAUUUUACAGUUUCUAUAUUCCUACAAGAUCAUGUGUCUAUAGUGUAUUAUAGUUACAUAUCCUUAUAUUUUCAGAGAUUCUAUGAGCAUGGAGGUGAGAUGCAGGUUGCUCAAGAUGCACCAUUAAGGCCCUCCAUGGAUAUCUUUGCUGUUGGGUGAGCAUUUGCAGUUACAAGCAUUUUUAUUAAAUUAGGGCAUCAAAUAAAUGGUGAUUGUAUCAGUUUUUUUCCCUUUUAGAAAUGACCUCUUUUCUUAAUUUCUUCAGUAAAUAAUUGGUGAGGUAAAGCAUGUUAAAAUUAGCAGGUCCUGCGUUUUAUCGUUUAUUCUUGAACAACUCAAAAUAAAAAUUUUGUUUUGUGAAGGUGCUGGUUAUUAAAGUUUUUUCAUGUGCUAGAGACUUGGGUUGUAAUCCUACCUGCUCCAAGAAAUAAGGAGUAUUAGGAUCUUGUGAGGUUGGAUUACGAUUGUCCUUUUACCUGAUAUUAUUGACCGUAGAUUUUUCCUUUUGUCAUGGUGGUUGUGGGGAGGGAAUGGUUCUGAAGAAGGCGUUGCAUUGCAUGAGGCUUUCCACAUUGUGGGCUCUAGGAAGGGUCAGAUGUAUGUAACGUUCCCCUUCUGCUAAUGAGUUUGUUUCUGUGGUUUGAACCUGUUAGUUCAGAUGCAUGAAAUCUUUCCAUGGGUGGGGUUUAGUGUUCUUUUCAAAUUUUAAAGCGAGAGAAUUCAAAUGCCAUUUCUUGUAGGAGUUUUGCCAUAAAUACAUCUAAUAUCAGUUCAACCAAUCUCUUAGGUCAUGCACUGGCUUUCUGUAUUUUGUUUUCUGUUUCAUGAUGUGAUAAUUGGUUUAUGGUGUUGUUGCAUGUAUAUAAUAGGUGUGUGAUUGCGGAGCUUUUCCUCGAGGGUCAGCAACUGUUUGAACUCUCCCAGCUUCUUGCUUAUCGUAGAGGACAGUAUGAUCCUAGCCAACAUCUUGAGAAGGUUCUGCCUCCCUCCUCCUCUCUGUACAUCUGUUCUAAUAUGCCAACCAAAGGGACAAAAAAGGAAAAAUAUUGUACUUAAUCUCAACUUGAAGUAUUGACUUUCUUCUGGUUUUGUACUUAUUCGAAAUAUAUUUGUAUGUUUCCUAUUAGCUUUAAAAUUUAAGUUUUCACUUUCACUUGUGUUGUUCUGCCUUUAUGAGACUUCUUAUAGCGUGAGCAAGAAUUAAUAAAUCAGUGCUCAGGUUACUUUGUUUUUUCCUCUUAAAUUUUGUAUUGGUUCUUACUUGUGCUUGACAAGUUUUUUAUUAAUUCAUCUGCUUUGUGAAUACAGAUUCCAGAUACUGGAAUCCGAAAGAUGAUUCUUCAUAUGAUCCAGUUGGAACCAGAGGCACGACUUUCUGCGGAAAGCUACCUGCAAAGUUAUGCAGCUGUUGUGUUUCCAACCUACUUCUCACCGUUUCUGCAUAAUUUCUACUGCUGCUGGAAUCCUCUUCAUUCUGAUAUGAGGGUAAGAUAUUUUAUAAUACAUGAAGUAAAAUUGGUUGUACCUAUUGCUAUUAACAUGAGCCUGGCUGCUGUUUUAUUUAGGUUGCGAUGUGCCAGAGUGUUUUCCAUGAAAUACUUAAGCAAAUGAUGGGCGACCGGACAAGUGAAGAGACUGGAGCUGGGAAUAGUACAUCUGAAAAUGGCGUUAGUGGUUACCCGUCAUUAGAGACAGUUGAAAUACAAAACUUGGACUUGGCAAGGGACUCAAGAAAGAGAGAAAUGACCGAUAAAGGUAUAGUUCGUGAUCAAUACAAGCUUCUUGGUGAUAUUAGUACCCUUCUUGGGGAUGUAAAACAAAGCAAUGACUAUUCUAGUGUCAAGUUGAUGCCUGAAAGUGCACCCAGUUCUGCAUUUUCCCAGGACAUUAAGCAAUGCAGCAUACAAUCACCUGGCGAGCUUCUUCAGGCUAUCUCCAAUGCAUUUAGGAAAAAUGAUCAUCCCUUUUUGAAAAAGAUCACAAUGGAUGAUUUGAGUUCGUUGAUGUCUGAGUAUGACAGUCAAUCUGAUACCUUUGGCAUGCCUUUUUUACCUUUACCAGAAGAUAGUAUGAAGUGUGAAGGUAUGGUUCUGAUUGCCUCUCUCCUUUGUUCCUGCAUACGCAAUGUCAAGUUGCCUCAUUUGAGGAGGGGGGCCAUACUUCUACUGAAGUCUUCUUCAUUAUAUAUUGAUGAUGAAGAUCGCUUGCAGCGUGUACUGCCUUAUGUUAUUGCUAUGCUCUCGGAUCCAGCAGCAAUAGUGCGUUGUGCUGCCCUAGAGACUCUGUGUGACAUUCUGCCUUUAGUUCGAGAUUUUCCACCUAGUGAUGCAAAGAUAUUCCCCGAAUAUAUUCUUCCGAUGCUUUCCAUGCUUCCUGAUGAUCCAGAGGAAAGUGUGAGAAUAUGUUAUGCUAGCAAUAUAGCUAAGCUGGCUCUAACUGCUUACGGUUUCUUGAUUCACUCUAUAAGCCUGAGCGAGGCUGGUGUCCUUGAUGAAAUGACUUCAGCACGCAAGUCAUUAGCAUCAUCCAUUGAGACAUCCAGACAUCAGCAGAGGGUGAAUAAUAAUUCACAGCUAGCACAGCUGAGGAAAUCCAUUGCUGAGGUUGUUCAAGAACUUGUGAUGGGCCCAAAACAAACUCCAAAUAUCAGGAGAGCGCUCCUUCAGGACAUUGGCAAUCUAUGCUGCUUCUUUGGUCAGAGACAGAGUAAUGACUUUCUGUUACCAAUCCUUCCUGCGUUUCUCAACGAUCGAGAUGAGCAACUAAGGGCAUUAUUCUAUGGGAAGAUUGUAUAUGUCUGCUUCUUUGUGGGCCAAAGAAGUGUAGAGGAGUAUCUUCUACCUUACAUCGAGCAAGCUUUAAGUGAUCAAACUGAGGCUGUCAUUGUUAAUGCAUUGGACUGUUUGGCAAUCCUAUGUAAACAUGGCUUCUUGCGGAAGCGAAUAUUGCUUGAAAUGAUAGAACACGCCUUUCCUUUGUUAUGUUAUCCAAGUCAGUGGGUUAGAAGAUCAGCUGUCACUUUCAUUGCAGCCAGCAGUGAGAGCUUAGGUGCUGUGGAUUCCUAUGUUUUCCUUGCACCAGUUAUACGCCCUUUCCUUAGAAGACAACCUGCUUCCCUAGCUUCUGAGAAGUCUCUACUUUUAUGUUUGAAGCCUCCUGUCUCCAGGCAGGUAUUUUACCAAGUUUUAGAAAAUGCUAGAAGUUCAGAUAUGUUGGAGAGACAGAGAAAAAUAUGGUACAAUUCGUCAACACAGUCCAAACAAUGGGAAAGUGCUGAUGUGCUCAGAAGAGAGGAUGGGGAAGUAAAUUCUGUGAAGAGUUGGUCUGACAAGAAAUCAAGUCCUGAUAUUCAGAAACACGAUAUUAAUGCAUUGGAGCAGCAAGAGGAUGGUGAGGCAAAGCUGAGAGCUAUUGGCUUGAUAAGCAAUGUUUCUAGUGUGGUUGACAUUCGUGAUCCCCUAAGCUCAGAAAAGUUGCAAUUCUCAGGCUACAUGUCUCCACAGGUUGGUGGCGUGAAUAGCUUCAUACAUGAUAAGUCCUCAGAGGGCAUACCUUUGUACUCUUUUAGCAUGGACAGGCGAGCAGUGAAAAUUCCUCCUGCAGCUUCUGAUUCUUCAUUGCGUAUGAACUCUCUUGGAAUUGGUUCAUCUUACAUGCCUUGGAUGGAUCCAGUAAACAAAUCAUUUAGCUUGGCUAGUUCUGUUCCUGCACCUAAGCUGGUUUCUGGCUCUUUCAGCAUCAGCAAUGGAUCUAAACAGUUCUACAGAGUGGUACAUGAACCAGAAAGCAGGGAAAGUGAUCAGACAUCAUAUGUUAAUAGUAAAUUUCAAGAGAUGGGAUUAUCUGGUGCAACGAAGGGAGGAUCUUUUACAGUGGAAGAUGCUUCUGCUCCAACUGAUUUAACAGGAUUGCCGUCCUUUGCUCGGACUGCAUCAGUUCCAGACUCAGGUUGGAGACCUCGUGGAGUGUUGGUAGCACACUUGCAGGAGCAUCGCUCAGCUGUCAAUGAUAUUGCAAUUUCAAAUGAUCAUAGCCUGUUUGUAAGUGCAUCUGAUGAUUCAACUGUCAAGGUGUGGGAUUCAAGAAAGUUGGAGAAGGACAUCUCCUUCAGAUCAAGGCUCACUUAUCAUUUGGAAGGAAGUCGAGCACUUUGCACUGUAAUGCUCCGCAACUCUCCUCAAGUUGUUGUUGGAGCGUGCGAUGGCGUGAUGCAUCUAUUUUCUGUUGAUCACAUAUCUAGGGGCCUUGGCAAUGUUGUUGAGAAGUAUUCAGGUAUUGCUGAUAUAAAAAAGAAGGAUAUCAAGGAAGGUGCAAUACUUAGCCUUUUGAACUACACUGCAGAUAAUAGUGCUAGUCAGAUUGUCAUGUAUAGUACUCAAAAUUGUGGAAUCCAUCUCUGGGAUAUUAGAGCAAAUGCAAAUGCGUGGACAUUAAAAGCUGUUCCUGAGGAAGGUUAUGUUUCUUCUCUGGUAACAAGCCCCUGUGGGAAUUGGUUUGUCUCAGGAUCUUCGAGGGGUGUGCUCACACUUUGGGAUCUAAGGUUCCUCAUACCUGUGAACUCAUGGCAAUAUUCUCUUGUAUGCCCCAUAGAAAAGAUGUGCCUCUUUGUUCCUCCUCCAAAUGUCACAUUGUCUAGUACUGCACGACCCCUAAUAUAUGUUGCUGCUGGUUGCAGUGAAGUUUCUCUAUGGAAUGCCGAGAAUGGGAGCUGUCACCAGGUACAUGGCAAUUGUUUUUAUUUUUUUAAUACACAACCUCUGGGGUGUUGCAUGGGUGAUAACUUGACAAGACGUGUUCACACACUUUGUGAACAUUGAAAAAGUGCAGACAAAAAUCAAAAUAUUUGUAAAUUUACUUGUUGGGUUUUGAUGGAGGAAAAAGGUGGUCUUGAUGAUUAAUUUUUGUAAAGGCUGAAAAUGGUUACUUUAGUUUAUUUUAUUUUGUUAAGGAAGUAGUUGUUGUGGUCUCAUACUGCUAAGUCUUAAGUUCUUUGUUGUUUCUGCAGCUAAUCUGAUUAGUUGACAAGCUUAUCCCUAUAUGUCCAACACCCCAUCUUUCCCUAGAUCUGAUCCUAACCAUCAGAGUUUUUCAACAAACUAGCCUGAAGUGACUAGUAUUGAAAAGGAAAUUUGGCUAAGGUUAUGUGAUGAGCACAUGGAGAGUCCUCUUGUAACUUUAUGGAAUUUUUGUCUUAUUUAUUUAUUUAUUUAUUUUUCAGGUAUUGAGGCUGGCAAAUUAUGACAAUGAUAUUGAAAUAUCUGACAUGCCAUGGGCCUUGGCCAGACCAACCGGUAAGGCAAACCUUAAACCAGAUAUGAGGCGGAAUGUCAAUCCGAAGUAUAAAGUUGAUGAGCUGAAUAAUCCUCCUCCCCGUCUUCCUGGUAUCCAUUCAAUGCUUCCUUUACCUGGGGGUGAUUUGUUGACUGGUGGUACCGACUUGAAGAUACGUCGGUGGGACCAUUUCAGGUUAUUGCUUGAAUUUUCCUUGUUCUCCACCUAAUCUUCAUCUUAUGGCAGUGAACUGAUGCUGCUUCUUUAUGACUGUAGCCCUGAAAGAAGUUACUGUAUUUGUGGGCCAAAUUUGAACGGAGUUGGAAAUGAUGAUUUAUUUGAAAUAAAAUCAAGUUUUGGAGUUCAAGUUGUACAGGUAUGUUGAAGUUUUCUAGAUUCUUUUCCAGUACAGAUUCUUUGAACUUUAAGCUUCAAUUCUUUGAUAAAUUUCCAUUUAUUUUCUUUUCUUCAUGCAAAUAGGAUUUUAUUGUGGAGGUAUUUUCUAAAAUAAUAGGACUAGUAGUCUGUAAUUCAUUAUUGCAAAAGAUCAUCUGAAACUUGGUAUUCUCAGGUCAAAUUGUUACUGAAACAAUACAAUAAUCUGAAUAUUAAAUUGUGCUUGUGAGUAAUUGGAAAAAAAGAAACAUGGAAAGUUUGCUUUUAUUUUUGUCCUCCUUAAUAAACAGGUGGCCAUUGUUCGUCUUUUCUAUGUAUUCUUAUCUUAUCCAAUUGCAUCAAUGGUUAGCUUAUUUUCAGUUGCAACCAACAUGAAUGCUGUUCAUCGUUGCAUCUUUUGAAUGAAAAUUUAUGGUAUCGUAUAGUUCAUGUUACUUAUAUUAUCGGUCAAUUCCUAUCACUCUUGUCUUUACGUAUAUCCUUUGUUAAUUUCACAGCAUUUUAAGUCACUUAAAAGUGUUGGCUGCUUACAGUUGAUGUUAUAAUAGGUGGCUGAAUACCUCUUUUUAAUUUAUUUCCUAAGCAUUUUAGGUUUGUAAUGCCAAAAUUAUGUUUCUUCCCAACAGGAGACAAAACGGCGAAAUCUAACACCCAAGUUGACUGCAAAGGCUGUUCUUGCAGCUGCUGCUACUGAUUCUGCUGGCUGCCACCGAGAUUCCAUCCUCUCUUUGGCUUCUGUCAAGUUGAACCAGAGACUUUUGAUUUCAAGCAGUAGAGAUGGGGCUAUCAAGGUUUGGAAGUAAUUUAACCUAAGCAUUAAAGUGCUCUAUUGUACAUAUGAUAUUGAUUUUGUAUAUAGCAUAUUAAGACUAGGAAGUUAAUUUUCCUUUGGUUUUAUUCUCAACCACUUGCCUAUACCAUAUAACUAGCAACCCUCCAAGAAAGGAAAAGAAAGCCCUUUUAGGAUUUGUACAGUGAUCAGUUAUACACUUCAUAAUUUAUUUACUGAAGGAAAAUAGCUGUGGUAUCUAAGUGUUCAUAAAAUUAUCUUCGCAGUCAUUUUGUACUCUUGCUUAUACAUGUAACCUUCAGAGUAUGCUGCCUCAUUUUCUGUUCACCUGGACCUUAUUAUCUCAUUUUCUAUUGGCUACUGGAACCAUCUAAUUGUCUAGAUAACAGUUAUGGAGGUUGUAGGGUACGGAAGGUGUGAUUACAUUUGACAAUUGAUUGGAUAUUAUCCUUAAAUCCCAUGCUAUGGUGGUAUUCUUUGAUAGUAAGAUGAUAAUGAGAAAAAAAAAAAAGGAGCACAAAACCCUAAAUAUUACUCCCUCCGUCCCAUUUUAUUUGCAUGGUUUGACAAAACACACAUAUUAAGAAUUUAGUCAAUAAAAGUUAUUUUGUCUUUUUUUACCCUUAACUCAUUAAGAUAUUAAUAAAAGUUUUUCAUUUAAUGAAGGAUCAUAAAAGUUAUCAUGGGAAAAAUAAUUAUUCACAUGUAUAAAUUUCGAAACCUUGCAAACAUUUUGGGACAUCCGAAAAAGGAAUAACAAGCAAACAAAAUGAGACGGAGGGAGUAUUUUAUUUUUGUUGUUAUUAUUAUCAUUAAGGUAUGUUUUGGCUCUUAUGUGAAAAAAUAGAUUGAAAGACCAGCUACAUAUUAGAUGGCUCAAUGCAUCCUGGUGAAUACCAUCUGAAAUUUGGUUCUCUUUUCAUAUAAACUAUGCUUAUAUUAGAUGACUGUUGGAAUGUAGGCUGUGUGAGUACUAUCUGAAAUUUGGUUCCGUUUUCAUAUAAACCAUGCCUAUUGUAUGUCUAGGAACUCAGUCUCUAUCUUGCUAUUUUUUGGGUUUUACAUUUCACUGCAUCUUAUUUCAUUGUGCUAAUGACCCAAAAAAAAAAAUCCGAGCAACAAAAGUCAACAACUAACAUUAGUCCUAAACUCAAGCAUUAUCAAAAAAGUGCAAUUGUACCGAAACCUUCAGCUAAGAUUCGUUGCCAUUGUACCCAUUUGAUCUAAAGUACACCAUCACUUUUUUGCAAUUAAGUAGAAUUGACAAAGAGUCGUGUCAGAAUUGAUUUUGGAGACGAGUGAUUGUAAAACAUUAUAGUUAUAAUAUAUUGUAUUUCAUUUCAAUUAUGAUCAAAUGGGUAGACUUGCUAUGAAUAUUUAAAGGUCAGGGUAAAAUGGUGUAUUCUGGAAGGUUUGAAUUUUUGACCAUUAAGCCUAUUUAAUUUGGUGUUAUGUCUUGUGAUUUUAUGAAUUGGCGUUGACACUGAAUGUUGCUUUGUCACUGCAUAUUGAGUUUUAAGAGUUUUUCAUAUUUUAGGAAAGUGCCAUUUAGUGAGAGUAUUAUCAUUUCUAUUCUUUUAAUCCUGAAAAUUUCAUGUCAUAUUCCUGUUUUGCUUUGGGUUUCUUAUUUGUGGUGUUUUGUAAUCUAUGCCAAUCCAAACUUCUUGUUUCUAGUGAAUUUUUGGUGUGCUCUGCGGCAAAUUGUUAUUAUGAGGGUAAUUACCUAAUGACCUUAAUGUUUCCUCGUUUUUUUUUUUGGCUUUCUCCUGUCCUUUGCAACUAUUUCCACCAGAAAAUGCCUAUAAAACAAGCGUAGCAAUAUGAGAACAUUUAGUAAUCAAUGCAUACAUCAAAUGCAACAUAAAGUUGCACCAACUUGGAAUGGUAGGAUGGUUGAGUAACAAGGAACUGACCAUGGAUAAGUGGACAGAGCUGCAAGAGAAAGAGGUGGUCAGAUAGAAUAUGUUUCUAGGUAAUAAUAGACUAAAUAAUUUGCUUAAAGUUUAGCCAAGAUAGAUUCUAAUGAUGGAAUUGGCUAGACUUUAGUUGGGUCACAAGGCCUUGUUUAGGUCUUUAGCGUUGGUAUUGUUUUUUUUUUAUGUUCUGCAAUACUGAGAUAAAGAUAUCUUGAGUUUUAUAGUUGACAAGGAUUUUGGUGAUGGAAUCCAAUCCAUACAAUGCUUGCUCAAACCUUUUAUUUGAGUUAAUUGCUGAUGGAGUAUUUUAUUUUUGUUGUUAUUAUUAUCAUUAAGGUAUGUUUUGGCUCUUAUGUGAAAAAAUAGAUUGAAAGACCAGCUACAUAUUAGAUGGCUCAAUGCAUCCUGGUGAAUACCAUCUGAAAUUUGGUUCUCUUUUCAUAUAAACUAUGCUUAUAUUAGAUGACUGUUGGAAUGUAGGCUGUGUGAGUACUAUCUGAAAUUUGGUUCCGUUUUCAUAUAAACCAUGCCUAUUGUAUGUCUAGGAACUCAGUCUCUAUCUUGCUAUUUUUUGGGUUUUACAUUUCACUGCAUCUUAUUUCAUUGUGCUAAUGACCCAAAAAAAAAAAUCCGAGCAACAAAAGUCAACAACUAACAUUAGUCCUAAACUCAAGCAUUAUCAAAAAAGUGCAAUUGUACCGAAACCUUCAGCUAAGAUUCGUUGCCAUUGUACCCAUUUGAUCUAAAGUACACCAUCACUUUUUUGCAAUUAAGUAGAAUUGACAAAGAGUCGUGUCAGAAUUGAUUUUGGAGACGAGUGAUUGUAAAACAUUAUAGUUAUAAUAUAUUGUAUUUCAUUUCAAUUAUGAUCAAAUGGGUAGACUUGCUAUGAAUAUUUAAAGGUCAGGGUAAAAUGGUGUAUUCUGGAAGGUUUGAAUUUUUGACCAUUAAGCCUAUUUAAUUUGGUGUUAUGUCUUGUGAUUUUAUGAAUUGGCGUUGACACUGAAUGUUGCUUUGUCACUGCAUAUUGAGUUUUAAGAGUUUUUCAUAUUUUAGGAAAGUGCCAUUUAGUGAGAGUAUUAUCAUUUCUAUUCUUUUAAUCCUGAAAAUUUCAUGUCAUAUUCCUGUUUUGCUUUGGGUUUCUUAUUUGUGGUGUUUUGUAAUCUAUGCCAAUCCAAACUUCUUGUUUCUAGUGAAUUUUUGGUGUGCUCUGCGGCAAAUUGUUAUUAUGAGGGUAAUUACCUAAUGACCUUAAUGUUUCCUCGUUUUUUUUUUUGGCUUUCUCCUGUCCUUUGCAACUAUUUCCACCAGAAAAUGCCUAUAAAACAAGCGUAGCAAUAUGAGAACAUUUAGUAAUCAAUGCAUACAUCAAAUGCAACAUAAAGUUGCACCAACUUGGAAUGGUAGGAUGGUUGAGUAACAAGGAACUGACCAUGGAUAAGUGGACAGAGCUGCAAGAGAAAGAGGUGGUCAGAUAGAAUAUGUUUCUAGGUAAUAAUAGACUAAAUAAUUUGCUUAAAGUUUAGCCAAGAUAGAUUCUAAUGAUGGAAUUGGCUAGACUUUAGUUGGGUCACAAGGCCUUGUUUAGGUCUUUAGCGUUGGUAUUGUUUUUUUUUUAUGUUCUGCAAUACUGAGAUAAAGAUAUCUUGAGUUUUAUAGUUGACAAGGAUUUUGGUGAUGGAAUCCAAUCCAUACAAUGCUUGCUCAAACCUUUUAUUUGAGUUAAUUGCUGAUGAUAAUUGCAAAUCAGAAGAGAAAUUUGGCAAGAUAGCUUUUUAACUGGAAUUUCAAAAACAUCCACAAUAGUCUUUAUUAGUUCAUAUUCUUUGUUUGUGUAUUGUACAUAUUCAUGUUAGUUCACCGCUGAGGACUAGCGACACUUGUCUGACAGCUCUGGAGACUCUCCAAACUUCAUGUUGUACACUUUGCCAUGACUCUGCAGUCUUAAGCCUCUUUGCUUUUUCAAUGGCAUCAUCAAUACCUGGGAAGGAGUUUGAUCCGUAGACAUUAUGCUUUGCAGGUGCAUAUAUCUGCAGGAUAUAGAAAUAUUAGCUUGAUCCUUCUUGGAUAGUUGGAGCUGUGCUUUCUCUUUUGCAUAUAUGCUUUGAUGUUUUCACAAUGGGCUUUGUCACAAAACUCGUCUUUUUGUGUAUGCUAGAUUUCAAAAAGAAAUUGGUGAACAUGGAAAACAACUUAAAUUAGGGAUUCAGGAAUCAUUUAAGGAAGCACGUACCAAAUGCUUAUACCAUGGCCUACCGGAGAGUCCAUCUUGGUCUGUAAAUGCUCUUUCUGCCAUCAUCAGCCUGUCAUUGAUCUCUCUUACUUUUAGGUGGUCUUUCUUCAAUAUUGAUGUCCAGCCUCUGCUUUCUUCUAUUGCCUGGAAAGUAAUACUUCUGUUUUAGAAACAUUCUUUAUGCCUGUCUUGAGAUACAGAUGCUUUGAUUAUACCUUUCUCUUCUUAUGUAUCUUGGUGGCUGCUUUGGUUAGCUCGUCAAUGGACUUGAACAAUGGAUCAAGGCUUAUGCCCUUGUUUGAGAUCACAUCUUCCAACUCCUUUGCGCUUCUCUGUCACAUAUUAAUUUGAUUUCUUGGAUUAACUUUUGUCACUGAACUCUCAGUCGGAAAUUGUAUACAAUGUUUGUUUACCAUUUCAACUUAAAGAUACCUGGAGCUCAUAUGCAUAGGAUAGAUAAUUAAAAGGUAAAAACUCCUCAUCUGCUAACCAAAGAGCAACCAAACCCCAAACGCUAGCCACUGUGUUUUCAAGGGCAGACUUAAGAGCAAAGAAAAAAUUGGCAAAAUAAAAGAAAAGAAAAAUAUAUGUAUUUUCAGGCAUAGUUCAAUUGACAUUUUAGACUCUUUAUGAUUCAUAACUUGGUGCAAAUACCUUAUAUAGCAAUAACUACCUGUGUGUUGGUUCCUUUUAUGUUCUGAAUGGUUUUUGAUAUGAAUUUCUUACAAGUUGAAUUGCUUCAAAAUUAAUAUUUGUGUAUAAUUGCACAUUCUAUAAUCAAUAUGCUAUAAAUAAAGAAUAUUGUGGAUUGUUUUUGGCUGGAGUAAGAUUUCAUAUUUUUAGAUCCUUAUAGAUAGAAGUUUGAUGUCAAACCUGCAACAUGUCUUUGAAACAUUGGAUCACCAAACUUCUUCAUCCAGAUGAAGUCAUCAUACAUUGAAUGGUAUACUGGGUAACCUGUGGGUGAUUGUUAGCAUCAGAAAGUCAUCAUAUAUGCAUUAGUAUAUGCGUGUGAUCUGAAGUAAAAGAUUGUACUGAGGGGGGUCAGAGGAUGUAAUAUUUUUGUUACCUUCUCCAUAAGACACAUCAGCUGAUGCAACACCAAUAUGUUGCACAAAGGCUGCAUAAUCUGAUCCUGCACGGCCUAAUCUCCCAAUCUUCAUAUACAAAGUACAAAUUAGUGGGUGUUAAAUAGUUUCAAGUUACAUAAUAAGCUGAAAACAUUCACAUGAUAAGAGUCAUCUUCCAGCUGUAAGUUAUGCUCUGUGCAGUAUGAUUGCAGGUAAUAAAAUGUAGUUCGUCUUGCUUGAAAGGUUCAUUAGGAUCACAUUAUGAAGUGGUAGAAUGAGAUUAGGUAAUGUUUACCUCAGGAGAGCUGCUGGAAACAAUCCAUGAUUCGUAGAUGGUCUGUGAUGUGUUUUCUGGGUCUUUAACCUUCACAAAUAAGUACUGAAUGUGAAUCUGAUUGUGAUGAGUGAGAGGGAUGACUUGGUAAUAUUGUACUCCAGAGAAUCAUGCUCAUACAGAUAUCUUGUUUUAUUAUUAUUAUUAUUAUUAUUAUUAUUAUUAUUAUUGUUUUCAGUAUAUCAAAAAGUUUUUAAGGGGAAGGGGGUGCUCUGGUUUGAACUUCUGACUUCCUAUGGUACAAAGCUGACACUUGAUCAUUGGCUUACCAGCAUAAUGGCUUUUGGUAUCAUUUUUGAAAUUGCUUUAUAUAACAGGAAAACAGAUAGAAGAAAUAUUUUCCUUUCGUGGCUUAAAUAUCAUUACUUUAUUGCUUAUGCUUUCUGGUGAUGCUACUUAGUUCUAGUUAUUUGGAUACCUGCUGAGUAGCCUGUAUGAGCAGUUCAUCAAGUUGAGGAGUUGCAGAGGCAUAAAAUCCUGCUCCAUGUACUGCAGAGUCAACAUUUAAGUACGCUACAGACCCUGAAGCUAGCAUUUCUCUGUUAUCUUCAACCCACUCAGUUGAUCCUAUCUGGAAAUAACACUUGGUUUAUGUCACACAUACACACGCAGUUGCAUUCAUACUCAAGUGCAAACACACAAACACAGGGAGAGAGAGAGACCAGGCCAUAUUCCUCAGCAUCCCAGUUGCACAAGACAAUUGUUCUUCGUGGUUUCCAUCCUCUUUUCUGUAGCUUUGCCAAUCUCUGAGCGACCUACAAUGCAUAUCAAAGUUUUGUCAAGGGCUUAUAGUUCUUAUGCUAUUAUUUACUCCUAUGCUAUUAUUUUCUUUGAUUGAGAAGAUAGUUAAUAAGGCAGCAUGUAUUGGAGCCACAAAUACCUCUAGCAUUGCUGCUGUGCCACUGUUGGGAUCAACUGCUCCAAAUGUCCAUGCAUCCCGAUGAUUACCCAGAAGGACAAAUCUAGAAGUAAUUGUAGCAGGGUGAUUAAAUCAUUAGAAGGGGCAUAUAUGUUUUGCUAAUUGCUUGAUCUCUUCUUUUAUUUUAUUUUGCUUUGGUGAUUACUAAAGUACUAUAAAGGUGCUUAAAUAUACAAAUUUAGCAGACAGAUUACAUGUUCUAGCUGUUUAAAUGUUUCUCACCGAUCAGGUUCUUCUGCUCCUUCAAUCACACCAAUAACAUUUUGAAUUGUUGCUACCGUCUGCUUUCCCUGAAAUCUUGUCGAUAGGUGGAGUCAUAUAGAAGUUCUUUUUGAUAGGUAGGCCUUUUUUAAUUUGUUUGUCUGUGUGUGCGUGUGUUUUCAAGUGUUUCAAUUGUAUGAUGCAUGAGAUAUAUUCUAUACUGAAACUAGGUUGUUGAAUACUUACAGUAUAACUGAGGUUUAAAACCCCUGGCCCUGGUCCAACCCUGUAAACUGGACCAUCUUCGCUUCCUUGCCAGUCCUCAUUUGCUAUUUGUCCACUGAUUGAUCUCAUAAUUGUUUCACCAUCAGUUGCUGAUAUUGGCAAUGAAGGUAUCAAUGGAACAUAUCCUCCCUUUUCUACUUCAUUAUCUGAUAACCUCUCGCAACCCUGGAUACUUGCCCAUCCAGGCGUGGUAGGAUCACCAGCACCAUCAUAAACAGAUCCUACCUGAACUCCACUUGGUGGCAUCCACUUCGCGUAUGGAAACCAUCCUUCUCCACUGUCUCCACCGCCAUAGUCUUUCCUGUCUGUAUAGAUGACUGCCCCUAUAGCACCGGCCUCAAAUGCAUUAUGCACAAUAUCUCCUCUAUAAAUUUUUCCAUACCUUGCUAAUACAAUAGUGCCGGAGACAUUCAACCCCAUUUCUUUCAGUGUUGUAUAAUCUUCUACUCGUCCAUAGUUCACAUAGGUCGCAGGUCCACUUACCGUACCUGACUUUGCAUAUGCAUGAAAAGUUGGUAGAACUUCAUCUGCUACAUCUGCAUAUGGAUCUCCAUCAUAUAUCUCUUGAUGGGGAUCGAAAAUGAUCGGCUUUUCUGUAGGUAGGGUUGUUAGAGCUAAAGAACGCGAAACAGGAUAAGUUAGGGACACAUCAUAGGAGGCGAUGUGUGAUUCUAUAUUGUAGGAAUUGAGUGUAGAUAGAACAUAGGCUGCAUCCUCUGCGUUGGCUGGUGUGCCGGCAACAUGUGGCCGACGGGUGAGCAUGUAGAGAUUAUGCGAUAUUGAGGCAUUGUCAGAUAGGGAUUCAGAUAUGUAGAGGGAGUGAUAGUAGGAUUUUGGACAAGUGAAGAGCAAGGAGAAAGAUGUUGCAAUGGCAAGGAAGACAGCGGUGACUGUUUUGAACAUGACGCUUAGUUGUUUUUGGUAACUUAGAGAACAGAGGUUAUACUUACUGCUGAUUGUUGUUGAAAAGGCUAUUGCAGAGGUAUCUUUUAGAUUUUAGCAAGAGAAAGCUGAGUCAAUGUCUUACUGGAGAUUGCAGAGAAAACGAGGAAAGUUAUUUGUCCUAUUAUUCGUGUAAAAAUUGUUUCUGGAGUUGAUAAUGAUUUUAAUAAACAAACUUUAUAUUCUGCUUUCAAAGAAAAAUACGAGUACGACACCAUUUGCUAUUUUGUUAGAUAGUGGCCAUAUACGAUAUCCUGUCAUUUCUUUUUUCUUGCUUUUUGAUUGAUUUGAGACAGGGACCAUUUCCUACCUUUUAUUCAUUAUCCAAGUGGAGGACUGGAUAGUGAUGAACUGGACGUCCCUUUUUCAGAAAUGGAAGGCACGUCAACAUGGUUGGGAUUCCGUCGUCUAUCUAAUGUGACUUGCAUAAAAAUGUAAGGUUUGUGGAUUUUAUCUUCUCUCUGAGUCUCCUAUGCGUCUUAUUUCUGCCUAUUACAGAUCCUUUUUCUUUUUUAAUCUCCGAUUUUGGUUAAUCUUUCUUCCUUCCCCUCUAACAUUGGGUUAGCCCAACGGUUAAGAGAAAGUAGAUGUCAUUGACAUCUUAUCAUCUGAUUGACAAGUCUUUCAAUUCAAGAGCUUGUUUACUGUAAAUUUUACAUAAAAAGACAAGAUACCCUCUCAUCAAUCAGCAUAGGGGUGAUAAGGAGCUCGUUAAAGAGCAAAAUACCGAUUGUUAUGCAAUCAAUUUCAACAGCUUUUUGAUGGAAGUAGAUUACUCAAGUUCUUAGGUUUGAUGCUCCUCUUCCUGCUUAUCCAUCAUGUAGAUAGAGCUUCAAUAUUAUUGUAUGCAGGAUUUGGAGAUCCAAAUUGUCAAUUUUAUAUCUUUUAUUUCUUCUUGGCCUUCGUUAGAUUAUGUAUCACAUAUUAUUACUAAAGUCUAUUAAAACUCAUAAUCAAUCAUUUGAUAGCAUCUUUUCCUGUGAAUUGCAUUUGGUAGUUGCCAAAUAUAUUGUCUAGAAACUAUAGAUAAUUUUUUUUUCUCUCCAAACUUAUGUAGUUUACAAAUUAGCGUUACCUUUGAAUUGUAAUAAUGAUAUUUCUUUAUUUGAUUGGUAAGUAUAUAUCUUUUUGUUUAAUAAGGGUCAAAUGCAUAUGAACUAUUAUAGUUUUUCAUUGUUUGUAAAUUUUAUAUUUAUUAAAUACUUUAACUUAUAAAAUAAUUAAUGAUUUUGAAGAAACAUCAGUUGAGGAUGAAUGUAAAAUUUUCUUGGACCGUACUGGUCUCCGGGAGCAUGUGUAAUCGAGGAUGGUGUUUGGACAGAUGAAGUCACGGGACCAGAUUUGAUUUCAAUUAUUAAUCGUCUUUUUGACAAAAUCUACAUUUUAAUAUCUUCCUAGAUUUAAAUUUAAUGUUCAUUUCUAAAUUGAUUUUACGUUAUUAUCAAUUGAGAACAACUGUCUCAGUUCCAAAGGCCGAUGGAGGGGGCGGAUGGGUGGCCGUGGCCCCCAUCCCAUAACAUAUAAAGUUUUUUAAGAUUGACCUUUUAGAAAGUAAAAAUUUUCAAUUUUACCUCUUGUGUAUAUAUCUUUUUAACUAGCCAAAUCGAUAAUUAAAAAAUGAUUAAAAUAUUAACUUAAUUUUAUUAGCUAAGAUUUGUAGGUAUAAUGUAAUUAUUCGGCAUACCUUAAGCUAUGGGCUAAACAGUCUUCUGAGCCAGCCCAUAUAUUCUUCUUCUUCUUCUUCUUCUGUUCUUUUUAUUAUUUUGUUAUUUGAACUGAGCCUAUCCAUUUCGUCUUAUAAUGAUCUCUCCACCAAACGAAUGGGACCGGUACUGCUACAGUGACACUACUCAAGAAAAAAGCAGAAGAAGAAAAUGCUACUUUUCUCACAGCCAAAAGGUAAAUAUAAAUAAGGGAAAGAUCCAAAACCCAAACACAAAUAAAUUCUCUUUCUCACAUCGCCAAAAUUCUCUACAACAGCUACCUAAAUUCAGUCUCAUCAAACAUUUGUUUCCUUUAUCCAUCUCUACCAAGUGGAGCCUACCAAUUUCUUUUACAUUAACAGUUAAUCACUCUGUGACUUGCCACAAUGCCCUGAAAUAAUGAAGCCAUGUUGAGGACUGUUGAACUUAAAUUUUACUCAGAUAAAGAUAUACGUACCUCAAACUUAAACUUAUUCGUAAUUUAUAAUGAAAAGAAUUAUACUUUUAUAGACUCAAACUCGAACUAGGCUUAUUUAAAUUUAUAAUUAAACUUGAGCGGAUUAUCUAGAUUUAUAAAAAUUUCUUGAAAAAACAAGAACUGGGUUUUCAAAUUUUCAGUUUUGAUUAUCUAAUUUGCAAGCAGAGACUUGCUAAUUAUUAGGCUAAUAAUUCUAUGAUAAUUAUUCUAGAACGAUGAUUUAUUGUUAGGUAAUGGAAACAUAUAAAAAAAUAAUAAUUAAAAAGAAAAGAAAAGAAGAAAAACAACUAUCACUCAUCACCUAUUAAAGAAAGAAAGAAAGAAUAUAUUCACCUUCACACACUAACACAAAGAGACACAUUCACGGGCACUAGAAAUCAACAAGAACAAAAAGCGAAAAAGAAAUUUUUUUUUUGAAGAAACAACGUUUUCUAUAACCAGAAAAGCGCAAUCAGUCUUUGUGGCUUAGAUUGUUUCUCUCACUUAACAUGGAUGUCAGUGGAAGAAGCACCCGUGAACUCCCUUUCUCUCAAACCUCACGUCACUUUUCACCUAAACCCAAGUACUAACUACUAUCAAACCUUAUAUAAACUCUCCCUUCAGUCUUCGCUUUCAUUUCUCAAUUCUCAUUCCAUAUACGUUUACAAAAAAAUAAAGGGAGAGAGAAAGAAAAUGUCAAAUUCUAAACACAUUCCCCGCUUUUUCUUUCUUCUUCUUCUUCUUAUUCUGCUUUUGAACUCAGGGCAGACGGUAGGCCAUACGAAAGGAAUUAGGCCAAAAAAGUCUGCAACUAAUAUACCAACUGUAAAUCAAACUAGAGUACAAUUCUCAGAGCAGCAAUUCAUGAAGUGGGUCAAUUUUGUUGGUAAACUAAAGCAUUCACUUUUUAAAACUGCAAAGAAUAAGCUUUUCCCUUCUUAUACUCUGACUGUAGACAAGAAUCCAGCAGCUGGUGAUUUUACUUCUAUCCAGGACGCCAUUGAUUCUCUUCCUUUCAUUAAUCUUGUUAGAGUUGUCAUCAAAGUCCAUGCAGGAGUUUACAAGUGAGUUCUUUUCUUUUAUUUUCUUUUUCUUUUUUUAUGUUUUUAUCACAACUUGUUAUUGAGAACAUGUGCAAUGUGAUAUAUGUUUUUCUUGAAUUAUUAUUUUAGUAAUUUAAAUUAUUGUCUUAUGUUUUUUGGUGGUCUUGGUUUUGGCUCUGCCUCUGCCAAACAAAUUGGUCUGAUUAUGCAGAAUCAUGGAUUCUAGAGUCGUUUUUGUCUAUAUUCACUUUCAUGUUAUUUCCUGUUGUUAAUUCAAUUUGAGAAAUGGAGGAAAGUGAUUCCACCUUUUGUUUUAUAUUGUGUCGUUUUCCUUUUCUUUUUCCUCAUCUAAUUUGAUGUUAUUUAGAGUUUGAACAUGACUUCACAAUUCUAUAUUCGAUUCCAAUAUCAUCAAGUCAAAAUUGCUGACCUUUUUUCUACCAAAAAUUCUCAAUUGAUCUCUUUGAAUUUUUUUUUUUUUAUUUAUGAUCGGAAUAAUAUUAUAAUUUAUAUGCUAAAUUAGUGAAACUCGUGUCUUUUUUUUCACAUUUUUCUUAACUAAGAAACUUGUUUAUUGGCAGAGAGAAAGUGAAUAUACCUCCAUUAAAAUCCUUCAUAACCAUAGAAGGAGCAGGAGCAGAUAAAACCAUAGUUGAAUGGGGAGACACAGCUCAAACACCUGGAGCUAAAGGCCAACCUAUGGGAACUUACAGUUCUGCAACAUUUGCCGUAAAUUCACCUUAUUUUAUUGCCAAGAAUAUUACAUUCAAGAACACAACCCCAGUGCCUCCACCAGGAGCUAUAGGAAAACAAGCAGUGGCAUUCAGAAUAUCAGCAGAUACUGCAGCUUUUUUGGGGUGUAGAUUUUUGGGAGCUCAGGACACACUCUAUGAUCAUUUGGGAAGACAUUAUUACAAGGAUUGUUACAUUGAAGGCUCUGUUGAUUUCAUUUUUGGGAAUGGCUUGUCCUUAUUCGAGGUAAGUUCAGUUAAUUAUUUGAUAUUCCAUUUAUAAUUAAACAGUAGUUAAGAAUGGUGGUGGGGUUCCAGGGAUGUCACGUGCAUGCAAUAGCACAAUAUACAGGAGCUCUAACAGCGCAAGGGAGAAGCAGUCUGCUGGAAGACACAGGGUUUUCGUUUGUGAACUGUAAAGUCACGGGUUCAGGAGCUCUGUACCUCGGAAGGGCAUGGGGUCCUUUUUCUAGGGUGGUCUUUGCCUAUACUUAUAUGGACAACAUUAUCAUCCCUAAAGGCUGGUAUAAUUGGGGCGAUCCUACUCGUGAAAUGUAAGUUCAAUAGUUAAAUUGUAAAAAAAAAAAAAAAAAAAAAAAAAAAUUAGCAAAUUGUAUGUUUUUUUUGUUUUUUUUUGUUCAAAAGAAAUUUCGUUUCUUUGAAAAAUAACUCUCAAUCAAAACAGCCGUCACGGGGCAUUAUUGCUUUCAGUGGACGUUUUUUUUUAAAACAACUGCUAGCUAGGCUUUAGUGGGCGUUUGGACGGCGCCAUAACAUACACUCGAUAGGUUUUAGGUGAGAUCAGCUUUUUGGAACGCACGGUUUGUCCUCUUUGUAACCGAAUGACCAAAAUACCCACAGAGAUUCCUCGCGUCGUCCACAUGCUAAUCCAUGGGCAGAAUCGUCAAACGGUGAAAAAGGGGUGGUUACAAUUUGGAAGCGAGACGCAGACCAUGUAUAUAUAUCGUCUGUCUUCUUCCUUGUUUAAUCUUUACUACUGCAAAAUCUACGUGUAAUGCCCCUAAAAAGACUGCACAGAAAACCCAGUCCCCCUACCCUAGCCAUAUACAUUACUGCAUCUAUUUGCGUUAGCUUUUAAUUUAGUUUAUGGCAUCUAAUUACCUAACCCUAAAGUUUCCUUUCCCUUCUCUAUUGGCAUUUUCAGGUUGUUUUAACUUAUUUGGAAUUGGCAGGACGGUGUUCUAUGGGCAAUACAAGUGCACAGGGCCAGGAGCUAGAUUUGCAGGGAGAGUGUCAUGGUCAAGAGAACUUACUGAUGAGGAAGCUAAGCCUUUUAUUUCUCUUAGCUACAUUGAUGGAUCUGAAUGGAUCAAAAUAUAAACUCCUAGUCCUAAAUGUCCUUGUCAUGUUAAUUACAUCUCAUCUCAUCUGUAAAAAAGUAAAACUAAAAACCAUCUUAGUGUGAGAAUUUUGGCCUAUAAUUUUUAUACUUUUUUUUUUUUUUUUAUUUGAUUUGAUAAAUUGAGUUUGACAAUGGGCCUAUGAUUCACUUAGUGACUUAGGCUUGGGCCUUUGUACUAAUUAGUUAGGGUUUUUUUUUUUAAUAAAAAUAAAAAAAUUAAAAAUAAGGGCUACUAGUACUAGAUGUUUGGAAAUAAAAUUUGAUCUGCAAAUUAUUGCUGUUUAAAGCUGGAUUCAUUCAGUUGAGCUUAUUCUAUUAUUUAGCUGAUAAAUUUAAUUUUUUCAAGAUUGGAAUUUAUUUUAUUUGUUCAUUUAAUUAAUCAUCAUCCAACUAAAUGGUAGAACGAUGUUUUAAUUCAUUAGGGAAAUAUAUUUAAUACUUAAACCAAAACACUUUUGGAAUUGAUUUAAUAUAUAGGAGGGUACGUUAACCCAAUUCCUAAUUAAGGUCUGCAUAAAAUUUUUAUAGUUUGUUUUUUAAUUUGUAUUUACAAUGCGACUCCAGUCACCGUUUCCAACCCUCUAUUAGAUUUGCAUAAACAGUGAUACAGUUACUGGUGAAGUUACAAAAGCUUGAUAAACAUGUCUAUCUAGUCUUGAAGGGUGGCGAGGUUAAAAAAGGCACCUCUCUUGUUCUUUAGCUGCACAUAAGUUCCUCUCUCUACCAUUUUCCCAUCUGCAACAAAGGCAAUGGAAUCAAGCUUCUUGAUCGUAUUAAGCCGGUGAGCCACCACAAUGGUACUUCUUGCCACCAUUAUUCGAUCCAAUGCUUCUUGCACAACUUGUUCAGAUUGCACAUCAAGUGCACUUGUUGCCUCAUCUAGUAAUAAUAUUGUUGGGUUCCUAAUUAUAGCUCUUGCAAUUGCUAUUCUUUGCUUUUGCCCUCCUGAAAGUUGCACUCCUCUUUCCCCACAUUCUGUCUCGUAUCCAUCUUUUAGCGACCUGCACAAUACGAAUGGAAAAAUCAGAAAGGUGGGUUUCUCUCUAUUUCAUUAGCCUGUUCUUGAAAAUGCAAGCUUUUGAUAUGGAAGAACAUAAACAAAAAGUUAGAAAUAGAUAAGUUACCAUAUGUCUAUAUACUUACGAGAUGAAUUCAUGGGCAUUGGCGGCUCUGGCAGCCUCCACCACCUCAUUCUCGGAAGCAUCGAGCUUUCCAAAGACAAUGUUGUCGCGGAUGCUGCCUGAAUAAAGCACAGGCUCCUGGCUGACAAGCGCGGUCUGCUUCCUAUACCAUUGAACAUCUAGUUGUCUUAUGUCUACACCAUCAACUUUAAGUGAACCACUUUCAACAUCAUAAAAUCUUUGAAUCAAUCCUAUUACUGUUGAUUUUCCGCACCCACUUUUCCCUACUAGUCCAAUGCUUGUUCCAGGCUUCACUUCCAAGCAAAAUUCGCGUAAUAUUAAUGUCUCUGGUCUACUUGGAUAUGCGAAAUCAAUUUUCUUCAUUUCUAUCCAUCCAGUUAAUUUUUCUAGCUUGGUUCCACUGCUAGCACUGUCCCCUCCCUGACAAAGAAAUUGCAAACUAAUUUAAUCAAACAGUUUCCAAAAGAUAAAUUAUAUAUCAAAACUUAAAAACUGUAACUUACAUUAUUGGAAGAGCCUGGAAUUAGAGAUUGUCUGUCAAGAAUCUGGAACACAGAUGCGAUUGCAGUGGAACCUUUUGCUAAAUCAGAAGUCAUGCUUCCUGCCUCAGCUAUAACCUUUCCAGUGCUUACAAGAAUAAAGAAUGUUUUGAACACAUCACCAGCUGAUAUCUCUCCUUUUUCUACUAAAGUCCCUCCAAACCAAAAAUCUAAAGCCCAUGACAUGAAAGUUAGGCAUUGCGCAGAGCCCAUUCCGAUUCCUGCUAGCCAUGAUUUUUUCCUUGCCUCUUUUCUUGGUUCCUCUUGUGCCUUAUCAAAUAAUUGAAGUACUUUUUGUACACUUCCAAAUGAAGUAACAAUUCUAUGGUUAUAUACUGCUUCUGCGGCAACUUGAGUAGAAUGAUUUUGUGCUUUGACAAAAUUUGUUGUCAUGCUAGAAAGCAAAACUUUUCUGGUGUAGAAACAUAGAAUUGUAAGCGGUUGAACUGAGAUCAUAACAAGUGCAAGCUUCCAAGCCACAACUAGUCCCAUGAUCAUUGCUAUGGUAACUGCAGAGGUUGUUUGAACUAAUAAAGAAACUCUAUCUGCGACAAGGGAUUUUACCAUGGUGGCUUCAUUACUCAAUCUUGAACAUAAAGCUCCACUAGAGUUUUGUUCUUCAUCGAACCAAGCCGCCUCAAAAGUCAAUAUCUUUUCUAGCAUUCUCAAUCGGAUUCUCUUCGUUAGCCUCUCACCCAUAUAACCAAAAUUGUAGUGCUGCACAAGAUUCAAGGUUAUAGAAAUCAAGGAAAGUGAGCAGAAUAUUAAGGAGUAUGUGCGCAUUCGAGCAUGGACUUGUUCAUGGCUUGGUGCAAAGAAAGCUGAUAUCAUGCCACCAAUGGUUAAGGCAUAUACAGGUUGCACUGCACCAAAGAUUAUAGCUGAAAGACUUCCUAUUAGGCCUUGCUUCCAUUCAGGAGAGUUCAAAGACAAAAGGCGAGAGAAGGAAGGUGGGGGGUGAGAUACAGGCUUUUUUGGGCUGUCAAUGAUAGGUAGUGGUGAUGCAAAGAUAGCUGGACUUGAUUUUCCUGUGCUUAUCCGGCCACCGCUGCUUCUUGCAACUGAAGACAAAUGUAGUUGAUCAGGGUUUUGUUCAUGGUCAUCACAACUGAACUGCCCUUGUAGCUUUGCUAGGUUAGCAUAGUGUCCAUUUUUUCUCUGGAUCAGAUCAUUAUGUGAACCUAAUUCAAUGAUGCAUCCAUUGUUAACCACUGCAAUGAGGUCUGCAUUUCUUAUUGUAGCUAGCUUGUGUGCAACCACCUGAAGAUGCAUAAUUCAAUAGCUAGCUUAGUUAGACAAUAUUGAAUGAGAUAAAUUUGACUAGCAAUUCUAAUAAGAUCUAACAUAAUUUGAUGCAAAAAUCUAUUACCGUUUGAGCUGCUUUUGAGAAAUAUUUCACGGGUUCUAGUUAUAGGAAGUUUCAUGACAGCUAAACAAUACUCUCACUGCCUAUUUCAAUAGAAUAUAAAAUGAUUCUCCUCCCAUAAAAGUAGUUUCAAUCUUAAUCUCAAAUAUUAGUAGGAUUAGUGAGUAAAUUACCAGUGUAGUUCUUCCCAUGGAGGCUUGAUCAAGAGCAUUUUGGACUAGUUUUUCUGACUCAGAGUCAAGAGCACUUGUUGCUUCGUCGAGUAAGAGAAUAACAGGGUUCUUAACGAUGGCUCUAGCAAUGGCAAUACGCUGCUUCUGCCCGCCAGAUAAAAGUGCUCCUCUUUCUCCAACCUUUUCAAAUUAACCUAGGCAUGUCAGAUUUAAUCUAUGCUGAAAACGUCUAUAUAUAUAAACAAAAAAGAUGUGAAAUUUAUUUACCUUUGUCUCAUAACCUUCUGGAAGCUGUCUUAUAAAGUUAUGAGCAUUUGCAGCCAUAGCUGCGGCUGUGACUUCAUCCAUUGUAGCAUCAAGCUUUCCAAACAUGAUAUUCUCUUUAAUUGAUGUCCCAAAUAAAGCAUGUUCUUGGCUAACAAGACCCAUUUUUCCUCUUAUCCAUUUCAAAUUUAAUGUUCUUAUAUCAACACCAUCAAUCUUGACAAAUCCACCAUUAGCAUCAUAAAAUCGCUGUACUAAAGCAAUGGCAGUGGACUUUCCACUUCCACUUGCACCAACAAGGGCAACAGUUUUUCCUGCUUCAAUUUUAAGGCUAAAGUCUUUAAGGACAGUGGAAUCUGGUCGAGAUGGGUAUGUGAAUUUGACAUGUUCGAACUCUAUUUCACCUUGCAUUUUGUCUAAUACAAUUCCUUUUGUAUCUUCACUAUCAAUUUCUGGAACUCUGUCAAUCCUGUCAAAUAUUCGGGUGGCGGCAACAGAUGCUUCUGUGAAGUACUUCAAAUCAGGAAGUGCAAUUCCAAGGGAUCUGCAUUGCAUAUUUACUGCCUUAAUUUUGACUAACAAACACUCUUAAAAGGAAAAAAGUUAGCUCCUGAAAGUAAAAAAAAUAGAAGCUUUACUUGUUAAUUUGAUAAAUUUGUUUGUUCUUUUUAUGCUUACAAGGAAACAAGAAAUUAACCAAAAGGAAUCUAAAUGUUCUUUUUAGUAGUGCUCUAAAAUUAUCUUUACUAGUAAUGUUCUCCUUUUGACUGCCCUAAAAAGGUUGGUGCCUCUUGAUUAUAAUUUAGGCUAACCAGUAGUAUUUUUAAUAGUAUAUACUUAAGUGGAGGGAGAAAAAAAACACUUUGAAUCUAGAAAUAGUUAUAAUUAAAGAAUAAAAGCACAAACAUGUUCAUCAACAAAUAUGCUCAUGAAAUAUUAAGCUAUGUUCUUCUUUACUAAUUAAAAGGGAAAGUGUUAAAUCUUUGCAUGCUUUCAUAUUAUAUGCAAGAUCAUGCAACAAAUGCAACUUUAAUCCACUUUACAGAUAAAUGAAUAUAUAUUUUCUAGAAAUUAAUAAUGCCUUUUUUUGAAAAAAAAAAUAUUACAUAUAUAGAAAUUCUAACUUUCAAUGGAAUCAUUACAAAUUCUCAUGAUGAAAUAAAGGUACUUUCAAAAAGGAAACCCACAUUUUGAAUGAGGGAUAAUUAAUAAUUAGUACAAGGAGUUUAUCGACUAUAAUAGAGUUCCAUAUAUAUAUAUAUUAAUUAUAAUCAGCAAGAACAAAACCUAGAAUUACACAAAAAAGCAUAGUAUAACCAUGAAUUAAAAAGAAAUUAACUUUAAGGUGCUGUUCUUUCCUUUUUCAUAAUAUAUAUAACCAUGAAUUAAUUAGUAAAAGAAAAUUUGAGAAGGAUAUACAAUGAACAUUCAUUUAAUUAACACUUAUCUUAUCAUUAAUAAAUUUAGCUGCUUUUUAGCUAGUAAAUAAGAUUAAGCAAAUAGAGAUAAAUAUGUUUGAAAGAAAUAUAAGUAUGUAAAUUAGGAAAAAGAAUAUAAAAGUUGAAAGCUACAUACAGUCCUCCUAAUAUGAAGGAAAUGCCAGCAGCAUAUAUCCUCCCUCCACUUUCUCCUUUGUACAUAACCAAAUGACUUCCAUACCAAGCAAUAAAUGCCCAUAUGGCAAAGGAUAGUCCAGUGCUUCCUACUGCGAGACCUUUCGCUAUGCCUUGUUUGAUUCCUAGCUUUGAUGUCAUGUCCAAUAUUGCUGAAUAUCUAUCAACAAUCCUUUUCUCAGCAGUGAAUGCAUAAACUGUCUUAAUAGAGCUCAAGGCCUGCUCAACAAUGGCGUUUGCUUUACCAUACUCUUUAUGAGCCUUUUUGGACAAGUAGAGAAGGUAUUUCCCAUAAAUCAUUCCAGGUAUUAUUAACAAAAGCAAAGUUGGAAAAGCUACUAGAGACAGCCUCCAUGAAAAAUAGGUAGAAAAUGCAAGUCCUGAUAUGAAAACUGUUGCGUGCAUCAAAAAUAUGGGCACCUGAAAAUAAUUUUAAAGCAAGUGAAAAUUGAUAAAUUAUAUAUAUAAAUUAAAUUUCUAAAGGAAACUACAUGCUUUUAAGUGAUUAAUUAGAUCAAUAAAUUACAUAAUAAUAAAUAAAAAUGUUGUACCUUUUCACUAAGUACUUCUUGUAUAAGAGAAGUAUCUUUUGAAAUGCUAUUUAUGAUCUCUGAAGUAGUUGCUUCCUGUGAAUCAAAGAACCCAACUUCUUGUCUGAGAACAGCUUCCAAAUACUUGUAUCGGAUCUUCAAAACCUGUCGCUCACUGGUUUUGCUCCAACAGUAACCUUCUGUAACCAUCAAAUUUAUAUUAUAUACUUGAUUAGAUUCAAACUGAAAUAGAACAAUUAGGGUAUUCUAGCUAGGGUUCCAUAAAAUAAUGGCUCUCUAUUGAAGAUUUCAAUAUUGUGUCUCCUCAAUUGUAUACUAGCUAAUACCACCUUUAGCUCUGUGGAUGCUUUUUGGAAUUGCAACCCAUUAUUGUCAUCUCAUCUUCACACACACCUCUAGCUAGCACCUUUCGUCCUAAGAAAGCAAUAUAUAUAUAUAGAAAAAAUAGAACUUUUGAAAUUACCCAUAAAUGCCAUCGCCAUGACUGCUAAUCCCAAGUACACAAAAUAUAAGCUGCACUGUUAACAACACCAAAAAGGAAAUGUAAGUGUAUCAAUUAGUCUUAAAGCAAGAAAAUGAAAGAGAGAAAGAAAGUUGACUACCUUUUCAACUUCAGACAUGAAAUUGGCUUGAUUUUGUUGGGUCGUUUUAUUAUUACCAUAGCCUAAGCUGUUCAUUAUGCGGCUGGCAAAGACUAAAAGACAGUUAGUUGACAUGCCAUCUCCAAUAGCUCCAAUAGUACCCAUAAUCAUAAGCAACAUAUCAACCCAAUCUGCAUAUCUAAAGAUUAUGGCUAUGGACUUGCUCUCUUCCCUUCUGAUAUUCUUCUCAUUUUUCUUUGGAGAAGCCAUUCUUCUGAUUUGUUUCCAAUUUCUCAAAAGAUGACUGCUUUUUUCAGUAUCUGCUAGCUAUAGCACAUUAGAAAAAGAGAAAAGGCCAAAGAGGUAUUUGUGGCUGACUCAAAGAAAAUGAUUGCAUAUCUUCUUCUAUAUAUACAGGGAGAAUGCGAGCAGUGAUUUUCCAUCAACCAACCCGUGUUUGUUUUAUGAUUAUAUUAAUCAUAGUAUAAUUGCUUGGGGUGGUUAAAUAUAUUAUAUUAUAAUUAAUGUUAUAGUGGUGGAUACUUUCCAUAAGAUCAAAGCAUGAUUAAACCUAACAAAGGUCGAGUAUUUUCAAGAAAGAUGACUAAUUGGCCAUUUUAAUUUGUUUUUACUCCUUGCUUUUUCUUUCAUUUUUGUAGUUUAGUUAUAUAUAUUGUGAUGUGAGAUUGCUUUCAAAAAGAAAAUGUCCCGUCUUGUUGGCUUUUUAAGUUCACUAGUAAAUUAGCAGUCAAGGCAAAACGCUUAAGUGGUAAUCCAGGUUUCAUUUGGCUUUUGCAAUUCUUGCAAAUGCAUAUAUUAGAAAAAUUACAAAGACUAAUAAAUUAUAAGAAAUUCUCAUGGUUUUUGCACAAGUAAUGUAAGAUAAACAAAAAAAAAAAAAAUGAAUUAGCCCUAUUUUUUUAAAGAAAAAUGUCUUUAACAAGCUUAAUUAAUUAAUUAAUUAAGAAUUAAUCUGUAAAAAUUGAUGCAAAGAAAUAAGAAAAGUAAAGGAAAAAGGAGAGGAAAAGAGAGAUUAUUCAGUUGGUUAAACAUAUUACUAUAUUUUAAUCAAAAUGGGUCAGCUAAGUUUGCAUUCUGUCAUCCCACUACCCACAUACAUAUAUGUAUGUCUGUAGCUGUAUUCGUUGGACUUUGAAAUCCUUUGUGCAUCUCUCCAAAUGGGAAUCGAAAUUUUAUAUUAUUUAAUUAUAAUUUAAACCUCUUUUCUUACUUGCCGUUCCUUUUUCUCCUCUUCUUCUUCUUCUUCUUCUUCUUCUUCUUCUUCUUCUUCUUCUUCUUCUUCUUUUCAACUAGUAUCCAAAGAAGAGCUGUAAUAGAGAUCCUCUCUAAACCCUCCCACUGAAAGUAUGAUUAGACAAAUUAAGCUAAAUCGAAAUGAUGACUGAUUAAAGCGAUCUUCCCCAAAAUUCAUUUUCCUUUUUAAAAAUAUUGUUCAAUAACUAUAUAUAAUAAAUUAAUUUCAUUAGAUAAGAUAUAUAAUAUAAUCUCUAACAGAUUGUAUAAAAUAUACGUAAGAGAUUACAUGAAAUAUGUAAUCUCUAGUAGGACCAACAUCUACAUAUUCUAUAAUUAUACACAAAUUGAUGGAAUAAAAUCUAAUAAUCCCCAAUAACCAUAUAUUACAAAAUCCAAUAAUGUAUUUUUUUAUUUAUUUAAAUUUCCAUUACUAGGCAGGAUCCAUUAUGUAUAAAUCAUGUGCAAUGUCUGUUUAUUUUCUUAUUAGAAAAUGUUAUCUUCAUAUAUAAUGGCAUUCGAUUCUUUGCACAUAGAAUAAAGUACCUUUUACCAAAGUUAUUUCUUCAUAAAUUAUUUUAAUUUAUCAAUAUAUUACAGGAUCUUUAUCAAUCAUCAUCACCCUGAAAGGAAAAAAGAUCAAUUCUUCUUGAUGUAUAUAAUAGGUAGGGUACUUUCUUUUAUCAAAAAAAAAAAAAAAAAAGAUAUAUCAUACUAUACAUGAGAAGUAUAUUAGAAAUAUUAUGUAUAAUAUAUAUUCUAUUCGUUGUGAUGGAUUUGAUAUAUUUUCAUUAAUUUAUUUCUUAAUUUGAUGCCUAAUUGCAUAUAAGAAAAGGCUGUUCCUUUUAACUACUACGUUCUGUACCAAAUCCGUUUUUUAAAAAAUAAAAGCUUUGUUUAGCUCAUUUUUUUAUUUAUUUUUUGAAAUAGAACAUAUAGUUAUAACGUUAUAUACCAUUUGAAUUCCACAGUUGUAUAGAUUAAUUUGCAAAUGUCUAUAAAAAACAAUAAUUUCAACCUUUUUUUUUUCUCUUUUGAGUGUGGAUAAUUUGUUUCAUUUUUUUUUUUUAAUUAUUGGCAAAAGAGAAUUUGUCCUUGAUAAAUUAUUAUAUUUGAGUGCCACGUACCUCGGUCUGGACAUGUGAAAAAAAUAUUCUUUAAUUAUCAAUUAUUGUACAUUUCUGGGAUAAUAAAUGAAUAGAAAUUGCUAUCAACUAUCAGUUGGUCCAGUGGAAUGAGGUGUUGGAUCCUUUAAACAACGUUCAGGAUUCGAACCUUAACGUUGUAAAUGUAAAAAAUUGGAUUGGGAGACAUAAUGAGUCUCUGCAGAAUCCAAGUCUAAAUUAAUCUGCUAUGCCAGAAACUAAAUAGUUUAACAAAAUAAAAAAUAAAAAAUGUUAAAAAUUACAUAAACGUGAAUAUAUAUAAGCCGGCUUUUCCGCCAAAAUUUUAGGUAAUUUAAUAAGAAUUGGAUCGUUGUCCAAAUAAUCCCAUCAUUCUCCGUCCAACAUUAGGCUACAAAUCUCAAAGACAGUGCUAAUACCAAAUUAGUGGACUUAAUAAACAAUUAUAGUUGCUGUGAGACAAUGUGUUUUUCGUUAAAUAAAUCGCAUGAAAGCACUACUUUCUUUCACUCUUUAGAGUGUGAACCAAUUUUUUUACCUUCUUUUAAUUUUUUAAUCUUUUAGGUCAUAAUCAAGCCCUACGAAAAUAAUAAUUAAUCUUGGUUUUGUAGUAUUUUUCAUUUAAUAAGCAUGUGAAUCACGUUUUAUAUAUAUAUAUAUGGUAAUGGUAUUACUUUGCCUCAUCUAUUAAUUAAUAUUAUUAUAAUAGAACUGGGGAGGAAGUGUGGCUGCCGGAGAGGAAAUCUGAAGUCUUUGAGCAUUGAAACUUCGUAGAAAACAAUUGCAAUGUGACCUUUUAAGUGCUAACCAUUCCGACAUAGUGCAUAAUAAGAUAAUUAAGCACACGUUGCUUUUGGUCUGUGGUUGGAACUAGGUUUGUUAGUUUAAUGUUCACUAAAUAAGAUUGCAAAAAUUUUUUUUUUCUUUUAAUCACGUGUUGAUAUUCCUUUCAAAAAGAAAAAGAAACCUAUUGAGGGAAAUGAUUUUUUCUUAUUUGGAAAGGGUGAAAAAAUAUCAAAGAGGAAAAUAUGCAAAAUGAUAAUUUUCCUCAUAAAAUUAAAUUCUCUCCAAAUUGAAGAAAAACAUGAUGAUUGAAUUAAGAAAAUUAUAUUAUUUAAUUUGAAUUAGUACUCUCCCCUCCAAAUGAAAACUUAAGUAAAGGAACAUAUUUAGUAAAGUUUUCCCUUUUGUAAUUCUAAAAAUUAAAUAAAAAAAUAUUAUCAAUAAUCAGGCAUGUAGAUAUUUGGGGGAGGGGCUUGUUCUUUCUCUCCUGAUAGUCCCUCCUUUUCUCUUUUUUUUUAUCCUUUUUUAUAUAUUUUUUUAUAAUAAUUUAAUUUUAUGUCUGGUCUUUUAAGAGAAUGAGUCUCUUAGCAUUAGUUCGAAGAGAUCGAUAAAAUCCUAAUAUAUUUUCUUAAAAAAGACAAAAAAAAAAAAUAACUAAAAUUUUGAAAUGAUCAAUGAACAUUAAAUAAAAAUAUAAAAAAGGUGUAUAUGCAAGAUAUCAUGUAAGCUAGAAAUAUAAGUCAUUAACUAGAAGUAUGGAAUAUUCUAAUUUCAUAUUGGCAUAUGCAUACUGGCACAACAAAAGCAGUCUGUGAUUGAUUUAUUAAAUUUAACCAUGAAAUUAGGCUUUACGUGGGUCUUCUUCUUUAAUCCCAAGCCACUAGCUUUAAUUAUCAAAACUAUCAUCUUACAUCAUCAACAUAAAGAGUGAAAAAUAUACACAAAGCUAUGGCUGGUGGGAUUGACUUAACCUAUUUGUUUUUUUUUUAUUUUAUCAAAAUUUUUUUAGGAUGAUCUAUCCAUAGUUCUAGCCAUUUCAUUAGCGUACAAAAAUGUGACAAACAAACAGAAACAUGAAAAUGACAAAAAGCAAGGACCAAGAGAGACUCGCUAAAAACGAGAUUUAAAAAGUGAGCUUUCUAUCGCCAUCAAGCAAAAUAUAAACUAAAUGUCACUUACCUUUAAUUGCAUGAAAGUGGUUGUCACAAAGACACAAGCGAUAUAAAGAAGGUAUUUUUGAAGAUUUAUUAAACAAAAGUUAAAGCAAAACAAUAAUAAUGACUCACAAACCACUGCCAUUGCUGAUGCAGAUCAGAAGACAAUCAGAAGACAAGAGGUGUUUCAGGGGUCCAUGGCUUCACCAUUCCAUAUUUUCUUUUCUAAAUAUGGUCAUGCAAAAGGAUUCCUAUUACAUCAAACAGUCCUUCCUUCCCCAUAAAACCUUUAACAUGUAUACAGAAUGAGAAAAAAAAAAAAUAUAUAUAUAUAUAUAUAUAUAUAUAAGUUCGAAAAAAACUAGUAUUAGUGACUUCUUGACAACAACAGCUUACAUAUAAGUUACAACUGAAAGUGACUUGUUAACCGCUGGUUUCGAAGGGGAUAAAAUCAUACCUCUUGAUGAGUAUCCCUAUAAUGAGAAAAUGAAGAAACCAAUCUUUUUCCAGCAAGGCAUCUUUCGAAUUUCCAUAGUGUGAUUGUGCUUCUACGUUGAAUUUAUAGAUAAAGUCACUCAUCCCAUUUGGCAAUGUUCUUCCUGGUUAGCAUCCCUAUACUGUGGACCAGAAGAGGGUGACCUUUGUCCAGUAAGAAAUGCGAAAACCUGCUUCAAAUUUCCCCUAGAUGGUCGAGCACUUACUGCAAAUUUGCAUAUAAAAACAAGUCGCCUUCGCAUCUCCCACUUAGUAAUACAGGUAUUGUGAAAGGAUUCGCCAUCGUCAAAGGUUCCUAUUGAGAAAUCAGAAAGUUCGAAAAUGCUUGAGAAACUGAAAGCAACCUUCUAAAUUCUUCUGAUAUGAUUGAAGGAGCACACGAAACUGACAGGUGACAGCAAAUCAAAUGAAAUUGACAAUGGUAUCCCAAUUAUAUGUCGGUAUCAUAGAAAAUCCAUUGGCCUGCAAAACUUUGCUAAGAUGAACAAUUCAUCAAGAAGGAAAGUACAGGCCCAAAUAAUACAUGCUGGGAAAGGCAGUAGGAAAUGUUGCACCAACACCGAAUCAGACAACAAAAGAAAGGGUUAAAGAUGAACUUUUCCUCCAUUUCUCAGGCAUCAGAAAUUAUUUUAUCUUUGUGGAAUAUGCAUGCAUCUUACCCGCGUCACUGAAUAAUGAUGUCAAAAUUGCCAGACAAACACAUAUGCUGAUAUCUUCCCCUGCAAACAGUAUAUAAUAAAUACAUCAGCAGUACUCGAACCAUGCGCAGGCGUCAGAUGGAAAUAAAAUUUCUAUUCAAUUCUUCCAGCAAUUCUAGAAAGCACUGGUAUAUUAAUAUACUGAUUCAAUAGUUAAUUAGCUCUACAAGCGCCAAAAACAAUAAACCAACCCAAGAUGUGACAAUCAGAAACUAGAAAGUGAUAAUUACAAAAUGCAAAAAGACAAAUUUGGAAUGCUGCAACUUAAAAAUCAAUAAUUUCAUAUCUCUCCACAUUGAAGCCUAUCAAGCAGUGCGAUUCCAGUAGGCAAGACAGCAUUUACAGAUACUUACCAUUGCAGCAACAAACUAGAAGUUUAUUCCCCUUGCUAAGAUUCACUUUUGCAAAGUUCACUGCUGCAGGAAGAUUGCUUAAUAUGGAAAAUCGAUCAAGUUUUGAGCUCUGCACAACCAAAAAAAAAAAAAAAAUUCAGAAAAAAAGGAAAAUAAAAAGUGUUGCAUUGAUGAAAUAAUUAAAUUGCCAUCUCUUUCCUUUCAUACGCACCACCAUAGGAAGAUGCAAAUAUGCUUCACUAUCUUGUAGACAGACUGAGCAAGAAUUUUGAUCACAGUUCAAGAUACAAUCAACAUCAGACACAUGUGCAGCUGCAAGAAAAGAGGGAAGAGAGAUAGGAAGGAUAUAAUUGAAAGUAGGCGAACAGAAAAUUAAUGAGAAACAUAAGGGUUACUGCCUGUGUACAGAUGGAAAAGAGAAAUAAAGAAGAAAAGGGAACACCACAUAAGGCCUUCUUGAAGAACAUAAGACCCAAAAUUAGUGGAACAUUUAGAAUUUCAACCAAAUGUGUUACCAGAUGCUAAAUUGUUAAACCCCAGGUGAAUAAUAUUAAGAAAUUCCAUCUUAUUAUUCCCUGAAAGAAAUAACUAACACAAAGGAACUUGAAAUUUAAAAAAGAUAGAGAAAAGAAAGACUGAUAAAGAUAAGCCUUAAAGAUUUUCUUCACGUGAAACACAGGGGAAAGCAUACAUAACAAACUUAUUGAACAAAUUGCAAAAUUUUAUGUUUUAAUUUUCUGGACAUCAGAAUAAAAGAUUUUGUACUUCAUAGUGUAUUCCUAUGAUAAUAAACUCAACUCAUAAAUUAGCUUACCGAGUUGAGUUGUACCCACUGCAAGAUUAGUAGAGCCUAGCCAAAACACUGCCUGAUCUUCAUCACACGACUCCAGAGUGCCAUUGUGGUUAUAAAGAUUCAAAUAUAAUGAAUGUUCUAUUUCAGAAAGAUCAGAAGUGCUGUCUGACACCCUAGAAGGCUUCACAGUCACCUGAGGAGCAGUCUGUCCCCUUUGAGCACGAUACACUCUGUCCUUCUCAACAAUAUCAGCUACCUUUUGGUUACACAGAUCAGGACCUGAACUUAUUAUAUCAUAUGCAUGAUGCCAGAAAAGACUAGGGGACAGACACCUUGCCCAACUUUCUUCAUCAUCUCCAGCUCCUGCUAUAUAAUUCCAGCUAAACUCAGAUGUAGUCCUAUGCUGAUAAAUGCUGCUUGAGGAAGACGCUGAAACAAGUAUAAUAGGCGUGAAAUCCCAGGAAUCAUGAUCCGGUACUUCAUUCAACCAGAUUACAGUCUUUUGCGAUAUCCAUAAAGGUCGAAGAGGCUUUUUCAAGCAUGAUGCGAUUAAAGCAAUAUCAGCUCCACUAUCUUCCAUCUGUUUUGUCCACUCUUCUAUACGGUCCUCAAUAGCUGCUUUCUCUGUUUCAGAAACCCAAAGGGGAAGAUGCAAAGAACAGUCCCAAUUCUGCGAAGCCAGUCUUUUAUUUUCAGCAUCAUCAGAGGUAUCCAUCUCCUAUCAGAAUGCGAGACGACAAAUGCUGAGAUGAGAAUGUUUAUAAGUGUUUUGGCCAAAGGUACAGACUUUGAAAAAAGAGCGGACAUUUCAUAAAACAUCACCAGUAAAUGCCUAAUAAUUAAAUGUCAUUAAACAGACUCAGUUCAUUACAGAGGAAAUUGACAUAAUAGAAUCCCAUAGAUAUUGAUGCACGGAAGGACUCAAAACAGUUAUUUCAGCAUCCACUCCAUCAGAAGCAAAAAGAGACUUACCUCUUCCAUCAUCGUCCCAUUAUCACGCAUUUUAUUAAUAUGGUUAAGAAUGGAGCGAUUCAAAACACAAGUCCAAAUGGGGAUUGUUUUUGACAUGCUAUCCGGAAAUCUCUUUCCUUUUCUAGUCGAAUCAACAAUAAUACACCCUCCUUUCUGUCCUACCAUUGAACCAGAAAAAAAAAAAAAAAAAAAACUUGAAACACCGAUUGAAAUUCGUAUCGAAAUGGAAGCAAAAAGGAAAAUAUUCACCUGCAAGCUGGGCGACAUGGAGGUUGAGGCGAGAGGUGUUAAACGACCAAUUAUUUGUGUGGCCAUCUGUGGAUUUGAAGUAGCAAGUACCAUAGAAUUUGGGAGAGUACCAGAGACCACAGCGGAGGUUGGCGAGAAGAGGGAGCUCCGGCCAUAGCUGAGCAAUUUCUCCUACAAAAAUUGAGUCCUCGUAUAUAGAUCUCAAAGCAUUGUAGAGAGUGUUGUCUCGCCGUUUUAUUGUUCUAACUGCUCUGUAUAUACUUAUCUUACCUUCGCCGUCCAUGGAACUUGACAAGGUUUGAUCGGCAACAAUUGUGUAUUCUAGGGUUUAGCUAGACAGAGAUUGAUAAUGAGCUGUUCAACGGCCUGUCGUUUUAGAAAACUGAAUCUGAGAUUCUUUGUUUGUAACUUUGUGAACUGCCAAUUCUCAAAACAAUUGGUUUUUACUCCACGUGAUAGAUACACGUCCAGUCGUUCCACGGUCUCGAAAUGAUUAAUGAAUGAAAAUGAGUAAUCGUUCAUCUAAUCGGUCAGUACAGUAGUAGAACUAGAAAGUCACAUGCUGCAACCACUCGCAUGUCCUUUAAAAACAGGAGUCAACGUGAUGUCGUUUGACGAGCACAAAUAAAUUAUAAAAAAACGGCUAGUAAUUAACCAUUUUGAGAAUUAUUUUCGUUGGUUUUGGGCCCAUCCUCGGUAAUUAAACGAAAUAUGGGCCGUUUAAAAGUGUCAGCCUGCGUGCUGUAAAGCCCAUUAAGACAAGACAGAAAUGUUCCCUGCCCGAAGAAACUACAAACUUAAAAUUAGUAAAUUACAUUAUCAUUAUCAAUCGGAUUAGGCAACUAAAUUACUUACGAGUCAAUUGGUUGUAACUGGAUUCAAAUUCGGACAAGGACUUUUAGAUAGGCAGUUGUUUGUUUCUUUUUUCCAGAGAUUCUGGAAAACCUCGUGUUAAGCUAUUGUUUACAUUCAUAUAACAUGCAUAUUUUUAGAUUUUAAGUCCACUAAAUGGAAUAUAGUUCGUGAGCAUGAAAAACUACUAUCAUCACUAUAGCAUGAAUAUAGUCCAGUGGUAUUAUUCCCCUGCCACUUUCAUAUUAUUAAAACAGCUAGAAACGAUUUAGUAAUUUAGCGGAAGGAAAUGACAGAACAUCCCCCUUAGUUCAGAAAUGACAAGUAGAUAUAAAAUGGACCCAUUUCAUAUUUGAUUGAAUGGCUUGUUAUUCGUCUUUCUUGAGUUUUCUACUUGUAUUUUCCUGAAUUCCUCCUGAUAAUUCCUGUGGAAACCGAUGAUGCUGGAUUGAUAGCCUUUCGAAUCUUUAAGAUGUUCCAAGCAGUGUUAGCACAAUGCCCUGCAGUUGCAAGCACCUCCUUUGUAGCUUCUCCUGCACCUUCACCAUACCUGCUUGCUUGUACAAUGAGCAACUUAUUGUUUGUUUGAACAAAGUAAAUGAGGAAAAGGGAUAAAGAAACUGAAAUAUUUUGACUGUAGGUUCUUGGUCUUACUUAUCAGUUACCAUUCUUGUUGUGGCAGCAGAGGUUGCAGAUAAAGCUUGCUUUCCAGCAAUUUCUGCUGCAUCCAAAAUCUUGUCUGUAGUUUUCAAGAAUGAAAAUUUUGGUCACCACAUAUUUUCUUGGAUUUUGUGAACCGAAGCUUUUCUUAUUUGGAAUAUAUACGUAUAAGGGAAAGUGUAGUUUAUACUCACUGACAGCAUCAAGUGAAGCCAACAGGAUUUCUCCUGGAGCUGUGGCUAGGAAAGCUUUCCCUGCUUGGGAAGUUACCAGGGGUGACAUUACGGAUCCAGUAGCGACACCAACUUGAUCAAGCACAGCUUUGCUAAGUUUUUCUGUCAUCUGUGAUAGACUUCUCACACUAAAAGCAGAAAGGAAAUAAAUAUAUAAAUUAAGGGGGACAUAAAAAAUGACUCACAUAAAUUUAUUAUUGUAUCAAGAUACCGUUUUAUGCUUUCAUUGAUGCUACUUUCAUUUGUAGCCUCUGCAUACUUUUUGCUAUUAGUUCUGCUAACAGGGAUAGCAGGAUUUGAAAUAAUCUCCCCUCCAUUAUGGACCUGUAUUCCAUCCAAUUUUCUUCAGAUUAACUGAGUAGGUGGUUUAUCUAUUUUUCUUGAAAACCAUGGACUUGUGUUUUAUGAAUCAUAUUAAUGUCAGUUAUAGGGAGCAAUAUUCUUGUUUUCCUUCUGUUCAUAAUUUUAUAAAACCAAAAAUAUUUAACUUUAGAAGCAUUACCUGGCUGCUGUAAGUAUUGCUCAUUAUGAAGAUACCUUUGACAAUUUGACCAGUUCCUUCUACAAUAGCAUUUGCCAAAACAUUUUUGUAAUCUUCAAUCCUUGAAGAAAACUGAUUCCAUUCAAUAAUAUUUCUACUUUUAGUUGAUGUAGUACUAGAAAAACAUGAAUUUUCCAUAAGAAAUGCAUCGAGCGAGGGUAAACUGCUGCUAAACUGCCCCGAAAAGGUCACCCCAUAACUCAAAGGGUCACUGUCUUUCAUAGGUAAAGAAAACAAGUAGUGAACGGAAUCAAGCUUCACAACAGGCUCAUCUUUUGUUAAUGGCCACUGAAGAUCAUUACCAACUUUAAUUAUGUUAGCAAUACAAACACCCUUAUCAAGGAUUUGAACAAGCUCAAAAUCGCCUUUUGCUAAAUCUAGAACUCCUCCUUUAUCCAUCAGAUAAACUAUGCAUCCUGGAAUCUGCAGUAGAACUUCACGGUUGAUAUUUUUGGUUUUUGGGCUCUUUUGUUUUGAUGAAAAAGUGAGUUCAGGUUUACCGCGCCUGAAAUAGGCCAUUGUUGCUAUUCUUGCUUUCUCUCUUCAGGAGAACAUAAUUGAUAUAUAUGGACAAGAUAAGAAGAUAGGCUUGACAAAAAAAAAAGAAGGUUUAAGCUACAAUUGAUUCUGCAACUUUAUUACAUUCGGAGGAAUAACAAGUUUAGCUACUUUUCCACCUUUUUCAAUAACUGAAAGGUAACAUUGAAUCUUUUUCAGCUUAUACAAUUUUUCAUAUAAUUAAAUUAUACCAUGGGAUGCAAAUAAGAUUAUGGAUUUCAAAUUAUAAUUAUUGAAUUAAUGCUCUAUUUCAUUAUUUUCAAAUUCUAUAAAUAAUACAUUUACUUCUUAUUUUCUAAUUCUGUUUUUAGCUGCAGUCUUUAGCAUUCCGGCAGAGACAGAUGAUGCUGGAUUGAUUGCCUUUCUUAUCUUGAAUAUAUUCCAAGCAGCACAAGCACAAUGCCCUGCAGUUGCAAAUACAUGCUCAGUAGCCUCGCCAGCGCUUUCACCAAAUCUGCCAAAUCAGGAAUAAGAAUAAUUACAGAAAGCUCCGGAUAGGAAAUUUAUUAUAUGACAAAGAUGAAUCAAAAAAUAUUUAAUUUACCUAUUAGAGACCAUUCUAGUUGUAGCUUUUGAGGUAGCAGAAAGAGAUUGUUUUUCAGCAGCUUCAGCUGCAUCUAGAAUCUUGUCUGUAAUUUACAAAAUAAAAACAAUUACUCGUUAUGAAGGACUUAAAUGAAAAAUUCAUAUAUUUAAUGAAGAUUAUGGACAAGUUUAAUUUGGGUUUCACUUACUGACAGCAUCAAGUGAAGCCAAGAGAACUUCUCCUGGUACCAUAGAGAAGAAUGCUUUCCCUGCUUUGGAAUUCACUAAUGGUGUCAUUACUGAACCAGCAACAAUGCCAACACCAUCAAGCGUGGUUUUGCUCAGCUUUUCUGUCAUUUUGGACAGCUUUCUCACACUACAUUAUUAAUAGGAGCAAUCAUACAUUUGGCGAGUUAAAAUUUAAAGAAAAAAUAAUGAAUAAAAAUAAGAAUACAUGUUCCCAUUAUAUUUUGAAAUAAAACAUUAUUCUUAUCUUAGGAUACCGUUUUAAGCUUUUGUUGACUUUGCUCUUCUUUGCGUUCCCACCAUUAGUACUUGUAUUUCUGCUAAUUUCUGUAAUUUUGGCACCAUUUUUCUCCUCUGCAGCACGAGUUAAAAUCAUUUCUCCUCCUUUAUUUACCUGCAAUUUCCCAUCUUUCUUUUAGAAUAAUUAUCAGAUAAUUUGUGGAUUAUAAAUUUAAUUAUGCUACAGAAACAGUUAUAAUUAAAAUACUGCAUACAACUUCAUAAUAUUCAAUUCGACUGUAAUCAUAUAAAAUGAAAAUUUUAUGACUUUUAAGUAUUAAUUUUGUACUAAUUCAUUAGCUUAAAGUUCUCCCCAUGCUUUAAUUAACAAUAGAUUAAGCAAAACAAACCUUGUUAGUGUAAGCAUUGCUACAUUUGAAGAUCCCCUUGACAAUCUGACCAGUUCCUCCUGCAAUAGCCUUGGCCAAAAAAUUAUUAUAAUCUUCAACACUUGGAGCAAAUUGUUUCCACUCAAUAUUAUUAUUUUUACUUGUACUUGAUGAACCUGACCCGGAAAAGCAGGAAUGCUCAGAAAGAAAGGAGUCCAAUAAGCUCAAACUGCCACUAUAAUGCUCCCAGAAAGUAACACCAUAACUCAAAGGAUCACCAUCUGUCAUUGGCAAAGAGAAUAGAUAAUGCAAAGCAUCAAUCUUAACUACUGGUUCAUCUUUUGUUAAAGGCCAUUGAAGAUCAUCACCAACUUUAACAAUUGUAGCAAGAGAAACAUUAUCUUCCGAGAUUCUAAUAAGAGUAAAAUCGCCCAUGGAAAGUUCCAGAGCUUCUCCUCCUUCCAUUAGAUGAACUGUGCAUGCUGGGAUUUGCAAAAGAAGUUCCUGUUUGAGAUUUUUGGGUUCUGGGAUUUCUUGAAAUGGAAAAGUAGCUUCUGAUGAGCUAGCUCGCAUUGGGGCAGAAGUGGUUUUGGAAAUUCUUGGCCUGAAACAACCCAUUUUUGAAAAGGGAUUUUCCUGAAGAGAAAGCUACUUGUGAUAUGAUAUAAGAAGACAGAAACAUAAAAAGAAAAGAGGUAAAGGGCAAUGGUUGACAGAGAAGCCAUGCUGUAAAUAUCUUUUUUUUCUUUUUUUAUUUUUGGUUUAUAAUUUUCUUGGGAGUGCUGCUGGUGAUUCUUUCUUUCCUGUUUGUGACUUUAUUCUAUUCCUGAUGGAUAAUUUUGCUACUGUAGACCUUUCGGUGGAGAAAAAUAAUGGGUGCUUUGACAAACAGAGAACGAGAUAGAUAAAAAAAUAAAUGAGAGGGAAGUUAUUCUUUCCCUUGUCCGUUCCUAAAUUUACAUUGAUCUGAUUUUGAAAUUUUUUUUUUUUUUUUCAUUUCAGAGUUGCUCAAUUUAAUCACAGACAAAAUUUAACUGUAAACACAGCUCAUAAUCCAACAAUAAUUCCUCUAUGAGUAAACGACCAGUAGUUUAGUGGGUUUGUCACAAUUUUCAACAAUAAUUCCUAAUGGGCUUUAUUACUGGGCUGAGGCAGUCUCUCAUCCAAAUUACUGUUAUCAAGUCCGGCCCACAAAAGCUCAGGAACAGCAACCAAACUCAUUCACAUUCACUGUCACAAGCAGCAUACGGACACAAUGAUCGGAAGAAAACAAUAAAGCAGCAGAAAUUAAUCAAGAAACAGUUCGCUGUAACAACUCAAAAUCUCACAGUGUUGUGUUAACUUAUACCUCCAUUUGGAUUUUGGUUUGGACCGCUCUCCUUUUUCUCGGAGUUUCUCAGUUGCCAAACGCAUUUUUUUUUCCUCAAGGUACAACAGUUUCAAGUAUGAAAUCAACUAUUUAAUUGGCAUUUAUUUUUGCAUACUUUCUUUUGUUUAAUUAGUUGUUAAUGGUGCUGGGUAUAGGCAUUAGGCCCUUACAAUGUGUUUUUGUUUGGUGGGUGUGGUUUUAGUGCAGUGGAGGGAGCUGAAUCUGAGAUAUGGUUGUUGCUGUGCUAGUACUGAUUUUGGGUGUCUUAUUGGGAGGCUUUAUUUUGAUUCCUCGACACUUGAAAUCUUGUAAUCUUUUUUGUUUCUUUUCUUUUCUUUUUAUUUUUCAAUUAAUUAAGCGAACCUUUCAGAGGGAGAUUGAGUUGCUAUGUUUUGAUGGGUAAAUCUUUGUUCAAUGCAGCCCAAACGGAAAAGGUUCACUCGAAUGCAAGUGGAACGAAGGUACGUCUGAUACUGAUAAUAUGAACUUCAAAGCGUUCUUAAAAGUACUUGAAAUGCUCAAGCACUCUGAAAUCUCUAAGAUUUUAUGAUUUUUUUGAUUGGCGAUCUUUCAAGGGAUAAGGAAUUUAGCCAUUUUUGUUUAUUAGUUUUGAAAAUGAAGGCUUUUGGAAUCAAUCUAAUGCACAACAAAAGAUGCGAAAAUGCCAACAUUUCUGAUGCUACCUGAAGAAAAAUAGUAAAUUGAAGCGUUUCAAGUUAUGGAUCUGUGCAUGCUUUUAGAGCUUGAUCUGUACUCCUUUUUUUAAACUUAAAAGAAUGCAACUUCUUUUUUUUUUUUUUGUUUUUCUUUUGCUAAAAGGUCUCUUAUUUGCUCUGCUCUGAUAAAUAGUUUUGAUUAACUGAAUUCCUAACCAUAGACGUAGCUGCUCCUUGAUGGCAUUCUGUCCUGUCUAAAUGAUACACCCAAUUAUAAGCCCACUGAAGAGGUUCUUGAUACAAUUAUAUCCUUCAGCAUUUUGACAUAAUCAGUAGCUCUUAUGAGGUGAAAGGCCAUAUAAUGAAGGCUUAAAUUGGUUGGAUAAGCUUUAGAUUCAUUGAUAAUUUCUGUCAAUUAAAGAGUAACAUUGACGCAUAUUUGGUUUGCUUGUCAAAUAUGCCACAGUUUUUUUGUUUGUUCUGUAAUUGAAGUGUUUUGAUUGACUAUGAUGUCCUCUUCUUUCAUUCUAUGGAAAGGAGAGAAAGGCAGCUAGAAGUUGGAAACAGAGAGCCCGAGGGGACAUGGUUUGCUUGUAUUCAUAGUAUACAGCAAGUUGAUAAACAUGAUAUCUACAUUGCAUGAUUUGAUGACAAGGUUUAAUGUGCAUCACGGAAUGUGCAUUUUACAAAGCUGCUUAUAUGCGGACCCCAAAUUUGUGACCAUAAGUGAUAAGUUAUCAUGAUUGGUGAGAUAGAGUAGGACCUACAGGUUGAAGUUGUUAUUCACUUUUUUUUUUUUUUUAAAUCCAAUAUGCAUUUAUCCAGGUUGUAAGUGUUAAUCAACUCUUUAUGUUUUGAAUAAAUUUUUUUCUUGUUCUUAGGCAUCCAAAAGCUACAAUAAAGCUGAAGUAUCUAAGCAUCAUAAGAGAACUGACUGUUGGAUAAUUAUCAAGGACAAGGUAUUUUCUUUGUUUUUAGUUUAAUCCUGCAUAUGAAACUCAGAACUGAUUUUUCCUGUUGAUAAAAUGUAAUGACACUUGUAGAUAAGACCUUCAUCUUUUAUGCCUAUAGGUGUAUGAUGUUACAUCAUAUGUAGAAGAACACCCUGGUGGCGAUGCCAUCCUGGCACAUGCUGGGGAUGAUUCAACUGAAGGAUUUUUUGGGUAUGCAUCUGUCAGCUGAAACAAUUUCGUCCUUGUUACUAGUCAGUCGGUCAAAAUCCUCUUUAAUUUCAAGUCCAUAAAUAUGUUCAACGACCGUGAAGUAACUGUUAACAUCAAUCUGCUAAUGCAUUGAAUUCUUUGAACUGAUAACAUUUCGAUAGGGAUCUUAGGUGGGGUUGGAAAUAUGAUAAUGAAACAUUAGUUCUCCUAAAUGUUUGCAAAAUCUGAUCCUUUCCCUUGCCUAAAUGUCUUGUUGCACUGUGUUUUAAUUGGAUAGUUCGCCUCACCAUCUUUUCCAUUUUCAAUUCUAUGUGCAGGCCGCAACACGCUACUCGAGUCUUUGACAUGAUUGAUGACUUCUACAUUGGAGAUCUAGAGCAGUAAUAAAUUGCUGGCAUUGGAUCACAGAUUAUCCAGUGAAUUGUACUCGGAAAAUAUUAUUCUUUUGUUGGGUUUCAUGCCUUCAGUGUGACAAUUGACAUACUGAUAUCUUUCCAUCAUCAUGCACAUUUUUGCAACCAUCUCCUAUUUUUGAGAGAUUCUCAAACAGUUCAUUUGUUUUCAUAUUUUAAAUUAUUUUAUAUAAUGUUUAAUAGUAUAUUUAAUUAAAUACUGAUUCAACCCCGAUCGACCCUUUAAUCUUUAACCCUUUGCAUUCGCUAGGUCAAUGACCUGACCGGAUUUGAAAAUCUCAAGUAUUCGUAAGAAUGUAUAAGGUGAUGAUUAAAAUUAAAUAAAAAUAGGACUUUUCAAACAUAGACCUCUAUUUUCCAAGGUGAACUAAAAAUUUAUCCGAAAUGACUCUGCCUUGCAGACUCGCAGAGUAUCAUUUUGAAAUUUGAAUCUCUGUUAACGGUUACAUUUGACAUUAAGAUACAAACUAGAAUAAAACUAGAAUGAACAUGGUUAAUAGAGAACUUAGGUGCAGCAAUGACGAGGUUAUGAAAAUAUUGCACAACAGAAAAUUUUCAACACUGAUUUUUGAUUUUUUUUUUUUUUUUUUAACUGUGUAAAUUACAUAAAUUACACAACAAAUCACCAAAAAUUACAAAAUCAGCCCAGACAGGAUGCCCUAAUUUGAAGAAUUAAAAUUGAUUAAAUGGAGAUUGAAUAAAUGACUAAAAUUCCUAAAUCUCUAAAAUCAACCAAUAAUGGACUAGCAAUUUAGCCAACCCUUUCUGAGACACAACAAUUUUGUUUCCCAAACCCUAACUGCCCCAUUGGAUAUUUGAAAAGCCACAAGGAACAAUAACAAGAUUUUUUCCACUGAAGCUUCAAUACCCUUGGCCAGUUUCUAACUAUCAAAUUUCUUAGGUUGUCGCCACUGUGCCAAACUCUUUGCCAGAGAGCCAAGGAAAGAAGCUUUCGGAGGAGCUCCCUUCUUCCCAUAUAAAUGUUUUCCUCCCAAGUCUGUAUAAAUUGGACCCUUGCCUUUGCUUCUUUCAAUCUGCACAUAAUAAAAUUUGCUGCUAAGAAACCGAUUAAACCAUCAAAGUAGAUAAGUUUUGCUUCUGAUCUAAGGAAAAAUUGCUAAUGAAGUCAUUUAUAGUUUCAAGACAGCAAAGUAUCAAAACUCAAACACUUCUUUUGUUCUUCAAUGAAACUUCAAGGUUUCAAAAAAAAUUAAAAUGUAAAAAAAAAUCCUUAAGACAGAAUUUAGACUAAUGAACAUAUCUUUUGCUGCUUUCUAGAUCCUUUAGAAAAUUGCAUUUGCUUGAAUACAAAGCAAUAAUAUCACCCUUGAAAUUAGAAGUAUAAAAUUUCGAACAUAGUCCCAAAAAUGUGGCGGUAAUACAACAUGCAAUUUGGGAAGGAAAAAUUAGUAUUAUGAUAAGAGAAGAUUUAAAUUCUAAAUCAAAAGCAAUUUGAGAAGGAAAAAAAGAUAAUACUCUAAAUUCACGAAAGGAUAAAACUAGCAUACCUUGUUUAUCUUUCCAUCUUUCAAGUGGUACCGUAUGCCAGACCAAUUAAUAGACUGAGAGAAGUGUGAACGGAAUGCAGAUACAGGAUAUAAAAAGUUAUCCACCAACAUUGCAAUAAAUACCUGUUCCAUUGCAGAGCAUAUUGUUAACAUUAAUCGCAAAUUAUAAAUCAAGACGCCCCCCACACUUCCUAACCAAAAUAAUGUUUGGGAAACAAUUGAAAAUUUGAGCUUUUCUGUAAUUGCUAGCUAUCAUUAUAUUUCAAGGAAAAUCAUUGAAUGUCUUACACCAGUGGCUUAACUUAUAUCUUUCCAGCUAAACUUCAGGAGAAAUACUUUGGAACAACCAGUUUUAACAAGUUGAAGAAAAUUAAAACCUCCCACCUAAAUGAACAAUCCUAUGAACUAAAAGAAAGUCAAUUUAUAUUCUGGACGUAGUAAUUUUAAGUAAAGCAGAAAAUUAUCAUAACAAUGUCAAAUGCUUGAGAAGACCAAAAUUCUUUGCAUAAAAUAUGACAUCCACAACGAAGUUUACAAAGUUCUGCAGCUGCACUGGAAAAACUAGAAAUACUUACAAGGACCCAGUUAUAAGAAGCUAGAGAGAGCGGAGGUGCCUCAGGGGACAGCAUGUUGCAUAGUUGAACUUCUAUCCUUGUCAAAUUCCACAUUGAGAAAAGUUCUGUAAAUGUGCAUACAGCUAGGCAGGUGACCAGUAACAACCCUGUCAAAGCAUUUUGCAGAGCUUUAAGAAUUGACAAUGCCAACUCUCAAAUCAGUUAUAGGCUCUAGCCUUAUAUUCUCAUUUUUAAUAUAAGUAACACUUAGCCAAACAAAUUAAAUUUCACAUAUGUGGAAGUGCAAGGAAAAAAAAAAAAGCUUAGUUAUCAUUCUGCAAAAAACAAAUGUCUUCUUAAAUAAUAGUAAGUAAAAAAAAAAAAAAAAAAAAAAAAAAAAAACUAGAGUGACAUUUCUGGUUCCAAAACUACAAAUAAUCACCCAUUUUGCUGUGUAAUUUCUUCUUUCUUGAAACACCUCAAAUGGGAUGGGCAUGUAUUGAAAGUUGUAAUUGCAAUGUAACAUUGGUUACAGUUACAAUAACAGGAGCAAUGGGAAGCUUUAUUCACAGAUGCUUCUUGAAGCCCCACCAUACAUGUUCCAUGUAAUGCAUGGAAUACCGCCACCACUUUCCUCAGACACCAAACCUCCAAAAGGAGGAGCAGAGACAGAUUUUUCAUCUGAAUGAACAUGCACUGUGUACUCUUUAUGGCAUUGACAAGUGAACCAACAAUACAACUUACCAGAAAGAAAAGCGAAGUAACUCACCGUUAGAAACAGAGGCUGCUUCCUCGCUUGCAUAUCCUCGUAUAUAUAUUCGCAAAGCUGCUGCAACAUGAGUCAUGGCCAUAAAGUACGGCGCCACAAACCCCCAUGACAAAUAGCAAUGGGAAGAAAAUAAUGCACGGUUCAUUAACCAAUUAACCUUCGAUAUAUAUGAUUCCAAAACAAAUGUUUGCUUCCUCAGGUAAUUCCAGUACCUAGACAAAAGUCGAUAAGCAUGGAACAAAAAUGUAGGACAUUGAAAAGUCUAACCAAUUAAUUAUUACAAACCUUGAAAAACUAAGAUCACUAGCAAGGGGAUGAGGAAAAACAGCAACUGGAGGUGAGGUAAUUAGCCUCUUGUGAGCCCCUAGAAAGAGAUGAUCAAAUCAGUCAUAAAAGGGGGAAAAAAAGGUUGAGAACCUAUGCUUGCAGAAAAACAUGCCACAUAGAGACUAAAAGAAAGGCAGCUUUUAGAACUACAUCAGCAAAUUAAUUACAACUUUAUUACCAGCUAGAGCAGCAAGAG